rnacentral:lncRNA from 1 species
UUUCCGCCUAAAAAAUUUCUUCAAAUCCCUAAGUGGUUUCAUUCUUUCGUUAUUCUCUCAAAACCCCAAUCCCAAAUCCUUUCAUCUUCUUUCAAGAAAAUUUGAUUACUUUUGUUUUGUUAUUUGAACAUUUAAUCUGAAUAAUUGGUUCAGUUUGUAGAAGAGCUUGGAUACUCGAUUUUUAUUAAAAGCAUAUUUGAUUUAUCGCCUUUUGGCGAGAAAUGAUAAGGGUUUUGACGAUAACAAGAUUGGAGGAGAGCAACUGGACGAUGGCAAAGUCUUUUGGGUCAUUUGGACUAGGGGGAUUACUACUGCUGGCGGCGUUGGCUGCGUCUAUGAUGGUUCUUCCACUGGUGUUGCCGCCGCUACCGCCUCCGCCAUUGAUGCUUCUGUUGUUUCCAGUUGGGAUCAUGGCUGCUCUCAUGUUCUUGGCGUUUUUCCCCUCGGAGGCUGCUGGAAAUGUCGUUGUUCAUACAGUAUAAGAACACAUGUUAAACGUGUCUUUCAUAGGAAGAUGGUCGGCCAUUGGGUCGGCGGCUCUGCUGAGGUCGUAGGUGUUGUUGAUUUCUUAUGACUAUAUAUUUGUACAACAUUUACAUUACUUUAUUGUUAGUUAUUUCUUAAAAAUGAAUUAUACAUUAAAUUUUGAGAAAAAAAAAAAGAAAUUUGAAAGUAUAAACAUCAUAGAAAAAAUUUGUGAAUAAUUCCCUUUUCUUCUUUGUUUUCUACAUUUAUGGUGUUAUUAAUACAAAAAUAAUGCAUUUUAUGGUUUAAUGAUAUUAUCAAUGUGUUUAUCAAAAUAAUUAUUUAGUAGAAUAUUUUAUUUUUUGUUCUUAAGAUUUGAUCUUCGUAAAAAGAAAUUAAAAAUAAAAUCUUAAAUACAUGAUAUCAAUGUUAUUAAAUUUGAUAAUUUUAAAUACGUUAAAAAAAUUAAAUAUAAAAAAAUAAAAAUAAUAUAAUUUAAAAUUUUAAUAAAAAUUAUAUAUGUAUUUGAUAAAAAUAAAAAAUAUAUUUUAUAUUUGACGUAUUAAUAUGAAUUUAAUAUAAUUAUUUUUAUUUUUUAUAUGUGUUUAAUAUAAAAUAAAUAUUAUAUAAAUAUAAAUAUAAAUAUAGAUAUAACAAAUAUAUCUUUAAAAUGAUUAAGGCGAAAAAAAUAGAAACAAUCUAACAAAGGAGCUGAAGAGCAGCUAUAAAUUUAAAUGACAUAAAUUUAUUUAAUUUGGAAAUAUCAUAUUUUUCUACAUAAUUCAACUUUAAAAAAAUUAAAUUAUAAUUAAAUUGAUUCAUAUAAUCACUUUUAAUAAAUGACAUCAUACUGUGACAUUUUCUUUAUUAGGCGUGUAAAUUAUAUAUUAGUAUUUGUAAAUUACUCAGGUUUGAUUCGAAUAAAAUUCGAAUUUGGCUCAAUUAUUAUCGAGUUGAGCUCGAGCUUGAGUAACUUGAUUUAUUAAUCGAGCCAAGUUUGAAUAUUUUUAUACUGACUCGAGUAGCUCGCGAGUCUAAUCAAGUUUUUAUAUUUUAAUUAUUUUAAUUGAUAAAAUAUCUCAAACUUGAGUUCGUGCUUGAGUACAAAAAAUUAAUCUUUUGUCAAAUAUAAAAGUUAAACUUAUUUUUACAUUUUAAUCGAAUCUAAUCAAACGAAUUCGAGUAAUUUGAUUUCUAUCUUUAAUCAAGUUCGAGUGAAAAAAAAAACUCGAUCGAAUUCAAACCGAGUUUCGAGCAUCUAAUUUAAAUUCAAGCUCGAACUUAAUAUUGUAUCGACUCGAACUCGAUCGAUUACACUCUUAAUUUUCAUGCUGUGAUCUUUUUUGUAAGAAAAGAAAUUGAAAUAUUUUGUUAGUUUCAUUGAGGAUUGUCACAUUAGAAAUUUGUAUGUCCAUGAUCAUAUUAAUCAGUUAAUUUUCUUAAUUAUAGUUGAAUUAACAUGUGAUAACCUUCGCUUGUAGAUUAAAAAAAAAAAAAACAUUCAUUUUCAAGACACACGAUAAUAUCUUAAUAUUUUAAUCUUUCAUAAUACCACGGCCGAUUGCACUUGUUUUUUCCAGCAUCUUUAAGUCGUUUUAAGAUCCAAUAAAAUGAAAACUACAGUCUGGAAUAUUCCCUACCAACAACUCGUGCUCUGAAUUUAAUCUAUUUCUGCAAAGUUGUGCUGAAUGCUGAUGCAAUCUCUGCUAAAAAUCUUGAAAUUGUAUUCUUAUUCUUGUAUUAUUUCCAGCAAAAAGAAGAUUAAAUCAAAGAUGCAUCUUAAAUUGAAAAUUCCAAGUGCAGGAAACUGCAUUGUAACUCUGAUUGGGUAGCAAAAAAACAGUUUAAACUAUGACACAUUGUCAAAAUGUUUGAACCAGUUGGAACUACUUCAAAGACUCCAAAGUCUUUGGAUUCAUACCACAUAUCCGAGUUAACAACAAAACAAACGUCAUCCAGCCAUGAUUUCCAAGAACCAAAACCUACUAUUAAUACUAAUAUAAUAUCAGUUGUGCUAGCGAUUAGUAACGUUACUAUUUAAAGUAAUAUUAUUGUAUUAAAUGCACUGAAAAAAUAUAUUGCUUGAAAUAAUAACCUUAAAGAGUGCCCUUAGAACACUUCGGUUGAAAAAGUAACGAACUUUUCAAUGCAUUUCCCUCCUUAUACUAGUUUAGAAUCUUUUGACAAAGAAAAGAUCCUUGCCAUUCCAUCUAUUCAGUAAAAAAAAUUGUUUUACCUCCAACCAAAUUUUGGUCCAAAUUAAACAACUUGGAACCACAAUGUGCACAAAUUGGUUCCAAGAAGAUAUGCAUUAACGGUUGGAAGAAAAAUCCGGCUGGUCCUAUUUGUUCACAAUAACCAACUACUUGAGUUAUACUUGAGAUUAUAUAGGUAUAGAGAUUAUACUUGAGUUAAUCUCCAAACUGGAUCAAACAAAUCAGGCUGGUCCUACUUGUUCACAAUAACCAACUGCUCCAAACUUUUUCAACAUUGGUUAAUGAGUAUAAAUUUCAGUGAAUAAUGCGAUACAAAAUAUAGUUUGACGACAAAACUUUUUAUAACUAAGCAACCAAAUAUAAAAAUUAAAGCCUGGUUUAACGCAAUCAAAUGUCUGAAUUUAAUUUGAGAAGGGAUGGAUGAAAGUGUUAAUUAAGCUCUUCAUGGUUAUUUAAGUGGGUUCUAGGACAUAUCAUAGUUAAGGGCCAUCUUUUUGUCACUUUCCAGAAAGAGGCAUCUCAAAAUAUUUAGAAUAUAUAGAAGCUAUCUUUCAUAAUUGUGAUGAAAUGAGAACUGUCAGCAAGCAUCUAACUUGUGCAUUAAAUGCAAAACUGCAGCAUUUUCCAAUGCCAUUUUUAGGACCUACUUUCCCAAAAAAUUAAGUUGAUACCAUGUUAAGGAAUGAUAGAUUCAGAAAAUGUUUGUGGAAAACUCACAAUAACAUCAUUUCUUUAGCAGAAAAUUCUGUAGUACAAAAUGUCAGAAAGUUUAUUGUACCAACGGAAAAAUGUCAGCAGCUCUCUACUCCUUUAAUUCUUCUACAGAGGCUACUCUCCUGGAGAAAAUGGGUGCUCCAUACCAACCUGGAUCUCCGGAAGAGAAAUGGAAGUCCCACAACGUACUCAUCUUAUUUUAUGAAACUACUUCAAUAACAUAUAGUGCACCUGCAUAUCUAAACGUCUUUGGUCAUGGAGUUGCUUCCCCUGCGCAUUAUUUUCCUCUUUGGUUUUCAGCUAUAGUCUAGUGCAUUGGCUUGUUUUUAUAGCUCUUAAGAUCCAUCAAAAAGAAAACUACUACACAAUCUGAAAUAUUCCUUAUUGACAACUUGUACUCGGCAUUUAAUCUAUUUCUGCAAGUUCUUCCGCCAGACCAGAUCAUGGCUGAUACAAUCUCAGCUGAAAUAUUGAAAUCAUGGUUUUGUCUUCUACUAUGAAGUAGGAUUUCAACUCUUGAUGACCCUACAUCCAAAGCCAGAUCCUACAAUGAUCUUGCUUUUAAUAAUGCAGCAUGGCAAUUAGGUUAUUUUGGGAUUUUUUAUUGCAAAAAUUGUAAAAUCAGGAUCAAGAAGUUCAAUCUUUAUAAUUAUAAGCACUAGUAUGAUUGCAGUUGGGUUAUUAUGGUAAAUUUUUAUCGCAAAAUUAUAAAAUCAGGAUAAAGAAUUUCAGUCGUUUUAACUGUAAACAUUAGUACAAUUGACGAUAAGCUAAAAUACACACCAGAGCAGUACAUUAUUCCCCAGAUAAGGAAAAAUACUAUUCUUAUUCACACAUUCUAUCUGUUUGAAAUAAAUGUAAACGUCACAUAAGUUCUAGGAUAGAAAAUUCUUUUAGAAUGAUUUUAGAGGCCUAUGAUUUAAUUGUACAUUCAUGAUGGUUGAGGUCUACUGUCUGAUAUUUUACACCAAUAUUCUAUAUUUUAUAAUAAGCUAUAAAAGGGUGUUGUAAAAUUAUAACUUUGUGAGUAUUAUUAUUUUUUGUAACAUAAUCUUUUGUUAUUUAGUAUUAUAUUUUUAUAAGUAUAUUUCCCUUAAUUAUUCAAGUUAGAAUUAUCAGAUUAAUCUUAAUUAUGGUUAUUUGAUUUUUUUCUUCUUCUUUUUUCGGCUUUGAUUUAGUGUUCUUGAAUAUUUUACUAUUAAAAUUAAUUUAUAGUUAUUUUUUCCCCAAUUUUAUAGUUGUAAGGUUUUCAUAUUAAAACAAAAAGUUAUGAUGUUAAAAAAAAGAAUGUGAAUGAUGGUAAGUUUAUUUUAUCAAAAUUUUAAUUUUUUUAUAGACCUCUUUGAAUGAUUUGAUUUGAUCUAUUUAUAUAUUUUUUGAUUUUCUGAUUUAUUAUUAAUAUUUGGCACUUAUGUGUUUCUAUCUCGAUGAAUUCAUUAUUUAAUUUCCCAAUAAAAAAUAAUUAAAAGUCUACUUUUUUCACAUUUUUUGUUUGAUUAUUAAAUAUUUCAUUUGUAAUAAGUAGGGAGAGAAACUAUUCUUCACUUAUUUUUAUUUACAGCUUUAUUCUUUUUUUUUUCUUUUGUAUGUAAUAUAACACAAAAUUUAACCGAUUUGAUAUUAUUUGAAUUUACAUUAAGUUUUCAACUUUAAAUUUAUACAUAUAUAACAAAUCUUUGAUUCUUUCUUUUUUACACAUAUAUAGUAAAUCUUUUGUUCUUUUUUUCUCAAACAUAUAUAAUACAUUUUUGAUUCAGCAGAUACUUCAUUAUAAAAUUAUUUUUUGCCCAAAAUAUAUCUUACAAUGUCCUAAAUUAUUAAAAUUUUGAGUUUUAAUAGCAAUAAAAUUUUUUAUUGAUAUCAUUUUAUGACUAAAAUAUGCAUAUUCAAAAUAAUAAAAAGGUAAAUAAUUAUUAAAAGGAAUCAUGCAUUUCCUUUAAUUGAUUAAAAAAGUAGGUGAAAUCACAUUGAAAUCUUAAAUUAAGGCAUACUUAAUCACACUUAUGGAAAAAUGUUUAAUUUGAUUUUUCUCAUUUAACUUUUUAAUUACAGGUAGUAUCCAUAUGAUAAUGAGUUACUCUUAAAUAUCAUUUGGAUAUAUGCAUGUGUAAAUUUUAUUAAGUGUUUAAUUAAGUAUUAAACAAUAUUAUUCAUUGAAUGUUUGAAUAUUUUACAAAAUAUUAUUCUUUUAGAUAUCAUUUGAAUAUAUGCAUAUAUUAUUUUUAUAUCUUUGUUAAAAAUAAUAUUUUUAUGCAUAAUUAUAUAUAUAAAAAAAUAACCCGUGCAUAGCACAGGCUACAAAUUAGUAAUAUUUAAAAUUUAAAAUUUUUUAUUAUGAUAUUUGAAUUAUAAAUUUAUUAAUUAAUGUAAUACUUAUUCCUAAUAUGAUUAAUUUUAAAUAAUGAUACGUGAUUAUAAAUAAUCCUUCAUGUAACAUAUUAAUUAAUAAAUUGAUAGUUCAGGUAUUAAAUUAGAUAUUUUUAAAAUUCAAAUACUACAUUAAAUAUUUUACUAUAGUUUAAGGAUCAUUCAUAAUAUUAUCACAAACUAGUAUAUAUACCAACUUAAUUGUUAUUUUAUCGAGUUAAGACUAGAUGCUUAAAAGAUUUAUUCAAAUUUGAACUCGAUUCAAAUUUAUUUUUUUUUUCAAUAGGAUGUCAUAGUUUGAGAAUAGAAAAAUGGAUUGCAAAUGUUAGGAUUCAAAUUUUAAACCUACUAAAUGAUAUCUCUUACAGGUGGAUGUAUAAACUAAUUGAACUAAGUUACAGAUUCAACUCAAUCCAACUUCAUUUAUCAAGAAAAAUCAUCGAUUUGAAAAAUCAACAAUUUGAACUUGACCAAACUCUAUUUGUACAAUAACAACAAUAAAUUAAGUCUUAUAUCCUAUAAUUCUAUGGUCGAUUGUAUGAAAGGAAAAAAAAAAUGAAUCAUGUUAGGUUGUAGUUUUAAAUUUUCUUGCAACACUUUUAUCUAUAUAAAAAAAAUAAUAUUUUCAUCUACUUUCUUAACCUUCAUAUCAUUUCUUAUUACUUCAACGUUUUUUGUGAUUUACCUUUAAAAGUUUUGGUUUUUCUCAAAUUCAAAAACUCAUUUCUCCUACUAGUGCACAAAUAAGUCUAUAUUUUAUCUAUCCAAACCAUUUCAAAUGGCUCUUUCUCAUUUUUUUUUCCUUCAACUCAAACUACCUUUAAUUUAUUUUGAAUUUCUUAUAAAAACUUUCUAAACAUUAUGAAAAUUAUAAAUCAAUUUUCAAAAAAUUUUAGUUAAAAAAAUUUUGAUUAAAAUAUAAAAAAGUCUCUUAACUAUUUCACUUUUCUUAAAAAAAGCCAAUAUAUUUUUAUUAUACCAAAAUAAGCCUUUAUUUUUUUUUUUAUUUGUAUCCAAAUAAACCUUUAUUUCAAAUAAUAAAUUUAUUUAUCUUAAGGAUUUAUUUAGGUACAAAUUAAAAAUUAGAGACUUAUUUGAAUAUAAAUAAAAGGUUAAAUACUUAUUUAAGUACAAAUUAAAGUCUAAGGAUUAAUUUGAAUUUAACAAAAUUAUAAGGAUUUAUCUAAAUAAAAUGAUAAAAUAAAAAAAAUUAUUAUUUUAACCAAAAUUUUCUAAAAACAUGUGAAAAGAAUGCCCCACGCAUCCCCACUUGCGCAACAGAAAAAAAAUUAUCAAAUAAACUUUUUUAAUUUUUAUUUUAGUCAUUAAAACUUUAAAUCUUUAGCCAAACAUUAAAAAAUUCAAAUGAUAUAUGCAUGGAAAAUGUAUGAGACAUAUUCUAACCAUAUAAAUUUCAUACAUGAAAUUUGAAACAUGUGAGAAAAAUAUAUAGUCAAAGUUUUGAUUUUUCUAGUUUGAUUAUGAUUUUUCUCUUAAAUCAUAAGUGCUUUUAGUACCAAAUUUUUAUCAAAAAUUCAAAUCAUCUUAGAGCACAUAUUUAUGUAAAAAUUUUAGUCUAAAGCAUUUGUUUAAAUUUUUAUUAUUAAAAAUCAUUCUAAGUUAUUGAAAAUAUUCUAGUAUACCAAACAACUAUGGAAGCAAAUCUAAAAGUGAAAACAAGCAUAACAAUGUUUUGAUUCCACUAUAGGAACUUAUUGAAAAAUAUAUUUAAGAAUAUUUGUAAAUUUAAGAUUAUUUACUCCAAUGCUAAUAUGAAUUCCCAAUAUCAAUUUACUUAUAUUUGCUUCAUGAAUCUUAAAAGAUUUAUUUUUUAUAUUAUUUUUUAAACAACUUCUUGGAUCUUGUUAGUCAAUGAAACAAUUUUUAGAGCUUAUCACAAAUUUUAUACUAAGUUUUAGGGUUUGAAGUAGAUAACCAAGAUUAGGCAAGAGAGAGUUCAGGAGCAAGAUCUUUUUACUAAAUGAAUUAAAAUUAUUACUCCUUCCAUCCCAAAUUAUUUGGACAAUAUUAACUUUCAUGAAAUUUUAAAAAAAAAUUUUGAUUUUAAUGUAUUUAAUAUUAAAAUUAAAAUUUUUUUAUAAAAUUAAAGUUCCAAGACUUUUAAUAUCAAAAAUUAAAAAUAAUUUUAAAUUAUAAUUUUAAAAUAUAAAUUUUUUUUAGAUGUUAAAAAAUAUAUAAUGUUUGGAUAUCCAAAAAAAAAGAAAUAAUUUUAAAUUAUAAUUUUAAAAUAUAAAAAAAGUUUUAGAUGUUAAAAAAUAUAUAAUUUUGGGAUAUCCAAAAACAAUUAAAAUAUAAAUAUGUCUGUCCAUUAAUAUAGCACUUAUUUCGAUUGUUGGGAAUAGAUUUUUAAUAACAUUUAUGCAAAAUUAUAUUAAGAAAAAAAAUCUAAAUUAAUCCAUACUAUAUAUAUUAGAUAAUGUCUACUAAUAAAUUUGAAUCCAUUUGACCCACCCAUAUGCGGAAUCAUCAUCGAAUCUUGGACUCUUCCAAGUUCCAACUUCAGUAAAAUAAAAAAAAUAAAAAAGUCUACGUUCCAAUGUUUGAUACAAAGACGUCGAAAGUUGGACCUAAAAUGACCAACACAAUCAAUUCUGUGAUGGUGGGCAGUUUCAUGGUUGGGAAUCCUCUUUCGGCUUCUAUACCAUAUCAAUUAAAUCAAAUCAACCAAAACAAAUCUAGGAAAAAAGAGAAGGGAGAGUUGAUUGAACAGAAGUCAAUUCGUGGUUUGAUUAAGCUGAAACUUUAUUAGCAGAUUUAUAAUUCAAAAUUUUACAUUCUGAAUGAGGAAGAUCGGGUUUGCAACUCUCUAAGAACAAAUCUAGAAUGUAUUUGUUGAGUCACCUAUUUGGUGAGUUUCUCUAAUAGUCUCUCUUGUUGUUGAUUAGCUCUAGUUUUAGCUAAAGAAGAACUUUGUAUAUCCAUUAUUUGAUAGUGGAGAUUUUUCUAAUGACCCGUGAUUUUUUUCUCUACACUAGAGGAUUUUUCAUGUAAUUCUUGUUGUGCUUUAUUUUUUUAGCGUUGUUGAUUGUUAAUUGUUGUAUAUUACUAUGGGUUUAUUAUGAUAUAUUGCUUCUGCGUUAUUGUGUUUAUUGCUUCAGACCAAACAAGCGAUAUCAAAGCGAGAUUAUUUUGAGACAUCAAUAUAGAAGUAGUCCAAGAUAGAAGUAAAUUAUGUUUGAGAUCAUGGAAUGUCAUACAAGUUCUAUGAUAAAAUUGACAGUAUUUUUUUCUCUACACUAGAGGGUUUUUCAUGUAAAUCUUGUUGUGCUUUAUUUUUUCUGUAUUGUUGAUUAUUAAUUGUUGUCUAUUACUAUGGGUUUAUUACGAUAUAUUGCUUUUACGUUGUUGUGUUUAUUGCUUUAGACCCUACAAGUGGUAUCAGUGCGAGAUUAUUUUUAGACAUCAAUACAGAAGCAGCCUAAGAUAGAAGUAAAUUAUGUUUGAGAUCAUGGAAUGUGAUACAGGUUCUAUGAUAAAAUUGACAGCAUCAAAUUAUUCAAUUUGAAAGCCUAUGAUGGAGGAUUAUCUAUACUAUAAAGAUUUGUAUAAGCCAGUAUUGGGUGAUUUAGCUAAACCAACAGAUAUGAAAGAUGAAAGCUAGAAGAAGUUAGGUAGAAAAACGUUGGCUAUAAUCAGAAAAUGAGUUGAUAUUAGUGUAUUCUAUCAUGUAGUGCAGGAGACAGAUGCCCAUACUGUUUGAAAAAAAUUGAUAGCAUUGUAUGAGAGAAAAAGAGGUAUGAAUAAAGUUAUGCUUGUUAAAAAGCUUGCAAUUUUACAAUACAAGGAUGGACGAUCGAUUAUAGAGUACUUGAGUGAUUUUCAAGACAUAUUUAAUCAGAUGACUACUAUGGAGCUUAAGAUGAAUGAUGAAAUGAAGGUAUUGUUUCUUUUGGGUUCAUUAUCAGACAACUGAAAUACUCUAGUUGUGACUGUUCUUAAUUCAGCUCCUGAUUACAAGGUGACAUUGGAGAUGAUAAAUGAUAGUAUGCUUAAUGAAAAAGUAAGAUGAAAAGAUGUAGACCCUGAGAAUCAAGCUCUGGUCACAAAGAACAGGGGUAGAAACAUCGAUAGAGGUCAAAAUUCAAAAGGUCGUAGUAAGUCUGUACAUAGAUCUAAGUCCGGAGAUAAAAUGAAGUGUUUCCAUUAUGGUAAAAUAGGUUAUAUAAAAUGACACUGUAAAAUCUUAAAGCAAGAGUGAAAAGAUGAGAAAAGUAAGAGUUCAGAUGAUGGCAAUGUUGCAGUAGUGAAUUCAACUAGUAAUUUAAUUACUUUGAUUUGUACACAAUGAUUCUAAUCAUGUUGGUGAUCUUGGCAUUGAGUGGAUAGUUGACACAGAAACAUCAUAUCAUUGUGUUUCUAAGAGAAAGUUGUUUAUAACUUACAAAGUUAAAGACUUUAGUUGCACCGAGAUAGAAAACAAGAGUGUGUCGUAAAUUAUUGGGAUUAGUGAUAUUGUUGUACAAACUAGUACAUGCUGCAUGUUAACUUUGAAGGAUGUCAGACACAUUCCAAAUACGAGAAUGAACUUGCUUACUAUUAAUGUCUUUGAUAAGGAAGAAUAUGAGAGUUGACAAAAAAAUGGCAGUGAAAGCUUUUCAAAGGAUAUAUGAUAGUUGCAAGGGGAAAAUUAUGCUACACAAUAUAUAAGAAAUAGAUGUAAUUGAAUGAUAAUCAGGUAAAUGCCAUUAAGGAUGAUGCUUUAGCAAACUUGUGGCACAAGAGACUGGCACACAUGAACGAGAAAGGGUUACAAAUUUUGGCAAGACAGUCUAUCAUUCUUUUGAUCAAAGGUAUGUCUCUUGAUUUAUGUGAUCAUUGUUUGUUUGGUAAGCAUCAUAGAGUUUCUUUUUGUAAGAGUUCUCAGAGAAAAGAAAAUAUAUAAGAAUUGAUUUAUAUUGACGUAUGUGAUCCCAUUGAGGUUGAGUCAUUAGGUGGCAGCAGGUAUUUUAUUACUUUUAUUGAUGAUGUUUCAUGUAAGACUUGGGUGUAUAUGUUAAAAUAUAAAAGUAAAGUAUUACAGUAUUUUUAAAAAUUUCAUGCCAUGGUAAAAAGGAUGACAGGAUUACCCUUGAAGUGUAUUCAGACUGAUAAUGGUAGGGAAUACACAUCUAAAGACUUUGAAGAGUAUUGUUCAAAGCAUGGAAUUAGGCAUGAGAUGAUAGAACUUGAAAUAUUGUAGCAUAAUGGUGUAGCUAAAAGGAUGAAUUGCAUCAUUAUGGAAAAAGUCAAAUGUAUGUUAAGGAUGACAAAAUUACCAAAACCAUUCUAGGGUGAAGCAAUCAACACAGCUUGUUAUUUGUUUAACAUAUCACUAUUAGUUCAUUUAACCUUUGACAUUCUAGAAAGAGUGCAGACAGGGAAAGAUGCUUCGUACUCUCACUUAAAAGUUUUUAGGUAUAAAGUAUUCAUGCAUGUGCCAAAAUAGUAGAGGUCAAAGCUUGACAGUAAAGCCACACAAUGUGUAUUUGUGGGAUAUGGUGAUGAAAAAUUUGGCUAUAGGGUAUGGGAUCCAAUGAAGAGAAAGACAGUUAGAAGUACAGAUGUAGUCUUUCAUGAAAAAAAACUAUAGCAAACCUUGAGAAAAAUGAGAAGACUACACAGGUUACUGUUGAGUGUGAUGUUUUAAUACUGAUAGGGGUUCCACAGAAAAAAGCCACAGAUAGUGAAAAUGAGUAAAAAAUAAAACUUGAGGAUAUGAAUGAGCCAACUAUAAUUAAUAAUGAGCCAGAUGCAAUUAGUUUUGAGCAAAAGGAGCAAUCAUCUCUACCUAAGAGUAUUGAGUAAAGAGAGCUACCUUUGACAUCAAGUGAUGCAGAGUCUUAACCUAGAAGAUCUACUAGAGAACACAGGCUAUCUACUAGGUAUCCAAGUUUAAAUUUUAUUUUAGUUACUAGUGAGGGGGAGCUAGAGAGCUUUCAAGAUGUGUAGGUUAUUCUGGAUAAAGAGCACUAGUUAAAAGCAAUGAAAAAAAAGAUGAAGUCAUUGCAAAAAAAAUGAUACAUAUGAUCUUGUUAAACUUUCGAAAAGAAAGAGACCGUUGAAGAAUAAAUGGGUGUUCAAGUUGAAAAAGAAUGGUGACAAGCUAGUGAGGUACAAAGCUUGAUUGGUGGUGAAAGAUUUUUCUUAGAAACCAUGCAUUGAUUUUGAUGAGAUUUUCACUCCAGUUGUGAAGAUGAGUUCCAUUCAAGUGGUACUGGGAUUAGCAACUAGUUUGAAUCUUGAGCUUGAGUAACUUGAUGUUAAAACUACAUUUUUGCAUGGUGACUUAUAGGAAGACAUGUAUAUAAAUCAACCUGAGGGUUUUGAAGUGAAAGGAAAAUAGCACUUACUUUGUAAAUUAAAAAAAAAACUUGUAUGGCUUGAAACAAGCACCACGACAAUAGUACUAGAAAUUUGAUUCUUUUAUGAUGAGUCACAGCUAUAAAAGAAUGGUAACGGAUCCUUGUGUGUAUGUCAAAAAAAUUUUUGAUGGUAACUUCAUUAUUCUCUUAUUAUAUAUUGAUAAUAUAUUGAUUGUGGGACAAGAUGCUGGAAUGGUUUGUAGGUUGAAAGAACAAUUGUCUAAGUCCUUUGACAUGAAGGAUUUAGGUCCAGCAAAGAAAAUUCUCGGUAUAGACAUUAUCUGGGAUAGGAAAGCUGAAAGGCUGUGAUUGUCACAGGAAAAGUAUGUUGAAUGAGUGCUUAGUAGAUUCAACAUGCAAUAUACUAAAUCAGUUAGCAGUCCACUUGUCAACCGUUUUUAUCUAAGUAAGAAAUCUUGUCUGGUGUCUAAGAAAGAGCAACAAGCUAUGUCUAGUAUUCCUUAUUCUUUUGCAGUCGAUCCUUUAAUAUAUUUUAUGGUUUAUACAUGGCCUGACAUUGCUCAUGCAGUUGGUAUAGUGAGCAAAUUUCUUUCUAAUAUGAGAAAAGCUUAUUUGGAAGUAGUGAAAUGAAUUUUCAGAUAUUUGAGGGACACCUAAAAAAUGUGCUUGAAUUAUGGAGUUUCACAAUCAGUUCUAAAACUGAUACUAACAUGACAAAUGAUCUUGAUGGUAGGAAAUUUACUUCAGGGUAUUGUUCACUUUUGCAGAAAGAGCUGUGUCUUAACAGUUUAAGUUAAAAAAAUGUGUUGCUUUGUCAACUACAAAGGCUGAAUGUAUUGUAGCAACCAAAGCAGUUAAAGAAAUGCUUUGGAUGGAAUGUUUUCUUCUUGAAUUGGGGUUGAAUCAAAAAGAGUAUAUGGUGUUUUAUGAUAGCCAGAAUACGUUAGAUUUGAGUAAAAAUACCACGUACCAUGUUAGAACAAAGCACAUUGAUAUUAGAUAUAAUUGGUUACAUUCAGUGAUUUAGGAACAACAGAUGUUGUUGAAGAAAGUCCAUACAAAUGAUAAUGUAGCAAAUAUGUUGACUAAGAAACUUUUCAAGAAAAAGCUUGAGCUCUGUAGUAACUUGGCUGGAAUGAGUUCCAUGGCCAAGAUAAGUUUCAAAUGAAACUGCUAUGGUGAUAAAUCUCCUCCUAAUAGGGUUAAAGAGGGAGAUUAUUAGGAAAAUAAGGUCUAGCCCCAUGUAAUUGGUUUUGGACCAAUCAAAGGCCAUGGGCCUUGAUUUUUCUUUUUACACAAAGCCCUAGCUACUUAAUAAAAAGAGGUGGGGUUGUUUUAAUAUUGAGUCACAAAACCAAAAAAGAAAAGAAGAAAAGUCAGGAAAAGUAGAAAGAAAAAAGAGAAGGGAGAGUUAGUUGAACAAAAGUCGAUCCAUGGUUUGAUUAAGCUAAAACUUUUUCAGCAGGUUUAUGAUUCAGAGUUCUACAUUCUGAAUGGGAAAGAUCGGGUUUGAAGCUCUCUAAGAACAAAUGCAGAGCGUAUUUGUUGAGUUACCUAUUUGGUGAGAUUUCUUCAAUUGUCUCUCUAGUUAUUAAUUAGCUCUAAUUUUAGUUAGAGAAAAACUUUGUAUAUCCAUGAUUUGAUAGUUGAGAUUUUUCUGGUGGUCCAUGAUUUUUCCCUCUAAACUAGAGGAUUUUCCAUGUAAAUCUUGGUGUGUUUUAUUUUUCCUGCAUUUUGAUUGUUGAUUAUUGUCUAUUACUAUGGGUUUAUUGCGAUAUAUUGCUUCUGUGUUAUUGUGUUUAUUGCUUCAAGCCUAACAGUUGUAUACUAACUUAAUUGUUAUUUUAUUGAGUUAGAGUAAAGCUAGUACUGUAACUUACAUGGAUCCAAAUAAUUUUUUCGAAUUCAAACUCAAUAUAAUUUUAUUUUAUUGUGAAAAAUUAAUUUAGAUAUAAAUGAUGAUAAGUGAUAGAUAAAUAAUCUUUUAAAUAUCAUAGUAAUUAAUAUAUUUAUAAUUCAAGUAUCAUGUUAAAAAUUUUUUAAAUUUAAAUAUCUUAUUAAAUUUUUCACUAUAAUUUAAGGAUCAUUCAAGAUAUUAACUUAAUUCUUAAUCAACUGAAUUUUUGUAUUUCUCUAGAAGAAGAAUGCAUGGCUUUUAUUCAGUAAAUGAGUUUAAAAUUACGUUUAAUAAAGUUAGAAAAAAAGAAAGACUAAACUAUAGAGUUAGGGUAAAUAGCAAUUGUAAUCUUUAAAUUUUGAGUUUAAUUUUAUUUUGAUUAUUAUUUUUUAAAAAGUUUUAAUUAGAUCUCAAUUGCUUAAAGGUAUCAUAUUUUGGCCCUUUCACCUACGAAACCAUCUAAAUUAAUACUAAAUGUUAGCUAACAUCACUAGGACGUUACCAUUGACAUUUCAUGUGGCAAAUGAACUAAUAAAGAAACCAAAAUAGAAUUUCGUUUAAAGUUUAAGAACAAAAAAUAUGACUAUCCCGAAUUUUUUAUAUUUCAAAUAUAUUUUAUAAAAUAUUAAAUUUAAAAUAAUAUUUUAUAUAUUUUUAAUUAUAAUAUAUUUUAUUCAUGAAAUAUAUAUUUUUUGCAAUAAAUUUCAAAAUUCUUUUGAAAAAGUUACAUAGCAUUUUAAAAAAUUAAGUAAAAUUUUAUAUUUGUUUAAAAAAUUAAAUAAAAAACUUCUUAUCUUUUUAAAAUAUUAAGUAAAAAUUUUCAAAUCAUUUAAUAUUCUUUAUUUAAAUUUUAUAUUUGUAGAUAAUUAAAAAAAAAUAAAAAUGGUCCUUAAUGCCUCUAAUCUGGUGAGGAGAAGAAAUCGAAGUAUUGAAAAUAUAUUUUUUUUCUAUAGUAUAAAAUUUAUAAUAAAAUAUUUCAAAAUAGAUUUUUUUGGAUAGAAAAUAAAAUUUUGAAUAGAUUAAUAAAUCUUUUUUAAAAUGAUAUGAAAAUUUUUACUUAAUAUUUUAAAAUGAUAUAAAGUUUUUUAUUUUAUUUUUUAAACCGAUAUGGAAUUUUAUUUAAUUUUUAAAAUGAUAUAGAAUUUUUUUAAAAGGAGUUUUCAAAUUUUUAACUAAAUUUUAAUUUUUAAAAUAUUUUUAUUAAAAAUAGUAGUUUACGAAUAAUUAAUAUUAUAAUUGUUGGCCUUGAAUUGAUUAAGAGUUUUGAUUUGACAAAAUAAAAAUUUGCCAAACUUGUUUUAAUCUUGUUUAAGCUUAAAUUAAACAUUUUUCCACCCUUCUAUCUUGCCAAAAUUCAUUUGAGAACUAAAACAACUCAAAUUCUCGAAACAAAACAUGAUUUAUGCAAGUUUUGAUAGAGGGGUUCGAUCUCAAUCCCUUUCAUUACUAGAUCGAUCCCUAGCAAAAGGGAUCGAUCUUAUUUUCAACUAAAACCAAAAGUUCUCAAGAUUUGGCAAAAAUCGAUCGAUCCCCUUCUUGUAAGGAUCGAUUGGUUAGUAGAAUGGAUCAAUCCCCUCAUUUAAGGGAUCGAUCACUUUUUCAUACAGAAUGCUUUCUUCGUGCAAUUUUCCAAAAAAGGGAUCGAUCCCCCCAUAUAAGGGAUCAAUCACCUAAAAGAACAGAUCAAUCCCCUCAAGCGAGGGAUCGAUCGAGUAAGGCAAAAUAGGCAUAAAAUCAAGCUUUCUCAAACAUGAACCAAUAGAUCCCCUAAGUGAGGGGAUCGAUCCCCUGAACUAUUUUCUGUUUAAAAUUUCUACAGGUUUGAAGCAUUAAAUGCAAUCCAAUAGCUCUCAACUUUUUCCUAACUAUAAAUCGAGCAUUCCACUGCAGACCAAAAGUAACAAAAGCUAAAGAAACUUAUUGCUAUUCACCUACCAAUCUGCUCAAGCAUUCAAAGCUGUAGAAGAGAAAAGUGCAGAAUUCAUAUAAGUUUUUCUCUACUUUCUUAUUUAUACAUUUGUGUACUUCAACUUAGCAAACACCUAGCCUUUGUGAGGUUCUUAAAGCUUGCCAAACACUUUUGAAUUUUUUGUAUUGCAACAUCUCUUAGAAGUGAAGGGCAUUCAACUGUUAGACCUUCUCUCCCUGCUGGUGACAACUAUUCCUAUUGGAAGACUAGGAUAAGGCUGUUCAUUCAAGCAAAUGAUUAUGAAGUCUGGAGGGUCAUUGUAAAUGGUCCUCAAAUUCCAAUAAAGAUGAUGGAUGGUAAGGAGGUGAUAAAGCUAAAGAGUGAUGGGAUGUCAAUGACAUAAAGAUGGCUCAACUCAAUGCCAAAGCAAUGCACACACCCUUUUAUGCAUUAGAACUAAGUGAGUAUAAUAGAGUCUUUUGGUAUGAAAAUGCAAAGAAAAUUUAAGAUAAGCUGGCUAUCACCCAUGAAGGUACAAACCAAGUGAAGGAGACUAAAAUAGGCGUGCUUACUCAUGAUUAUGAGCUCUUCAAGAUGAAACCCGAUGAAACCAUUAGUGAGAUGUCAAACUACUUUACCGACAUCAUUAAUGGUUUAAAGGCUCUUGGAAAGGCAUAUUCAAAUGUGGAGAUGGUAAAAAAAAUUCUCAAUAGUCUACCAAAGAGUUGGGAAGCCAAAGUGACAGUUAUUGAAGAGUCCAAAGAUCCUCAUACAUUUUUUUUGGAUGAACUAAUGGGCUCUCUCCUCACUUAUGAAAUGAAGAUAAAAAGAGGACAAGAACCAGUCAAGAAAAGUGGCAUUGCUCUCAAAUCUACCUUUCAAGAGGAUGAAGAAAAUUUUGCUUAAGAGGAGGAUGAUGAAGAUGAAGAGAUGGCUAUGUUUGCAAAGCUAUUCAAAAAGUUCAUGAGAAUGAACAAGUUCCCAAGUAGGAGGAGACCAUAAAGGGAGAUGACUAAAGGAGAAUCUAGUAGAAGAGAAAGGGAUCAAAUUAUUCGCUAUAAAUGUAACAAACCAGGUCACAAUAAACUUGAUUGUCUUUUAUGGAAAAAGCAGAACAUGACCAAGCCAAAGAAGAAAGCUAUGGUAGCAACAUGGAGUGAUAGCGACUUCUCCGAUGAUGAAUCAAAUGAGGGGGAAGUAGCCAACCUAUGUCUCAUAGCUCUUGAUGAGCCCAAGGUAACCUCUAAUCCAUGUGAUUCAAAUUCAUACUCAUUUGAUGAACUACAAGAUGCCUAUGAUGAAUUAGCUAUAGAAUUUGAGAACAUGAGCAUGAUAUAUAAAAAAAUGAUCAGUAAAUUGAAACUAGAAAAUGAGUUAUUGACUAAAACAAAAGAAGACUGAAAAAAGGAAGUUAAGCUCUUGAAGGUAAAUGUCAAUGACUUGACUAAGAAAAAUAAAAAUCUGCAUAAUUCUUUUUCUAGAUUUUAUAUGGGUCAUCAAAAGCUCAAUGAUAUGCUAGAAACACAAAGAGCUUUCUUUGAUAAAGAUGGACUAGGUUAUAAUGGUGACAACAAAGAGACUCACUUGAAGAAUUUUUUUGUUAAGCCGAAUGAUUCAUCUAGCAUGUGUGCACAUUGUCAUAAAUUGGAUUAUUCUAUACAAUAUUAUUCUUUGAAGAAAGUCACUUAUAGUGGUAAGCUCAUUAGGAGAGUGUGGAUUCCAAAAAGAGUUAGCACAUCUCAAGAUGAGGCUACUAAAAUGAAGUGGAUUUUAAAAGGCACAAAAAUUCUUAGUACUAGCUCUCAAGGACCUAAAAAAAUUUGGGUACCCAAAAUAAAAAUUUAAUUGUGUUUUUGUAGGUGGAUGAGCAUUGCUAUAAAGUAAAUUCUAGCAAAAACAAUAAAUGGUUCCUUGAUAGUGGAUACUCAAAACACAUGACCGGAGAUAAAACUUUCUUUAAGGACUUUAAAGCGAAAAGUGGAGAGAGAUGUUAUACUUGGUGACAACUCAAAAGGCCAAAUUGAAGGGAUUGGCUCCAUUGGUAACAAUUCCUCUACUUCUAUUAAAAAUGUUUUACUUGUGAAAGGUCUCAAGCAUAAUUUACUUAGCAUUAGUCAACUAUGUGAUAAAGAUUUAGGGUUGUGUUUGAAUCCAUGUGCUGUCAAGUAAUUGAUAUCAAAACUAACAAGCUUGUUUUUGUUGAACACCAUCAAGGAAACAUUUAUGUAGUGCAUCUAGAUGACCUAUCCUCUAAAAAUGUUUGUUUUAUGGCUCAAAAAGAAAAUGAGAGUUGGAUUUGGCAUAAAAGGCUUGGAUAUGCAAGUAUACAUGUAAUUUCAAAACUUUCUCAAAAUAAUUUGGUUGUUGGUUUGCCAAAGUUGAAAUAUGAAAAUGACAAGGUUUGUGAUGCAUGUGCUCAAGGAAAACAUAGAAGAAUUUCUUUCAAACCUAAGAACUGCAUUUCAACUACUAGACUUUUUCAACUAUUGCACAUUGAUCUUUUUGGCCCUACUAGAACAAUGAGUCUUGGUGGAAAACAAUAUAGGUUUGUUAUUAUCGAUGAUUGCACUAGAUUAGCAUAGGUUUUCUUUUUGCAUUCAAAGAAUGAGGCUUUGGAAAAAUUCAUCACUUUUAGCAAACAAAUACAAAAUGAAAAAGGUUAUUCAAUUACUAGUAUUAGAAGUGAUCAUGAAAAGGAAUUUAAAAAUCUAGGCUUUAAUAUAUUUUGUAGUGAAAAUGGUAUUAGCCACAAUUUUCUACUCCUAGAACUCCUCAACAAAAUAGGGUAGUAGAAAUGAGAAAUAAAACUUUAGAAUAAAUGGCUAGAACCAUGCUUUGUGAAAACAAUCUACCUAGAUAUUUUUAUGCAAAAGCCAUAAAUACUUCUUGCUAUAUUAUAAAUAGAGCUAUGAUUAGGCUAGUUUUGAAGAAAAUCCCCUAUGAAAUUUUUAAAGGAAAAAGGCCUAACAUAAGUUAUUUUCAUCCUUUUGGUUGCAAAUGUUUUAUUUUGAACAAUGAAAAAGAUGAUCUUGGAAAAUUUGAUGCAAAAAGUGAUGAAAAAAGUUUUCUAGGAUAUUCUUUGAAUUCAAAAGCUUAUAGAGCUUUCAAUAAAAGAACAUUAGUGGUGCAAGAGUCUAUAGAGGAGCCACAACACAUAGAGAAAGAGCCAAAUCAUCCUAGAGAAAUAAGGUAUGUCAAAGAUAGUGAAAUCAUUGGUAAUCCAACUCAAGGGGUAAGAACUAGAUCUUCUUUUAAUGUGUGUAAUUAUGUUACUUUCCUAUCCAUAUUGAACCUAAAAAUAUAGAUGAAGCAUUAGGAGAUGAUCAUUGGAUUUUGGCCAUGCAAGAGGAAUUAAACCAAUUUGAAAAAGCCAUGUAUGGAAUCUUGUACCUAGGCCUAGUGACCAUCUUACCAUAGGCACCAAAUGGGUCUUUAGAAUAAAAUGGAUGAGAAUGGGAAUAUCAUUAGAAACAAAGCUAGAUUGGUAGCUCAAGGUAUAGCAAGAGGAAGGAAUAGAUUAUGAUGAAACCUAUGCCCCGGUAGCAAGGUUAGAAGCCAUAAGGAUGUUGCUUGCAUUUGCAUGUUUUAAAAAUUUAAGCUUUUUCAAAUGGAUGUCAAGAGUGCAUUUCUUAAUGGUUUUAUAAAUGAAGAAGUGUAUGUAGAGCAACCUCCAGUUUUGAAAAUUCAAAAUUUAAAUCAUGUUUAUAAAUUGACAAAAGCAUUAUAUGGUUUAAAAAAGCUCCUAGAGCUUGGUAUGAAAGAUUGUCAAUUUUUUUGAUUAAAAAUAGUUUUAAUAAAGGGAAGGUUGACACUACAUUUUUUAUUAAAAAAAAGGUAAGGACAUUCUCAUAGUGCAAAUUUAUGUUGAUGAUAUUAUAUUUGGUGCUACUAAUGAAAUUCUUUGUCAAGAAUUUGCUAAGAUUAUGCAAGGUGAAUUUGAAAUAAGCAUGAUGAGAGAACUCACAUUCUUCUUGGGACUAUACAAUAAAGCAAACAAAAGAUGGCACCUUCAUAAUCAAGCCAAAUACAUCAAAGAUUUGCUCAUAAGGUUUGAAUUGGGAGAAUCAAACCUUGUUUGACACCAAUGAGCACCUCAACAAAGCUUGACAAGAUGAAAAGGUAAAUGUGUUGACUCUAAACUAUAUAGGUCUAUGAUUGGUUCAUUGCUAUAUCUUACUGCUAGUAGACCUGAUAUUAUGUUUAGUGUAUGUCUAUGUGCUAGAUUUCAAUCAUCUCCUAGAAAACACAUUUGUUUGCUAUCAAAAGGAUUUUUAGAUACCUUAGACACCCCAAAUUUAGGAUUAUGGUAUCCAAAAGGCUCUUCCUUUGCUUUAUAUGCCUAUUCGAUGCGAAUUUUGUGGUGCAAAAUUGAUAGAAAAAGCACUUUUACUUGUCAAUUGUUUGAAAUAUGCUCAUAUCAUGGUUUUCAAGAAACAAAAUAGUGUUGCUCAAUCUACAACCGAAGCUAAAUAUGUAGCGGCUGGAAGUUGUUGUGCCAGGUUUUGUGGAUUAAGCAACAAUUGAGGAUUUUGGAAUAACCAUGGAUCAUAUUCCCAUUAAAUGUGACAGUACUAGUGCCAUCAACCUCACUAAAAAUCCAAUUCAAGACUCUAGAACCAACAUAUUGAAAUUAGCAUCAUUUUAUUAGAGAUCAUGUUCAAAGGGUGACAUUGUACUUGAAUAUGUUGACACCUUGCAUCAACUAGCUGAUAUCUUCACAAAACCUCUUGAUAAGGAUAGAUUUUUAUGCAAUUAGAGGUGAACUUGCAUGAUGAAUGCUUCUUAAGUGAAAUUCUUGAUGUUAUGAUGUAUGGUGCACUUUUGAUUGAUUAAUGUAUGUUUUUCUGAAUUUUUUUUUUUUUGGUUUGUUGCAUGAUUGUAAAAUGCUUAUUUGAAUGAUCAUAUUGCAUGGUUUUCAACAUGCUAUAGCAAAAACCAAUGUAGAUCCCCUUUGGAGAUGGAUCGAUUGAGUUUUUCACCCCUAGCCAAAGUAAAGGGAAACAAUAGGGAACUGAUUUGAUCCACUUUUGGAUAGAUCGAUCGAGUGUAAAGGCAGGAAGCCAAUUUUGUUGAACCCAGGAAGAACCGAUCAUCCCCUCUUUGACAAGAUCGAUCGGGUAUUCAACCAGUAGCCAAAAUGACUUGAAAAUGCAAAAUCGAUCGAUCCCCUUCAAACCCAAUCGAUAGUUCCAUGCAAAAGCCCAAAAUCGAUCGAUCCCACUUCACCCGAUCGAUCGAUUCAUGAAUUUUAGGCGUGAUAAAUUCAGGUCCUCACUGUUUGCGACCUUUCAUCUUUCCUCUCUAUUCAUCUUCUUUCCCAACUCAUUCUCUACACCCUAGAUAUUUCACUAAAAAUUGACUCUUUCUCUUACAAAUUUCUCUUGUAAACUCGCUACCCAUAAUCUCUCAUGGCACCCAAACCAAAGUCACAGCUGAUGAUGAAACCCUCCAAGAGAGGCUUCAAGCUCCACCAUGAAGCCUUUUUCAACCAAAAUUUCAACAAUCCCAACACCAAUAAGUGGUAUGAGACACACUUUGCUCACCGGAAGUAAAACCUAAAGGGUAAUCUCACUAGACUUCCUUCAAUCCAUAGAGUUUCCUAUUUGCAUACUUUUGAGUCUUUUGGAUGGAUGCCUUACUUAUGUAUGGAGAGUCGCUUAUUGAGAAUCUAGUAAGAGUUUUCUAUAGUAAUGCUAGCUAUGUUCAAAUUGAAGGAACAAAUAGGCAUUACCUUGAUAGGUUCAGAACAUAUGUAAUGGGGAAGGAAAUCUUAGUUACAAAACAAGUGCUAGCUGAGGCCUUUACAUUAGCUGAUGAAGGGAGACAAAUCUAGAUGUGAUAUAGUGCAACUAGCUCAAGAUAUCUUUAGGAAUCAUAAUUUACAGGUUGCUCCACAAGCCUCUAGGUUACCCAUGCAUGAUCGGUUGUUACACCUUAUUGUAACCCAUGUGUUAGCCCUUUUGGGACCCAAUACUCCACCAUUAGGAAACAAGAUUAUUGGUGGAUGUACAAGAUCAAGCAUGAAAAACCAAAUUUGAUGCACUUCAUUUUUAGUGACAUGAUGAAUUGUCUAGAAUAGAGAUGUUACUCUGGUAUAUGGGUAUGCUAUCAGCAAUCUUUUGAGACAUUUGGAAGUAAACACUAAGGUGACAGAGAGAUGUGCAUCAAUGACCCAUUUAGUAUUCUUGGGCCUCCCACAUUGCAUAGUAUGGGGUAUGUUGAAACUCUAGCUGGCCAAUGGGUUAAAAAGGGGAUAUUGGUGUUGCACAAGAGGAAGAGGAAGAGCAAGACCCUGUUAUAUGCCUGCACCUCAAGAAGAACCCCUAGCACACCUUUUGACACUCAAGUGCCCUAGAAUGCUCUUACUUCAUAUGAAUAGCCUGCACUCGGUGGUUGGCACUAUGAGCACUAGAUUGGAGUCCAUGAGAAACUCAAAAUGACCUUGUGGCAAAGUCGGCAUAUUCGAGCUGAUAUUGAGCAUAUGAGGUCUACUUCAGCACAUGGGAUAGUCUUCGCAUUACUCUCCUCCUUCACCUCCAUCUUUCAUUCUCCACCUCCACCUCACUGAAGCCUUCUUACUGCCAUCUUAUGUUUUCCCACAUUUUUUUUUGUAAAUAUAACUUUGCAUUAUGGCUUGUAGACUUUGAUCUUUAUAUUAAUGCAACUAUCUUUUAUUCUCUUGUGGCUUGUGCUUUGUGGCUUUGUUGUGUGUAGUUUCAUGUUUGAAGUGACCUUAGUGGCCUUGAAUUGCUUAUUCCCUCAUUUUGAUUUGCUUCAUUUAGUAUUUUUGCUAUGAAAAAAAGGGAGAAAAUAUUGGUAUGAAAGUUUGAUGAUGUAUGAAAAUCUGAUGAUGUUUUGAUAUUGAUGGAUAUAUUGAUGGUUAUGGUGAUAUUACUCUUGUCUAGUUGCCUUAAAUCUUAUGCCUAAAUUCAGAGGGAGCUUCUUUUCAAAAGGAAAAAUGUUUUUCAUGCAAAAUUUUCAUUUGGUUUUGUCAUAUCAAAAAGGGGAGAUUGUUGGCCUUGAAUUGAUUAAGAGUUUUGAUUUGACAAAAUAAAAAUUUGCCAAACUUUUUCAAUCUUGUCUAAGCUUAAAUUGAACAUUUUUCCACCCUUCUAUCUUGCCAAAAUUCAUUUGAGAACCAAAAGAACUCAAAUUCUGAACAAAACAUGAUUUAUGCAAGUUUUGAUAGAAGGGAUCGAUCCCUUAGGAAGGGAUCAUCCCCUCCAUUACCAGAUCGAUCCCCUAGCAAAAGGGAUCGAUCUGUUUUCAACUAGAAAAGUUCUCAAGAUUUGGCAAAAAUGAUCGAUCCCCUCCCUGUAGGGAUCGAUUGGUUAGUAAAUGGAUCGAUCCCCUCAUUUAAGGAUCGAUCACUUUUUCAUACAGAAUGCGUUCCUCGUGCAAUUUUCUAGAAAAAGGAUCGAUCACCUCACAUAGAGGAUCAAUCACCUAAGGCAAGGAAUCGAUCCCCUCUUAAAGGGAUCGAUCAUUUGUUCAAACAGAAUGUCCCCCAAGUGUGGAAACCCAAAAAAGGGAUCGAUCCCCCAUAUAAGGGAUCGAUCACCUAAAAGAACAGAUGGAUCCCUUCAAGCAAGGGAUCGAUCGGGUAAGGUAAAAUAGGCAUAAAAUCGGGCUUUCUCAAACAUGAACCAAUCGAUCCCUAAGGGAUGGCAUUGAUCCCCUGAAGGCCUAAAACUCCUAACUAUUUUCUGUAAAAUUUUCAAGUUUGAAGCAUUAAAUGCAAUCCAAUGGCUCUCAACUUCUUUCUAACUAUAAAUCAAGCAUUCACUAGACCAAGAGUAACAAGAGCUAAAGAAACUUAUUGCUAUUCACCUACCAAUCUGUUCAAGCAUUCAAAGCUGUAAAAAAGAAAAAGUGCAAGAAUUCAUAUCAUUUUUCUCUACUUUCUUAUCUAUAAUUUGUGUACUUCAACUUAGCAAACACCUAGCCUUUGUGAGGUUCUUAAAGUUUGCCAAACACUUCUGAAUUUUUUGUAUUAUGAGUGUGUAAGCUUAAGGGGGAGGAUAACCCUUAAGAGUGUAUGUUGUUGAGUUUGUAAAGCUUUGUGAAAGCUUAGUUGUAAUCUUCAUCAAAUAGUGGAUUGAACUCCUUAGCAAGAGAGGCUAAGGAGAGGACGUAGGUGCCUAAGAAAGGAUCGAACCUCUAUAAAUCUUGGUGUUAAAUUCUCUAACCCUAUCUUUUGUUUAUAUUCAUCUAUUGUGCUUAUCUAUUUUGAUAAUUUAUGGUUAUUGAAUAUUAUCUUUGAAAAUUUUAUUAAAACCAAUUCACCCCUCUCUUGGUUUAUUCCAAGUCUUUGAGCUAACAAUUGGUAUCAGAGCCAGUACUCUUUUUGUAGGUUUAAUAGCCCAAGAGUGAUCUUAAAAAUAGUUCAAAGAAAUAUGGUAAUCAAUGUGAAAAAACCAUCCUCAAGCUAUAACAACUAAACCUGCCAACAAGAGAUGUGUCUCAUGGCAAAUGAAAUAGUUGCAACAUCUUUUGGAAGUGAAGGGCAUUCAACUAUUAGACCCCCUCUCUUUGCUGGUGACAAUUACUCCUAUUGGAAGACUAGGAUGAGGCUGUUCAUUCAAGCAAAUGAUUAUGAAGUCUGGAGGGUCAUUGUAAAUGGUCCUCAAAUUCCAAUGAAGAUGGUGGAUGGUAAGGAGGUGAUAAAGCUAGAGAGUGAAUGGGAUGUCAAUGACAUGAAGAUGGCUCAACUCAAUGCCAAAGUAAUGCAUACACUCUUUUGUGCAUUGAGACCAAGUGAAUGUAAUAGAGUCUCCUUAUGUGAAAAUGCAAAGGAAAUUUGGGAUAAGCUGGCUGUCACCCAUGAAGGUACAAACCAAGUGAAAGAGAUAAAAAUAGGUAUGCUUACUCAUGAUUAUGAGCUGUUCAAGAUGAAACCCGAUGAAACCAUUAGUGAGAUGUCAAAUCGCUUCACCGACAUCAUUAAUGGUUUAAAGGCUCUUGAGAAGAUAUAUUCAAAUGUGAAGAUGGUAAAGAAAAUUCUCAAUAGUCUACCAAAGAGUUGGGAAGCCAAAGUGAUAGCCAUUGAAGAGUCCAAAGAUCCUCAUACACUUUCUUUAGAUGAACUAAUGGGCUUUCUCCUCACUUAUGAAAUAAAGAUAAAAAGGGGACAAGAACUAGUCAAGAAAGGUGGCAUUAAUCUCAAAUCUACCUUUCAAGAGAAUGAAAAAAUUUUUGCUCAAGAGGAGGAUGAUGAAGAUGAAGAGAUGCCCAUGUUUGCAAAGUAAUUCAAAAAGGUCAUGAGAAUGAACCAUUCCCAAGUAGGAGGAAACCACAAAGGGAGAUGACUAAAAGGGAAUCAAGUAGAAAAAAAAAGAUAAAAUUAUUUGCUAUGAAUGUAACAAAUCGGGUCACAUUAAACUUGAUUGUCCCUUGUGGAAAAAGCAAAACAUGACCAAGCCAAAGAGGAAAGCUAUGGUAGCAACAUGGAGUGAUAGUGACUUCUCCGAUGAUGAAUCAAAUAAGGGAGAAAUAGCCAACCUAUGUCUCAUGGCUCUUGAUGAGCUCAAAGUAACCUCUAAUCCAUGUGAUUCAAAUUAAUACUCAUUUAAUGAACUACAAGAUGCCUAUGAUGAAUUAGCUAUAGAAUUUGAGAACUUGAGCAUCAAAUAUAGAAAAAUAUUAGUAAAUUGAAACUAAAAAAUGAGUCAUUGACUAAAACAAAAGAAGACUUAAAAAAAGAAGUUGAGCUCUUGAAGGUAAAUGUCAAUGACUUGACUAAGAAAAAUGAAAAUCUGCAUAAUUCAUUUCUAGAUUUUAUAUGGGUCAUCAAAAGCUCAAUGAUAUGCUAGAAACACAAAAAGCUUUCUUUAAUAAAAAUGGACUAGGUUAUAAUGGUGACAACAAAGAGACUCACUUGAAGAAUUUUCAUGUUAAGCCAAAUGAUUCAUCUAGCAUGUGUGCACAUUAUCAUAAAUUGGAUCAUUCCAUAAAAUAUUGUUCCUUGAAGAAAGUCACUUAUAGAGGUAAGCUCAUUAGGAGAGUGUGGAUUCCAAAAAAAGUUAGCACAUCUCUAGAUGAGGCUACUAAAAUGAAGUGGAUUCCAAAAGGUAUAAAAAUUGUUAGUACUAACUUUCAAGGACCCAAGAAAAUUUAGGUACCCAAAACAAAAAUUUAAUUGUGUUUUUGUAGGUGGAUGAGCAUUGCUACAAAGCAAAUUCCAGCAAAACAAUCAAUGGUACCUUGAUAGUGGAUGCUUAAAACACAUGACCGGAGACAAAACUCUCUUUAAGGACUUUAAAGCAAAAAGUGAAGGAGAUGUUGCAUUUGAUGACAACUCAAAAGGCCAAACUAAAGGGAUUGGCUCCAUUGAUAACAAUUCCUCUACUUCUAUUGAAAAUGUUUUACUUGUGAAAGGCCUCAAGCAUAAUUUACUUAGCAUUAGUCAAUUAUGUGAUAAAGGAUUUAGGGUUGUAUUUGAAUCCAUGUGCUGUCAAGUAAUUGAUGUCAAAAGUAACAAGCUUAUUUUUGUUGGACACCAUCAAGGAAACAUUUAUGUAGUGCAUCUAGAUGACCUAUCCUCUAAAAAUGUUUAUUUUAUGGCUCAAAAAGAAAAUGAGAGUUGGAUUUGGCAUAGAAGGCUUGGACAUGCAAGUAUGCAUGUAAUUUCAAAACUUUCUCAAAAUAAUUUGGUUGUUGGUUUGCCAAAGUUGAAAUAUGAAAAUGACAAGGUUUGUGAUGCAAGUGCUCAAGGAAAACAUAAAAAAAUUUCUUUCAAACCUAAGAAUUGCAUUUCAACUACUAGACCUCUUCAACUAUUGCAUAUUGAUCUUUUUGGCCCUACUAGAACAAUGAGUCUUGGUGGAAAAUAAUAUGGGUUUGUUAUUAUUGAUUAUUUCACUAGAUUCACAUGGGUUCUCUUUUUGCAUUCAAAGAAUGAAGCUUUUGAAAAAUUCAUCACUUUUAGUAAACAAAUACAAAAUGAAAAAGGUUAUUCAAUUGCUAGUAUUAGAAGUAAUCAUAGAAAGGAAUUUGAAAAUCUAGGCUUUAAUAUAUUUUGUAGUGAAAAUGGUAUUAGUCAUAAUUUUUCUGCUCUUAGAACUCCUCAGCAAAAUGAGGUAGUAGAAAGGAGAAAUAGAACUUUAGAAGAAAUGGCUAGAACCAUGUUUUGUGAAAACAAUCUACUUAGAUAUUUUUGGCAAAAGUCAUAAAUACUUCUUGCUAUAUUAUAAAUAGAACUAUGAUUAGGCCAAUUUUAAAGAAAACUCCCUAUAAACUUUUUAAAGGAAAAAGGCCUAACAUAAGUUAUUUUCAUCCUUUUGGUUGCAAAUAUUUUAUUUUGAACAAUGGAAAAGAUGACCUUGGAAAAUUUGUUGCAAAAAGUGAUGAAAGAAGUUUCCUAGGAUAUUCUUUGAAUNNNNNNNNNNNNNNNNNNNNNNNNNNNNNNNNNNNNNNNNNNNNNNNNNNNNNNNNNNNNNNNNNNNNNNNNNNNNNNNNNNNNNNNNNNNNNNNNNNNNNNNNNNNNNNNNNNNNNNNNNNNNNNNNNNNNNNNNNNNNNNNNNNNNNNNNNNNNNNNNNNNNNNNNNNNNNNNNNNNNNNNNNNNNNNNNNNNNNNNNNNNNNNNNNNNNNNNNNNNNNNNNNNNNNNNNNNNNNNNNNNNNNNNNNNNNNNNNNNNNNNNNNNNNNNNNNNNNNNNNNNNNNNNNNNNNNNNNNNNNNNNNNNNNNNNNNNNNNNNNNNNNNNNNNNNNNNNNNNNNNNNNNNNNNNNNNNNNNNNNNNNNNNNNNNNNNNNNNNNNNNNNNNNNNNNNNNNNNNNNNNNNNNNNNNNNNNNNNNNNNNNNNNNNNNNNNNNNNNNNNNNNNNNNNNNNNNNNNNNNNNNNNNNNNNNNNNNNNNNNNNNNNNNNNNNNNNNNNNNNNNNNNNNNNNNNNNNNNNNNNNNNNNNNNNNNNNNNNNNNNNNNNNNNNNNNNNNNNNNNNNNNNNNNNNNNNNNNNNNNNNNNNNNNNNNNNNNNNNNNNNNNNNNNNNNNNNNNNNNNNNNNNNNNNNNNNNNNNNNNNNNNNNNNNNNNNNNNNNNNNNNNNNNNNNNNNNNNNNNNNNNNNNNNNNNNNNNNNNNNNNNNNNNNNNNNNNNNNNNNNNNNNNNNNNNNNNNNNNNNNNNNNNNNNNNNNNNNNNNNNNNNNNNNNNNNNNNNNNNNNNNNNNNNNNNNNNNNNNNNNNNNNNNNNNNNNNNNNNNNNNNNNNNNNNNNNNNNNNNNNNNNNNNNNNNNNNNNNNNNNNNNNNNNNNNNNNNNNNNNNNNNNNNNNNNNNNNNNNNNNNNNNNNNNNNNNNNNNNNNNNNNNNNNNNNNNNNNNNNNNNNNNNNNNNNNNNNNNNNNNNNNNNNNNNNNNNNNNNNNNNNNNNNNNNNNNNNNNNNNAGAAGAAUGCAUGGCUUUUAUUCAGUAAAUGAGUUUAAAAUUACGUUUAAUAAAGUUAGAAAAAAAGAAAGACUAAACUAUAGAGUUAGGGUAAAUAGCAAUUGUAAUCUUUAAAUUUUGAGUUUAAUUUUAUUUUGAUUAUUAUUUUUUAAAAAGUUUUAAUUAGAUCUCAAUUGCUUAAAGGUAUCAUAUUUUGGCCCUUUCACCUACGAAACCAUCUAAAUUAAUACUAAAUGUUAGCUAACAUCACUAGGACGUUACCAUUGACAUUUCAUGUGGCAAAUGAACUAAUAAAGAAACCAAAAUAGAAUUUCGUUUAAAGUUUAAGAACAAAAAAUAUGACUAUCCCGAAUUUUUAUAUUUCAAAUAUAUUUUAUAAAAUAUUAAAUUUAAAAUAAUUAUUUUAUAUAUUUUAAUUAUAAUAUAUUUUAUUCAUGAAAUAUAUAUUUUUUGCAAUAAAUUUCAAAAAUUCUUUUGAAAAAGUUACAUAGCAUUUUAAAAAUUAAGUAAAAUUUUAUAUUUGUUUAAAAAAUUAAAUAAAAAACUUCUUAUCUUUUUAAAAUAUUAAGUAAAAAUUUUCAAAUCAUUUAAUAUUCUUUAUUUAAAUUUUAUAUUUGUAGAUAAUUAAAAAAAAAUAAAAAUGGUCCUUAAUGCCUCUAAUCUGGUGAGGAGAAGAAAUCGAAGUAUUGAAAAUAUAUUUUUUUUCUAUAGUAUAAAAUUUAUAAUAAAAUAUUUCAAAAUAGAUUUUUUGGAUAGAAAAUAAAAUUUGAAUAGAUUAAUUAAAUCUUUUUUAAAAUGAUAUGAAAAUUUUUACUUAAUAUUUUAAAAUGAUAUAAAGUUUUUUAUUUUAUUUUUUAAACCGAUAUGGAAUUUUAUUUAAUUUUUAAAAUGAUAUAGAAUUUUUUUAAAGGAGUUUUCAAAUUUUUAACUAAAUUUUAAUUUUUAAAAUAUUUUUAUUAAAAUAGUAGUUUACGAAUAAUUAAUAUUAUAAUUGUUGGCCUUGAAUUGAUUAAGAGUUUUGAUUUGACAAAUAAAAAUUUGCCAAACUUGUUUUAAUCUUGUUUAAGCUUAAAUUAAACAUUUUUCCACCCUUCUAUCUUGCCAAAAUUCAUUUGAGAACUAAAACAACUCAAAUUCUCGAAACAAAACAUGAUUUAUGCAAGUUUUGAUAGAGGGGUUCGAUCUCAAUCCCUUUCAUUACUAGAUCGAUCCCUAGCAAAAGGGAUCGAUCUUAUUUUCAACUAAAACCAAAAGUUCUCAAGAUUUGGCAAAAAUCGAUCGAUCCCCUUCUUGUAAGGAUCGAUUGGUUAGUAGAAUGGAUCAAUCCCCUCAUUUAAGGGAUCGAUCACUUUUUCAUACAGAAUGCUUUCUUCGUGCAAUUUUCCAAAAAAGGGAUCGAUCCCCCCAUAUAAGGGAUCAAUCACCUAAAAGAACAGAUCAAUCCCCUCAAGCGAGGAUCGAUCGAGUAAGGCAAAAUAGGCAUAAAUCAAGCUUUCUCAAACAUGAACCAAUAGAUCCCCUAAGUGAGGGGAUCGAUCCCCUGAACUAUUUUCUGUUUAAAAUUUCUACAGGUUUGAAGCAUUAAAUGCAAUCCAAUAGCUCUCAACUUUUUUCCUAACUAUAAAUCGAGCAUUCCACUGCAGACCAAAAGUAACAAAAGCUAAAGAAACUUAUUGCUAUUCACCUACCAAUCUGCUCAAGCAUUCAAAGCUGUAGAAGAGAAAAGUGCAGAAUUCAUAUAAGUUUUUCUCUACUUUCUUAUUUAUACAUUUGUGUACUUCAACUUAGCAAACACCUAGCCUUUGUGAGGUUCUUAAAGCUUGCCAAAACACUUUUGAAUUUUUUGUAUUGCAACAUCUCUUAGAAGUGAAGGGCAUUCAACUGUUAGACCUUCUCUCCCUGCUGGUGACAACUAUUCCUAUUGGAAGACUAGGAUAAGGCUGUUCAUUCAAGCAAAUGAUUAUGAAGUCUGGAGGGUCAUUGUAAAUGGUCCUCAAAUUCCAAUAAAGAUGAUGGAUGGUAAGGAGGUGAUAAAGCUAAAGAGUGAUGGGAUGUCAAUGACAUAAAGAUGGCUCAACUCAAUGCCAAAGCAAUGCACACACCCUUUUAUGCAUUAGAACUAAGUGAGUAUAAUAGAGUCUUUUGGUAUGAAAAUGCAAAGAAAAUUUAAGAUAAGCUGGCUAUCACCCAUGAAGGUACAAACCAAGUGAAGGAGACUAAAAUAGGCGUGCUUACUCAUGAUUAUGAGCUCUUCAAGAUGAAACCCGAUGAAACCAUUAGUGAGAUGUCAAACUACUUUACCGACAUCAUUAAUGGUUUUAAAGGCUCUUGGAAAGGCAUAUUCAAAUGUGGAGAUGGUAAAAAAAAUUCUCAAUAGUCUACCAAAGAGUUGGGAAGCCAAAGUGACAGUUAUUGAAGAGUCCAAAGAUCCUCAUACAUUUUUUUUGGAUGAACUAAUGGGCUCUCUCCUCACUUAUGAAAUGAAGAUAAAAAGAGGACAAGAACCAGUCAAGAAAAGUGGCAUUGCUCUCAAAUCUACCUUUCAAGAGGAUGAAGAAAAUUUUGCUUAAGAGGAGGAUGAUGAAGAUGAAGAGAUGGCUAUGUUUGCAAAGCUAUUCAAAAAGUUCAUGAGAAUGAACAAGUUCCCAAGUAGGAGGAGACCAUAAAGGGAGAUGACUAAAGGAGAAUCUAGUAGAAGAGAAAGGGAUCAAAUUAUUCGCUAUAAAUGUAACAAACCAGGUCACAAUAAACUUGAUUGUCUUUUAUGGAAAAAGCAGAACAUGACCAAGCCAAAGAAGAAAGCUAUGGUAGCAACAUGGAGUGAUAGCGACUUCUCCGAUGAUGAAUCAAAUGAGGGGGAAGUAGCCAACCUAUGUCUCAUAGCUCUUGAUGAGCCCAAGGUAACCUCUAAUCCAUGUGAUUCAAAUUCAUACUCAUUUGAUGAACUACAAGAUGCCUAUGAUGAAUUAGCUAUAGAAUUUGAGAACAUGAGCAUGAUAUAUAAAAAAAUGAUCAGUAAAUUGAAACUAGAAAAUGAGUUAUUGACUAAAACAAAAGAAGACUGAAAAAAGGAAGUUAAGCUCUUGAAGGUAAAUGUCAAUGACUUGACUAAGAAAAAUAAAAAUCUGCAUAAUUCUUUUUCUAGAUUUUAUAUGGGUCAUCAAAAGCUCAAUGAUAUGCUAGAAACACAAAGAGCUUUCUUUGAUAAAGAUGGACUAGGUUAUAAUGGUGACAACAAAGAGACUCACUUGAAGAAUUUUUUUGUUUAAGCCGAAUGAUUCAUCUAGCAUGUGUGCACAUUGUCAUAAAUUGGAUUAUUCUAUACAAUAUUAUUCUUUGAAGAAAGUCACUUAUAGUGGUAAGCUCAUUAGGAGAGUGUGGAUUCCAAAAAGAGUUAGCACAUCUCAAGAUGAGGCUACUAAAAUGAAGUGGAUUUUAAAAGGCACAAAAAUUCUUAGUACUAGCUCUCAAGGACCUAAAAAAAUUUGGGUACCCAAAAUAAAAAUUUAAUUGUGUUUUUGUAGGUGGAUGAGCAUUGCUAUAAAGUAAAUUCUAGCAAAAACAAUAAAUGGUUCCUUGAUAGUGGAUACUCAAAACACAUGACCGGAGAUAAAACUUUCUUUAAGGACUUUAAAGCGAAAAGUGGAGGAGAUGUUAUACUUGGUGACAACUCAAAAGGCCAAAUUGAAGGGAUUGGCUCCAUUGGUAACAAUUCCUCUACUUCUAUUAAAAAUGUUUUACUUGUGAAAGGUCUCAAGCAUAAUUUACUUAGCAUUAGUCAACUAUGUGAUAAAGAUUUAGGGUUGUGUUUGAAUCCAUGUGCUGUCAAGUAAUUGAUAUCAAAACUAACAAGCUUGUUUUUGUUGAACACCAUCAAGGAAACAUUUAUGUAGUGCAUCUAGAUGACCUAUCCUCUAAAAAUGUUUGUUUUAUGGCUCAAAAAGAAAAUGAGAGUUGGAUUUGGCAUAAAAGGCUUGGAUAUGCAAGUAUACAUGUAAUUUCAAAACUUUCUCAAAAUAAUUUGGUUGUUGGUUUGCCAAAGUUGAAAUAUGAAAAUGACAAGGUUUGUGAUGCAUGUGCUCAAGGAAAACAUAGAAGAAUUUCUUUCAAACCUAAGAACUGCAUUUCAACUACUAGACUUUUUCAACUAUUGCACAUUGAUCUUUUUGGCCCUACUAGAACAAUGAGUCUUGGUGGAAAACAAUAUAGGUUUGUUAUUAUCGAUGAUUGCACUAGAUUAGCAUAGGUUUUCUUUUUGCAUUCAAAGAAUGAGGCUUUGGAAAAAUUCAUCACUUUUAGCAAACAAAUACAAAAUGAAAAAGGUUAUUCAAUUACUAGUAUUAGAAGUGAUCAUGAAAAGGAAUUUAAAAAUCUAGGCUUUAAUAUAUUUUGUAGUGAAAAUGGUAUUAGCCACAAUUUUUCUACUCCUAGAACUCCUCAACAAAAUAGGGUAGUAGAAAUGAGAAAUAAAACUUUAGAAUAAAUGGCUAGAACCAUGCUUUGUGAAAACAAUCUACCUAGAUAUUUUUAUGCAAAAGCCAUAAAUACUUCUUGCUAUAUUAUAAAUAGAGCUAUGAUUAGGCUAGUUUUGAAGAAAAUCCCCUAUGAAAUUUUUAAAGGAAAAAGGCCUAACAUAAGUUAUUUUCAUCCUUUUGGUUGCAAAUGUUUUAUUUUGAACAAUGAAAAAGAUGAUCUUGGAAAAUUUGAUGCAAAAAGUGAUGAAAAAAGUUUUCUAGGAUAUUCUUUGAAUUCAAAAGCUUAUAGAGCUUUCAAUAAAAGAACAUUAGUGGUGCAAGAGUCUAUAGAGGAGCCACAACACAUAGAGAAAGAGCCAAAUCAUCCUAGAGAAAUAAGGUAUGUCAAAGAUAGUGAAAUCAUUGGUAAUCCAACUCAAGGGGUAAGAACUAGAUCUUCUUUUAAUGUGUGUAAUUAUGUUACUUUCUUAUCCUAUAUUGAACCUAAAAAUAUAGAUGAAGCAUUAGGAGAUGAUCAUUGGAUUUUGGCCAUGCAAGAGGAACUAAACCAAUUUGAAAAAAACCAUGUAUGGAAUCUUGUACCUAGGCCUAGUGACCAUCUUGCCAUAGGCACCAAAUGGGUCUUUAGGAAUAAAAUGGAUGAGAAUGGGAAUAUCAUUAGAAACAAAGCUAGAUUGGUAGCUCAAAGGUAUAGUCAAGAGGAAGGAAUAGAUUAUGAUAAACCUAUGCCCCGGUAGCAAGGUUAGAAGCCAUAAGGAUGUUGCUUGCAUUUGAAUGUUUUAAAAAUUUCAAGCUUUUUCAAAUGGAUGUCAAGAGUACAUUUCUUAAUGGUUUUGUAAAUGAAGAAGUGUAUGUAGAGCAACCUCCCAGUUUUAAAAAUUCAAAAUUUUUAAAUCAUGUUUAUAAAUUGACAAAAGCAUUAUAUGAUUUAAAAGAAGCUCCUAGAGCUUGGUAUGUAAGAUUGUUAAUUUUUUUGAUUGAAAAUGGUUUUAAUAGAGGGAAGGUUGACACUACAUGUUUUAUUAAAAAAAAGGUAAAGACAUUCUCAUAGUGCAAAUUUAUGUUGAUGAUAUUAUAUUUGGUGCUACUAAUGAAAUUCUUUGUCAAGAAUUUGCUAGAUUAUGCAAGGUGAAUUUGAAAUAAGCAUGAUGAGAGAACUCACAUUCUUCUUGGGACUAUAAAUAAAGCAAACAAAAGAUGGCACCUUCAUAAAUCAAGCCAAAUACAUCAAAGAUUUGCUCAUAAGGUUUGAAUUAGGAGAAUCAAAACCUUGUUUGACACCAAUGAGCACCUCAACAAAGCUUGACAAGGAUGAAUAAGGUAAAUGUGUUGACUCUAAACUAUAUAGGUCUAUGCUUUGUUCAUUGCUAUAUCUUACUGCUAGUAGACCUGAUAUUAUGUUUAGUGUAUGUCUAUGUGCUAGAUUUCAAUCAUCUCCUAAAGAAAUACAUUUGUUUGCUAUCAAAAGGAUUUUUAGAUACCUUACGGACACCCCAAAUUUAGGAUUAUGGUAUUCAAAAGGCUUUUCCUUUGCUUUAUAUGCCUAUUCCGAUGCGAAUUUUUGUGGGUGCAAAAUUGAUAGAAAAAGCACUUUUGAUGCUUGUCAAUUGUUUGAAAAUAUGCUCAUAUCAAGGUUUUCUAAGAAACAAAAUAGUGUUGCUCAAUCUACAACCAAAGCUAAAUAUGUAGCGGUUGGAAGUUGUAGUGCCCAAGUUUUGUGGAUUAAGCAACAAUUGGAGGAUUUUGGAAUAACCAUGGAUCAUAUUCCCAUUAAAUGUGACAGUACUAGUGCCAUCAACCUCACUAAAAAUCCAAUUCAAGACUCUAGAACCAAACAUAUUGAAAUUAGGCAUCAUUUUAUUAGAGAUCAUGUUCAAAAGGGUGACAUUGUACUUGAAUAUGUUGACACCUUGCAUCAACUAGCUGAUAUCUUCACAAAACCUCUUGAUAAGGAUAGAUUUUAUGCAAUUAGAGGUGAACUUGGCAUGAUGAAUGCUUCUUAAAGUGAAAUUCUUGAUGUUAUGAUGUAUGGUGCACUUUUGAUUGAUUAAUGUAUGUUUUUCUGAAUUUUUUUUUUUUUGGUUUGUGCAUGAUUGUAAAAUGCUUAUUUGAAUGAUCAUAUUGCAUGGUUUUCAACAUGCUAUAGCAAAAACCAAUUGAUCCCCUUUGGAAUGGAUCGAUUGGUUUUUCACCCCUAGCCAAAGUAAAGGGAAAACAUAGGGAACUGAUUGAUCCCUUUUGGAUAGGAUCGAUCGAGUGUAAAGGCAGGAGCCAAUUUUGUUGAACCUAGGAAGAACCGAUCUAUCCCCUCUUUGACAAGAUCGAUCGGGUAUUCAACCAGUAGCCAAAAUGACUUGAAAAUAUGCAAAAUCGAUCGAUCCCCUUCAAACCCAAUCGAUUAGUUCCAUGCAAAAGCCCAAAAUCGAUCGAUCCUUCACUUCACCCGAUCGAUCGAUUCAUGAAUUUUAGGCGUGAUAAAUUCAGGUCCUCACUUGUUUGAUCGACCCUUUCAUCUUUCCUCUCUUAUUCAUCUUCUUUCCCAACUCCUUUUCUCUACACCCUAGAUAUUUCUACUAAAAAUUGACUCUUUCUCUUACAAAUUUCUCUUGUAAACUCGCUACCCAUAAUCUCCUAUGACACCCAAAACCAAAGUCACAGCUAGAUGAUGAAACCCUCCAAGAGAGGCCUCAAACUCCACCAUGAAGCCUUUUUUCAACCAAAAUUUCAACAAUCCCAACACCAAUAAGUGGUAUGAGACACACUUUGCUCAUCGGGAAGUAAAACCUAAAAGGGUAAUCUCACUAGACUUCCUUCAAUCCAUAGAGUUUUCCUAUUUGCAUACUUUUGAGUCUUUUGGAUUGAUGCCUUACUUGUGUAUAGAGAGUCGCUUAUUCCAGAAUUUGGUAAGAGUAUUCUAUAGUAAUGCUAGCUAUGUUCAAAUUAGAGGAACAAAUAGGUAUUAGCUUGUUAGGUUCAGAACAUAUGUAAUGGGGAAGGAAAUCUUAGUUACAAAACAAGUGCUAGCUGAGGCCUUUACAUUAGCUGAUGAAGCGGAGACAAAUCCUAGAUGUGAUAUAGUGUAACUAGCUCAAGAUAUCUUUAGAAAUCAUAAUUUACAGGUUGCUUCCACUUAAGCCUCUAGGUUACCCUUGCAUGAUCGGUUGUUACACCUUAUUGUAACCCAUGUGUUAGCCCCUUUUGGGAUCCAAUACUCCACCAUUAGGAAACAAGAUUAUUGGUGGAUGUACAAGAUCAAGCAUGAAUGGAAACCAAAUUUGAUGCACUUCAUUUUUAGUGACAUGAUAAGAAUUAUCUAGAAUAGAGAUGUUACUCUGGUAUAUGGGUAUGCUAUCAGCAAUCUUUUGAGACAUUUGAAAGUAAACACUAAAGGUGACCAAGAUAUGUGUAUCAAUGACCCAUUUAGUAUUCUUGGGCCUCCCACAUUGCAUAGUAUGGGGUAUGUUGAAACUCUAGUUGGCCAAUGGGUUAAAAAUGGGGAUAUUGGUGUUGCACAAGAGGAAGAGGAAGAGCAAAACCCUGUUAAUAUGCCUGCACCUCAAGAAGAACCCCAUAGCACACCUUUUGACACUCAAAGUGCCCUAGAAAUGCUCUUACUUCAUAUGAAUAGCCUGCACUCGGUGGUUGGCACUAUGAGCACGAGAUUGGUGUCCAUGGAGAAAAUUUAAAAUGACCUUGUGACAAAAGUCCGGCAUAUUCGAGUUGAUAUUGAGCAUAUGAGGUCUACUCUUCAGCACAUGGGACAGUCUUCAUAUUACUCUCCUCCUUCACCUCCAUCUCUUCAUUCUCCACCUCCACCUCACUAAAGCCUUCCUACUGCCAUGACUUAUGUUUUCCCACAUUUUUUUUUGUAAAUAUAACUUUGCAUUAUGGCUUGUAGACUUUGAUCUUUAUAUUAAUGCAACCUAUCUUUUAUUCUCUUGUGGCUUGUGACUUUGUGGCUUAUGGCAUUGGUGUGUAGUUUCAUGUUUGAAGUGACCUUGAGUGGCCCUAAAUUACUUAUUCCCUCAUUUUGAUUUACUUCAUUUAGUAUUUUUGCUAUGAAAAAAAGGGAGAGAAAUAUUGGUAUGAAAAUUUGAUGAUGUAUGAAAAUCUAAUGAUGUUUUGAUAUUGAUGGAUAUAUUGAUGGUUAUGGUGAUAUUACUCUUGUCUAGUUGCCUUAAAUCUUAUGCCUAAAUUCAGAGGGAGCUUCUUUUCAAAAGGAAAAAUGUUUUUCAUGCAAAUUUUUCAUUUGGUUUUGUCAUAUCAAAAAGGGGGAGAUUGUUGGCCUUGAAUUGAUUAAGAGUUUUGAUUUGACAAAAUAAAAAUUUACCAAACUUGUUUUAAUCUUGUCUAAGCUUAAAUUGAACAAUUUUCCACCCGUCCAUCUUGCCAAAAUUCAUUUGAGAACCAAAAGAACUCAAAUUCUUGGAAUAAAAUAUGAUUUAUGCAAGUUUUGAUAGAAGGGAUCGAUCCCCUUAGGGAAGGGAUCAAUCCCCUCCAUUAUCAGAUCGAUCCUCUAGCAAAAGGGAUCGAUCCUGUUUUCAACUAGAAUUGAAAGCUCUCAAGAUUUGGUAAAAAUAGAUCGAUCCCCUCCCUAUAGGGAUCAAUUGGUUAGUAGAACAGAUCGAUCCCCUCAUUCAAAGGAUCGAUCACUUUUUCAUACAGAAUACUUUUCUCGUGCAAUUUUCCAGAAAAGGGAUCGAUCCUCUCACAUAGAGGAUUGAUCACCUAAGGCAAGGGAUCGAUCCCCUUUUAAAGGGAUCGAUCAGUUGCUCAAACAGAAUGUCCCCAAAGUGUGAAAAUCCAGAAAAGGGAUCGAUCCCCUCACAUAAGGGAUCGAUCACCUAAAAGAACAGAUCGAUCCUCUCAAGCAAGGGAUUGAUCGGGUAAGGCAAAAUAGGCAUAAAAUCGGGCUUUCUCAAACAUGAACCAAUCGAUCCCUUAAGGGAGGGGAUCGAUCCCCUGAAGGCCUGAAACUCCUAACGGCUAUUUUCUGUAUGAAAUUUUUACAAGUUUGAAGCAUUAAAUGCAAUCCAAUGACUCUCAACUUCUUUCUAACUAUAAAUCAAGCAUUUCACAGUAGACCAAGGGUAACAAGAGCUAAAGAAACUUAUUACUAUUCACCUACCAAUCUGCUUAAGCAUUCAAAGCUAUAAAAAAAGAAAAAGUGCAAAAUUCAUAUCAAUUUUUCUCUACUUUCUUAUCUAUAUAUUUGUGUACUUCAACUUAGCAAACACCUAGCCUUUGUGAGGUUCUUAAAGUUUGCCAAACACUUCUGAAUUUUUUGCAUUAUGAGUGUGUAAGCUUAAGGGGGCGGAUAACCCUUAGGAGUGUAUGUUGUUGAGUUUGUAAAGUUGUGUGAAAGCUUAGUUGUAAUCUUCAUCAAAUAGUAGAUUGAACUCCUUAGCAAGAGAGGUUAAGGGAGAGGACGUAGGUGCCUAAGAAAGGAUCGAACCUCUAUAAAUCUUGGUGUUAAUUCUCUAACCCUAUCUUUUGUUUAUAUUCAUCUAUUGUACUUAUCUAUUUUGAUAAUUUAUGGCUAUUGAAUAUUAUCUUUGAAAAUUUUAUUAAAACCAAUUCACCCCAUUUCUUGGUUUAUUCCAAGUCUUUGAGCUAACAAUUGGUAUCAGAGCCAAUGCUCUUUUUGUAGGUUUAAUAGCCCAAGAGUGAUCUUAAAAAUAGUUCAAAGAAAUAUGGUAAUCAAUGUGAAAAAACCAUCCUCAAGCUAUAACAACUAAACCUGCCAACAAGAGAUGUGUCUCAUGGCAAAUGAAAUAGUUGCAACAUCUUUUGGAAGUGAAGGGCAUUCAACUAUUAGACCCCCUCUCUUUGCUGGUGACAAUUACUCCUAUUGGAAGACUAGGAUGAGGCUGUUCAUUCAAGCAAAUGAUUAUGAAGUCUGGAGGGUCAUUGUAAAUGGUCCUCAAAUUCCAAUGAAGAUGGUGGAUGGUAAGGAGGUGAUAAAGCUAGAGAGUGAAUGGGAUGUCAAUGACAUGAAGAUGGCUCAACUCAAUGCCAAAGUAAUGCAUACACUCUUUUGUGCAUUGAGACCAAGUGAAUGUAAUAGAGUCUCCUUAUGUGAAAAUGCAAAGGAAAUUUGGGAUAAGCUGGCUGUCACCCAUGAAGGUACAAACCAAGUGAAAGAGAUAAAAAUAGGUAUGCUUACUCAUGAUUAUGAGCUGUUCAAGAUGAAACCCGAUGAAACCAUUAGUGAGAUGUCAAAUCGCUUCACCGACAUCAUUAAUGGUUUAAAGGCUCUUGAGAAGAUAUAUUCAAAUGUGAAGAUGGUAAAGAAAAUUCUCAAUAGUCUACCAAAGAGUUGGGAAGCCAAAGUGAUAGCCAUUGAAGAGUCCAAAGAUCCUCAUACACUUUCUUUAGAUGAACUAAUGGGCUUUCUCCUCACUUAUGAAAUAAAGAUAAAAAGGGGACAAGAACUAGUCAAGAAAGGUGGCAUUAAUCUCAAAUCUACCUUUCAAGAGAAUGAAAAAAUUUUUGCUCAAGAGGAGGAUGAUGAAGAUGAAGAGAUGCCCAUGUUUGCAAAGUAAUUCAAAAAGGUCAUGAGAAUGAACCAGUUCCCAAGUAGGAGGAAACCACAAAGGGAGAUGACUAAAAGGGAAUCAAGUAGAAAAAAAAAGAUAAAAUUAUUUGCUAUGAAUGUAACAAAUCGGGUCACAUUAAACUUGAUUGUCCCUUGUGGAAAAAGCAAAACAUGACCAAGCCAAAGAGGAAAGCUAUGGUAGCAACAUGGAGUGAUAGUGACUUCUCCGAUGAUGAAUCAAAUAAGGGAGAAAUAGCCAACCUAUGUCUCAUGGCUCUUGAUGAGCUCAAAGUAACCUCUAAUCCAUGUGAUUCAAAUUAAUACUCAUUUAAUGAACUACAAGAUGCCUAUGAUGAAUUAGCUAUAGAAUUUGAGAACUUGAGCAUCAAAUAUAGAAAAAUAUUAGUAAAUUGAAACUAAAAAAUGAGUCAUUGACUAAAACAAAAGAAGACUUAAAAAAAGAAGUUGAGCUCUUGAAGGUAAAUGUCAAUGACUUGACUAAGAAAAAUGAAAAUCUGCAUAAUUCAUUUCUAGAUUUUAUAUGGGUCAUCAAAAGCUCAAUGAUAUGCUAGAAACACAAAAAGCUUUCUUUAAUAAAAAUGGACUAGGUUAUAAUGGUGACAACAAAGAGACUCACUUGAAGAAUUUUCAUGUUAAGCCAAAUGAUUCAUCUAGCAUGUGUGCACAUUAUCAUAAAUUGGAUCAUUCCAUAAAAUAUUGUUCCUUGAAGAAAGUCACUUAUAGAGGUAAGCUCAUUAGGAGAGUGUGGAUUCCAAAAAAAGUUAGCACAUCUCUAGAUGAGGCUACUAAAAUGAAGUGGAUUCCAAAAGGUAUAAAAAUUGUUAGUACUAACUUUCAAGGACCCAAGAAAAUUUAGGUACCCAAAACAAAAAUUUAAUUGUGUUUUUGUAGGUGGAUGAGCAUUGCUACAAAGCAAAUUCCAGCAAGAACAAUCAAUGGUACCUUGAUAGUGGAUGCUUAAAACACAUGACCGGAGACAAAACUCUCUUUAAGGACUUUAAAGCAAAAAGUGAAGGAGAUGUUGCAUUUGAUGACAACUCAAAAGGCCAAACUAAAGGGAUUGGCUCCAUUGAUAACAAUUCCUCUACUUCUAUUGAAAAUGUUUUACUUGUGAAAGGCCUCAAGCAUAAUUUACUUAGCAUUAGUCAAUUAUGUGAUAAAGGAUUUAGGGUUGUAUUUGAAUCCAUGUGCUGUCAAGUAAUUGAUGUCAAAAGUAACAAGCUUAUUUUUGUUGGACACCAUCAAGGAAACAUUUAUGUAGUGCAUCUAGAUGACCUAUCCUCUAAAAAUGUUUAUUUUAUGGCUCAAAAAGAAAAUGAGAGUUGGAUUUGGCAUAGAAGGCUUGGACAUGCAAGUAUGCAUGUAAUUUCAAAACUUUCUCAAAAUAAUUUGGUUGUUGGUUUGCCAAAGUUGAAAUAUGAAAAUGACAAGGUUUGUGAUGCAAGUGCUCAAGGAAAACAUAAAAAAAUUUCUUUCAAACCUAAGAAUUGCAUUUCAACUACUAGACCUCUUCAACUAUUGCAUAUUGAUCUUUUUGGCCCUACUAGAACAAUGAGUCUUGGUGGAAAAUAAUAUGGGUUUGUUAUUAUUGAUUAUUUCACUAGAUUCACAUGGGUUCUCUUUUUGCAUUCAAAGAAUGAAGCUUUUGAAAAAUUCAUCACUUUUAGUAAACAAAUACAAAAUGAAAAAGGUUAUUCAAUUGCUAGUAUUAGAAGUAAUCAUAGAAAGGAAUUUGAAAAUCUAGGCUUUAAUAUAUUUUGUAGUGAAAAUGGUAUUAGUCAUAAUUUUUCUGCUCUUAGAACUCCUCAGCAAAAUGAGGUAGUAGAAAGGAGAAAUAGAACUUUAGAAGAAAUGGCUAGAACCAUGUUUUGUGAAAACAAUCUACUUAGAUAUUUUUGGCAAAAGUCAUAAAUACUUCUUGCUAUAUUAUAAAUAGAACUAUGAUUAGGCCAAUUUUAAAGAAAACUCCCUAUAAACUUUUUAAAGGAAAAAGGCCUAACAUAAGUUAUUUUCAUCCUUUUGGUUGCAAAUAUUUUAUUUUGAACAAUGGAAAAGAUGACCUUGGAAAAUUUGUUGCAAAAAGUGAUGAAAGAAGUUUCCUAGGAUAUUCUUUGAAUUCAAAAGCUUAUAGAGCUUUCAAUAAAAGAACAUUAGUGGUGGAAGAGUCUAUACAUGUUAUUUUUGAUGAAUCUAACCCACCUCCGAGCAAGGUGCUUCUUGAUGAUGAUGAUGUAGGUAUAUUUCAAGAAUAGAUCAAUGAUGCACCUUAAGACAUUGAGGAGAAAAAUCAAAAGGAAGAAGAUGAGUUUCUAGAGGAGCCACAACACGUAGAGAAAGAGCCAAAUCAUUCUAGAGAAAGAAAGUAUGUCAAAGAUAGUGAAAUCAUUGGUAAUCCAACUCAAAGGAUAAAAACUAGAUCUUCUUUUAAUGUGUGUAAUUAUGUUGCUUUCCUAUCCCAUAUUGAACCCAAAAAUAUAUAUGAACCAUUAGGAGAUGAUCAUUGGAUUUUGGCCAUGCAAGAGGAAUUGAACCAAUUUGAAAGAAGCCAUGUAUGGAAUCUUAUACCUAGGCCUAGUGACCAUCCCACCAUAAGCACCAAAUGGGUCUUUAGGAAUAAAAUGGAUGAGAAUGGGAAUAUCAUUAGAAACAAAGCUAAAUUGGUAGCUCAAGGGUAUAGGCAAGAGGAAAGAAUAGAUUACGAUGAAACUUAUGCCCCAGUAGCAAGGUUAGAAGCCAUAAGGAUGUUGCUUGCAUUUAUAUGUUUUAAAAAUUUUAAGCUUUUUCAAAUGGAUGUCAAGAGUGCAUUUCUUAAUGGUUUUAUAAAUGAAAAAAUGUAUGUAGAGCAACCUCUCGGUUUUGAAAAUCUAAAAUUUCCAAAUCAUGUUUAUAAAUUGAAAAAAGCAUUAUAUGGUUUAAAACAAGCUCGUAGAGCUUGGUAUGAAAGAUUGUCAAUUUUUUUGAUUGAAAUGGUUUUAAUAGAGGGAAGGUUGACACUAUACUUUUUAUUAAAACAAAAGGUAAGGACAUUCUCAUAGUGCAAAUUUAUGUUGAUGAUAUUAUAUUUGGUGCUACUAAUGAAAUUCUUUGUCAAAAAUUUGCUAAGAUUAUGCAAGGUGAAUUUGAAAUGAGCAUGAUGGGAGAACUCACAUUCUUUUUGGGACUACAAAUAAAGUAAACAAAAGAUGGCACCUUCAUAAAUCAAGUCAAACACAUCAAGGAUUUACUCAUAAGGUUUGAAUUGGGAGAAUCAAAGCCUUGUUUGACACCAAUGAGCACCUCAACAAAGCUUGACAAGGAUGAAUAAGGUAAAUGUGUUGACUCUAAACUAUAUAGGGCUAUAAUUGGUUUAUUGCUAUAUCUUACUGCUAGUAGACCUGAUAUUAUGUUUAAUGUAUGUCUAUGUGCUAGAUUUCAAUCAUCUCCUAGAGAAACACAUUUGUCUGCUGUUAAAUGGAUUUUUAUAUACCUUAAGGACACCUCAAAUUUAAGAUUAUGGUAUCCAAAAGGCUCUUUCUUUACUUUACAUGCCUAUUCCGAUGCGAAUUUUGGUGGGUGCAAAAUUGAUAGAAAAAGCACUUCUGGUACUUGUCAAUUGUUUGGAAAUAUGUUCAUAUCAUGGUUUUCCAAGAAACAAAAUAGUGUUGCUCAAUCUAUAAUCGAAGCUGAAUAGUGGCUAGAAGUUGUUAUGCCCAGGUUUUGUGGAUUAAGCAAUAAUUGGAGGAUUUUGGAACAACCAUGAAUCAUAUUUCCAUUAAAUGUGGCAAUACUAGUGCCAUCAACCUCACUAAAAAUCUAAUUCAACACUCUAGAACCAAACAUAUUGAAAUUAGGCAUCAUUUUAUUAGAGAUCAUGUUCAAAAGAGUGACAUUGUACUUGAAUAUGUUGACACCUUGCAUUAACUAGCUGAUAUCUUCACAAAACCUCUUGAUAGGGAUAGAUUUUAUGCAAUUAGAGGUGAACUUGGUGUGAUGAAUGCUCCUUGAAGUGAAAUUCUUGAUGUUAUGAUGUAUGGUGCACUUUUGAUUAAUUAAAUGUAUGUUUUUCUGAAAUUUUUUUCUGGUUUGUGCAUGAUUGUAAAAUGCUUGUUUGAAUGAUCAUAUUGCAUGAUUUUUAACAUGCUACAGCAAAAAUCAAUCGAUCCCCUUUGAAAUGGAUCGAUUGGUUCUUCACCCCUAGCCAAAGUAAAAGGAAAACAUAGGGAACCGAUCGAUCCCCUUUGGACAGGAUCGAUCGGGUGUAAAAGCAGUAGCCAAUUUCGUUGAACCCAGGAAGAACUGAUCGAUCUCUUCUUUGAUAAGAUCAAUCAGGUAUUCAACCAGUAGCCAAAAUGACUUGGAAAAGCGUAAAACUGAUCAAUCCCCUUCAAACCUAAUCGAUCAAUUCCAUGCAAAAGCUCAAAAUCGAUCAAUCCCCAUUUCACUCGAUCGAUAAGUUCGUAAAUUUUAGGCGUGAUAAAUUUGGGUCCUCACCUGUUUGAUUGACCCUUUCAUCUUUCCUCUCCUAUUCAUCUUCUUCCCCAACUCUUUUUCUUUACACCCUAGAUAUUUUCACUAAAAAUUAACUCAUUCUCUUACAAAUUUCUCUUGUAAACUCGCUACCCAUAAUCUCCCAUGGCACCCAGAACCAAAAUCAUGGCUGGAUGAUGAAACCCUCCAAGAGAGGCCUCAAGCUCCACCAUGACGCCUUCUUUCAACCAGAAUUUCAACAAUCCUUACGCCAAAGAGUAGUAUGAGACACAUUUUUCUCACCGGGAAGUAAAGCCUGGAAGGAUAAUCUCACUAGACUUCCUUCAAUGCAUAGAGUUUUCCUAUUUGCAUACUUUUGAAUCUUUUGGAUGGAUGCCUUACUUGUGUAUGGAGAGUCACUUAUUCGAGAAUCUAGUAAGAGUAUUCUAUAGUAAUGCUAGCUGUGUUCAAAUUGAAGGAAUAAAUAGGCAUUACCUUGAUAGGUUCAGAACAUAUGUAAUGGGAAAGGAAAUCUUUGUUACAAAACAAGUGCUAGCUGAGGCCUUUACGUUAACUGAUGAAGGGGAGACAAAUCCUAGAUGUGAUAUGACGCAACUAGCUCAAGAUAUCUUUAGGAAUCACAAUUUAUAGUGUCAUAACAUCUUGAUCCGGGGAUCUAUCGUUAGACAUUGACUUAAGGAGUCGCCACCAAUCUUUUUUAUCUAGGUGCGAUUGGCCACCUAAGGAAUCUAUCCUUUCGAGGAACACCUAAGUUUAAAGGUCCUUAGAAGAAUAGGUUCAGGUCUACUAACUAGAACAAGGCUCAGGAGUUCGGUUACGUGUGAGGAAGGUUAUAGCACCCUCACAACGCCCAUAAAAGAUGAUACCAGCUUAAUUUUGUGUUAUCCAAUAAGCCUUAAAAUUUUACCAAGUAAUUAAUUAUUAGAAAUUACUCUUAAUUGACUCUAAUACUUUUAGCAAAAAAUUAAAAAAAUUCUCUCACGUCAAGAGUAUGCAAGAAAACUAUUGUUUCGCUUGCAGAGACUCCAUCGUCUGAUUAUUUAACAUUAAAGAAAAUUCAAGAAAAUAAAAAGGAAGAAAAAAUGAUUGCUUUUGUACAGAGAGAAUUGAUACUUUCAACUUUUCCUCAAAAUAUUUUUUAAAAACUUUAAUUUCGAGAAAAAUUGAUACUUUUAACUUUUCCUCAAAAAUCCACUUUUGAAAACUUAUUUUUAAGAAAAAUUGAUACUUUCAACUUUUUUCCAAAAAUAUUUUUUUUUAGGAAGCUUAUUUUCAAGGAAAAUUGAUACUUUCAACUUUUCCUCAAAAAUAUUUUUUUUAAUUUUAUUUAAAGAAAUAAAAGAAAAAAUAAAAAUAAAAUAAAAAUAAGAUAAAAAGUAUUAAACAAUUCUAAUAUAAUAAUAAUAAUAAUAAAUAAAUAAAUAAAUAAAAUAAAAUAAAACAUUAGAACGACUCGGCUUGGUAGCUCGGCUCAGUGCGGCUUAAGGAAGAAAAGACGGCUUGAAGAUGCAGCUUGGCUUGGAUCGGCUCGGCUUCGAAAAUGGCUAGCACUCGGGUUGAACGCGAGUUGAAAGCAGGUUAAUGCUCGAGUUGGGUCGUCCGAUUUCAAAACGCACGGAUCCUCUGGGCACAGUAAUGCUAAAAUGACAUCAUUUUCAGCCAGUAUAAAAUGCUAUCCCUUCUGUUUUUUUAGCAGACCGAUCCUUCCCUCUUUUUCUCUUCCCUUCAUUUCCUCUGUCUUCUCUCUAAACCACGAAGAACUCCAGUUGAAUUCUCGUUGGAUUCUGAAAAUUUUCAUCGAAAUCUGGGUUUUUUGUCAGGAGUUCAUCGAAAAGCUGAUCGAUUUCUGGAAAUAGUCGUCAGAAACUGGGAAGCUAGUCGAAAAAUUCAAACUUCCUCGAAAAAUUCAACCGGAAUCUGAAAAUUUUUCAAAAAUUUCUAGAAAAAAAAUUCACCAAAAAUUUUAAAAAAUUUUCACCGAUUCUUAGAGCUAUUUUAACGCAGAAAAACCUUUUUUUAGCUUCUGUUUCUUCUCUGUUCACUCUCUCUCAGCCAAUGUCUGCCUUUUUGUGUGUUGGUCCUUUGAUUCGUGGAUCUAUUUAUAGGGAUUGAUCAGAAGAGUUUCUGAUCAAUCUCAACUCCUCCUUGGAUUGGGAUUCAAUCAUUGAAUCCAAUAUGGACUCUGAUUGAAUCCCCAUUCACAGUAGGAUUCCCCAAAUUUCAUUCCAAUCUCAACCGAAAAAAAGAAAAAGAAAAUAAAAAAUGUUAAUAGAAAUUAAAAGAAAAUAAUCAGAUAGAUAAAAAUAUUAACAGGUAAGUAAAAAUAAUAAUAGAUAAAUUAUAAUAUAUAAAUAGAUAAAUAAUAAUAAAUACAUAUAUAUAAUAUAUAAAUAGAUAAAUAAUAAAUAUAUAUAAAUAUUAACAGAUAAAAAAUAAUAAUAAUAAUAAAUAUAUAUUAAUAAAUAGUAAUAAUAAAUAAAUAAAUAAUAAAUACAUAAGAUACAAAAUAAAAUAAAAUAAAAUACAAAAUAUGAAAUAAAAUGGGCCUACCCAUUUGGACCAGGCCCAAUUGAUCCGGGCCUAGACCAAAUUGGGUGUCUACAGCUGCCCCUCUUUGCAUAUUUUCUGUGAAACAGAAAUUGCACAAAGACAUAGACACUCAUUCAAGACUCCACUCGACCUCUUUUUUCAUUUUUUUUGUGUUAAAAAUUUGAUCAAAACUCCUCUAAGUAAAGGUUCAACGAUUAUAGACAAAGCUUUUCUAAUCAGAGGCUCGAUGACUUUUGAAAAUAAAUAAACAAAGCUCCUCUAAUCAGAGGCUUUUGAAAAUAAACGGCUCUUCUAAUAAGAGGCUCUACGACUUUUGGAAAUAAUAAACAAAGCUCCUCUAAUCAGAGGCUUUUGGAAAUAAACUGCUCCUCUAAUUAGAGGCUCAACGACUUUUAAAAAAUAAAUGGCUCCUCUAAUCAGAGGCUCAACGACUUUGAAAUUAAAUAAAGCUCCUCUAAACAGAGGCUCAAUGACUUUUGGAAAAUAAAUGGCUCCUCUAAUCAAAGGCUCAACAACUUUGAAAAAAUAAAUAAAGCUCUUUGACAAUCAUGUCUAAAGGAGUUGAAAAUCGUGUUUGAAGGAAUUUCAGGAGAUUAUGCCCAAAGGUCUUACAAAUCAACCCUGAUACCGAGAGACAUCCUCUUUUAAGGAUUAGAAACUUAACUUACAAGCUUUUUUUCAAAUUUGAAAAUGUCUUCACAUUUGUCUUCUCUAUGUGGGAUGUUGGAAUACCCCUGCUUCUUGAAUUUAUGCACUAUAUUUUCUUAAAUGUAGUAUAUGCUAUGCAAUGCGUGUGAAAUUCAAUGCAUGCUAUGUGAAUGUUGGCUACUUGAUUCCUAUUCAAUUAUGGUACUCAAGUUUUUCAAGCUCUUUUCUUGGGCAUCGAACCCUUUGAUUCUUCAAAAACCAGAUUACACUGCUCUUUUAAGAUCAAGCCAGUGUAGCUCUCAAUCAUCUCUUCCACUCACAUUCUUCCUAUAAGAAAUCUCUUUCCAAAUUCAAUGUCCUUAUCAGGAAUUGAACAUCUCGAUUCUGCCUUUAUCACUCUUGACUUAUUCAAUGUAAUGUAAAAAUCUUUCAUGCCAUUAUUCAUUCAUCAAUCAUUAUUUCAAACUCAAAAAGUAAGAAUGCAUUUGCACAUUUCUUCUAUUGUAGAGUAUUAAGAGGAAAAGAAUAAGAAUGGUUGAAAAAUCAUCAACAGAAUAGGGACACAAAGAGUGAAAUAAAAUGUCUUUUAUUAACAAAAUAUUGGCUAAUUUUGGCCAAGGGAGAAUUACAAGGAUAAGUAUGGGGACAAAGCCCAAAAAUGAACAAUCGGAUAAUCAUGAUAACACAUUUCAAGGUUUUUCUGAAAACCCAACCAUCUGAUGUAUUUAACAACUUGGAGCUCCUCCGAAUUUGCUAGUCUCCAUGCCAACGAAUUUUAAAAUUUGAUGCUACAUUUUCUUUAUCUAAGCUGCCUUUUCAGGUUUUUAACUUAGACAAACUCCUUAUGACUCAAACCACCUUUUUAGGGUUUUCACCUUGAGUCCUCCUUUUUCAUUCACUUUUUUUUAUUUUCUUUUUUUUCAUUUUUUCUUUUUCAUUUUCUUUUUUUUUUCAUUUUCAUUUUUUAAGCAUAGUUUUUCUUCACAGCAUCAAAAUUUAUAGGAUGGGGUAAGUCAUUUCCAUCCAUCUGAGCUAGUAUCAGCACUCCACCCGAAAAAGUUCAUCUCACCACAUACGGUCCUUCCCAAUUCGGAGUCUAUUUUUCUUUAUUAUCGUGCUAGAUUGAGGGAUUCUCUUCAAGACCAACUCUCCUUCUCGAAAGUAACGGGGUCGAAUCUUUUUAUCAUGAGCCCUCAUCAUUCUUCUUUGAUAUAGCUGACUAUAGUACAAUGCAGUCAAUCUCUUUUCUUCUAUGAAAUUUAACUAUUCAUAACGUUCUCGAAUCCAUUUAGCUUCUUCUAACUCAACUUCUUUUAGAACCCUUAAGGGUAAGAUCUCCAAUUCCACUGGUAAUACAGCUUCCAUCCCAUAAACCAAAGAAAAUAGGGUUACCCUAGUAGAGGUGUGCACUAACGUUCGAUAUGCAUGCAGUGCAAAUGGUAACUUCUCGUGUCAAUCUUUAUAAGUCUCGAUCAUCUUUCCAAGAAUUUUUUUUAUAUUUUUGUUGGCUGCCUCAACUGCCCCAUUCAUUUUUGGACGAUAUGGUGUCGAGUUAUGAUACUUGAUCUUGUAUUGAGCACAUAUUUCUUGCAUCAUCUUACUAUUUAGAUUCUUGGCAUUAUCUGAAAUAAUUUUCUUUGGAAGUCCAUAUCUACAAAUGAUCUCUCUUUUUAUGAACUUACAAACCAUAGAUCAUGUUACAUUUGCAUAUGAUGCUACCUCUACCCAUUUUAUGAAGUAAUCUAUCAUCACAAAAAUAAAUCUAUGCCCAUUAGAAACCUUUGGGGUGAUAGGACCAACGACAUCCGUGCUCCACACUGAGAAUGGCCAAGGUGGUGCCAUAACAUGUAAAGCAGAUGGCGGAGCAUGGAUCUUAUCAGCAUAUAUCUAGCAUUUAUAGCACUUACGAGCAUAGUCAAUGCAAUCACUCUCCAUUGUUAACCAGUAAUAUCCCGCUCUAAUUAUCUGUCUUGCCAUCAUAUGUCCACUGGUAUGUGCCUCACAUAUUCCAUCAUGCACCUCUUCAAUGAUUUUUCUUGCUUCAGCCUUACUUACGUACCUUAGUAAUACCUGAUCCCGGUUUUUUUUGUACAGAACAUCUCUAUCUAGGAAAAAGCUCAUAGCCAAUCUUCGGAUGACCCUUUUAUCAUUUUUUAUUGCUUGAACUGGGUAUUGUUGAUCCUUAAUAUAUUGUAAGAUAUCAUAAUACUAGGGCUUCCCAUUUUUCUCAUCUUCUACAUUUGAGCAAUAAGUUGACAUAUCCUUAACAUCUAGCCUGAUGGGCUGAAUGUCUGUAUUGUCAUUAAUUUGAAUAAUUACAGCCAAAGUAGCCAAUACAUCGGUAAUUAGAUUCUCUUCUCGAGGUAAAUGAUUAAAUUGGAUAUCUUCAAAUUAUUUUAUAAACUUUAAAAUAUAUUUAUGAUAUGGAACGGGUUUUGAAUCUCUCGUCUCCUAUUCUCCUUUCAACUGAUAUAUAACUAGAACUGAGUCCCCAAACAUUUUUAAUGCUUUCAUUCUUCUAUCUAUAGCAACUUGUAAUCCCAUGACACAUGUCUCAUAUUCAGCGAUGUUAUUUGUGCAAUUAAAAUUUAACCUUGCUGUUACAGGGCAGUAUUGUUCUUCUAGGGAAAUCAGAACUGCCCCAAUUCCAUGUCCCAAGGCAUUGGCAGCUCUAUCAAAAUACAUUAUUCAACAUUUUUCUCCAUGCUCCCCUUUUUUCAGUUGAGAAAUAGUCAUUAGAUCUUCAUCAGGGAAUUCUAACCUCAUUGGUUCAUAUUCUUCAGUAGCACGAUCUGCAAGAAACUCCGUUAUAGCACCCUCUUUUAUCGUGUUUUGGCUUACAUAUAUAAUGUCAUAUUCCGAGAGCAUUACUUGCUAUCUAGCAAUUUUUUCAGACAAAAAAGGCUUCUCGAAGAUAUAUUUAAUUGGAUUCAGUUUUGCUAUGAGCCAUGUGGUAUGAUAGAGCAUAUAAUGUCUAAGUUCUUUGGCAGUCCACGCUAAUGGACAACACAUUUUCUCCAAUGAGAAAUACUUGGAUUCAUACUCUGUAAAUUUUUUACUCAAAUAGUAAAUAGCUCUCUCCUUUUGUCUAGACUCAUCUUGUUACCCCAGCACACAUCCUAUUGAAUUUUCACAUACUGUCAAGUAUAGAAUUAAAGGUUUCCCUGGAGCAAGUGGUACCAACAUUUGAAGGUUUGACAAGUAUUGCUUAAUUUUAUCAAAAGCCACUUAACAUUCCUCAUUCCGUUUUUCAAGAUUAUUCUUGUGGAGAAGCUUAAAUAUAGGAUCACAUUUAUAGGUAAACUGAGAAUUGUAAUUCAAUCUUUUCAAAAAACCUCGAACUUCUUUUGGUUUACUCGGAGGUGACAAAUUUUGAAUGGCUCGUAUCUUAUCUGGAUCGACUUCAAUUCCUCUUUCACUAACCAUAAAGCCUAGUAACUUCUCUGACUUUACCCUAAAAGUGCACUUGGUUGGGUUUAACUUGAGCUGGAACCUUCUUAAUCUCUCAAAUAACUUUCUGAGGCUGGUGACAUGAUCUUCAUCUUUACAAGAUUUUGCAAUCAUAUCGUCUACAUACAUUUCAAUCUCUUUGUGCAUCAUAUCAAGGAAGAGUGUUACUAUGACCCUUUGAUAUGUUGCCCUAGCAUUCUUUAACCCAAAAGGCAUGACCUUGUAAUAAAAGAUUCCCCACAUAGUUACGAAAGUAGUCUUUUCCAUAUCAUAUGUAGUCAUUUUUAUCUGAUUGUACGCUGAGAAACCAUCUAUAAAGGAAAAAAUUGAAUGACUAGUCAUGUUAUUUACAAGUGUGUCAAUAUGAGACAAAGGAAAGUUAUCCUUUGGACUAGUCUUAUUCAAGUCACGAUAGUUUACACACAUUCAUACUUUUCUAUCUUUUUUAAAAACUGGUACUAUAUUGGUUACCCACUCUUGAUACUUAGCCACUUGUAGAAAACUUGCAUCAAACUAUUUCUUCACCUCUUCUUUGAUCUUUAGUAACAUUUCAGGCUUUAUUCUUCUCAGUUUCUAUUAGACUGGCUUAUAUUUUGCUUUAAGGGCAAUCUAUGCUCUACUAUUUUCGUGCUCAGUCCUGACAUAUCCUAGUAAGACCAAGCAAACACAUUUAUGAAUUCUUGAAGUAAGUCUACCAAAUGUUGCCUAUCUCCUAAUGAAAGUGAAGUGCCAAUUCUGAUAUCUUUCUUAUUCUCUUCAUCUCUCAGAUUUACUAAGUCAACUAUCUCCUGAUGAGGCUCAAUUGGCUUAUUUUCUUGUUCAAUCAAUCUCAUUAGAUUCAAAGGUAUAACAUAUUCCUCAGAAUUCUCUUCAUUGUCAAUUUCAUUAGUGUUAAUUGAAUUCUCUAAACUAACCUCUUGGUUGUUAUCAUAAUUAUCUUCAUGUUCAUUUAAGGACCUGAAAUUGGAUGAAAUGGGAUAUGUUGGCAAAAUGUGUUUGGAAAAAUGGCAAUAAUGAAGACACAAGAAGAAAUGAAUGAAUGCAUCUUUCCUAAUUUUUAUUAAAAUAAUAGAAAGAUAAAUGACCCAAACAAGAAAGAUCACCCAAUACCUUGGGCAAUAGCUAUUGGGAUGUUACAAUUACAUUGUAUUAGUUUCAAAAGUCACAGGUAUUUUAAUGGCACUUCAAUUGCUCAGCUCAUAAUCUGGCGGACAAAGACAGACUCACCCCUCUUGAUUAAUCUCCACUUCAUCUUCAAUAGCAUCAAUGGUUAACUGGGCAAAAGCCCUUUUCACAUUUUUUUCUAUAUCUGGGUACAUGAAUCCUCCAGGUUUGAAAGUUUCAUAUAGGUAUGGGAUAACCAUUAGUCUUACUAUUUUUCCUGUUGGCCUUUUCUUGAUCUCCCAUUCUGCUACCUAAUAGCCUAGGCCUAGCCUUUCACUAUUGUCUAUCACUGUCAGGGGUUCUUUUAUUCCUUGCAAGUUCUUACCCAGCCCUAAUCUUGGAUACCAACCCUUAUUAAUGACUUGGCUCAUCACUAUCCUUGAAAAAAGCUAAUUUUUAAGUCCUUCACCUAUAGAAUUAACUAGCUCAAAAGAUUGAUAGGAGCAUUCUACAGCUUCUUCAGUAAUUUCUACAUACAAAGCAUUUAAUGGUUGGGUCACUAGCAUGUCUUCCUUUCCAACUACCAUUAUCAAUUGACCUUCUACAUUAAACUUAAUCUUUUGGUGCAAGGUAAAGGGCACAGCUCCUAUCAUGUGAAUCCAUGGCCUUCUCAAUAGACAACUGUAGGAUGAAAAGAUAUCCAUCACUUGAAACUUCACAUUAAAAAUGCAUGACCCAAUUUGCAAAGGCAUCUCGAUAUCUUCCAAGACUUCUUUUUUGGUCUCAUUAAAAGCUCUCACGAUCAUUUGACUGUCUUUCAUAUGAGAGUAGUCAAUGGGUAGCCUCGCCAAAGUUGACAUAGGCAUGACAUUGAUAGCAGAACCAUUAUCAAUAAGGACCUUGGCUAUGAUAUGGCUCUUACACUUGACCGUGAUAUGCAAAGCCUUGGCAUUUCUCUUUUCCUCUAAGGGAAUCUCAUCAUCGCUGAAUGAAAUGUGAUUCGGCAUGAUUAGAUUUCCAGCUAGGUGGUUCACAUAUUCAACAGAUAUAUUAUAUGCCACAUAUGCCUAGUUCAAUACUUUCAGCAGGGCUUUUUGGUGUGGUUUUGAGUUUAGCAGCAGUGAUAGUAAUGAGAUUCGAGCUGGUAUUUUAUUCAACUAUUCAACAACUGAAUACUCACUAUAUUUUACCAACUUUAAGAAUUCACAAACCUUUUUUUCUAAUACCGACUUCAGGUGAUCUUUCUUAGGUUCUACUUCGGGGUUAUUCUGUCUUUCUCCUUUCUUGGCCUUCUCUCUUUGAGCCAUCUUUAAUAUUUUUAGAGUGUAGUACUUUCCACUUCGGGUAGUGCCUUCUACACCAGUUAUAUUAGAGGUGUCAGCUUUAGAGAUAUCUUUUUCUUACCCCUGAACUACUGUAUCACAGCCAUAUCUCCAGGGUACAGCUUUAUCAUCUUUGUAUGGGAAAAAAGUUGAAACUUUAAAGUUUUCAACCUGAGAAUGAGUUUGUCUAUGAUUGACUUUGGCUUGUUCUCACAAUGAAUUGUCACUGGCUUUGGAAACAGCUUUGCAGACUUAUCAGUCAUGGACACCUCAAUACUUUCUAAGUCUUCUCCUUUUUCAUAGACCUAUAUCUUGUAUGAAUCCAAGAGUUUUUGCACUUCUUGGUGAAACUGUUCAUAAGUUUCGAUAGAGUGGCCCAUUGCUCCACUAUGAUAUUUACAACUAGUGCCGACUAUAAAUACUUCAUGAUAACUGUGUGGACUCACUAGUUGUAUCAUGUCAGUUUUUUAUAAAAUAUCAAACAGUUGACUAAGAGGUGUCUUAAUAUCUGCCAUUUUUUUCUUCACAUGACGCUUCUUUUUUUCACUUAGAGCAUUCAUAUUAUGAUUAGGUAAGGGAUUGCCACUAACAUUCGGUGCAGUCACCCCUCUUGUAUCAAAGCUAAUCAUUCCAUCCUUGAUCAACCGUUGCAUUUUAUGUUUCAGGGCAGUGUAAUUUUUGAUGGAGUGAUCGACAAUCCCAUAGUGAUAGUCACAAUGGGCUGUGGGAUCAUAUCAUUUAGGGUAAGGUGGCUUGAGGGGUUCUAACUUACUAGGAAUAAUCAAAUGACUGUUGUAAAGCUUCUGAUAUAAUUUUAUAUAAGUCAUUGAAAUUGGGUCAAAUACAGAUUUUUCAUGAGUAGUUCAUUACUCCCACGAACCACCCAUUGGGUUAGCUAGAUGAGUUUAGGGUCUUGAGGUAGGCUAAGUGUUAGGACUAUAUGUGGUGUUCUGAGGCCUAAGAGGAGGUUGAUAUGUCUAGGGAUAAGGUGACUGUAUAAAUAGUUGGUAUGGGUAAGGGGAAAUGUUAUUUACAGUAGGAUAAUAUGAAAGGUAUCCUUAUGAAGAGUAGGGUUGAUAACCCCCAAAUUACUGUCUAUCAAAGCUCACAGCCUGAGCUUCAGUCUCUUUUUUCUUCAGGACUCUUUUGCUAGAUGCUUCACUUCUUUUUAACUUACCAUUCUUGAUGGCACUCUCGAUAAUUUCUCUUAAAAUUAUCAUAUCAGUAAAAUUUUUGAUCGUAUUCCUUAUCAUCUUUUCAUAAUAGGGAGGUUUCAAAGUGCUAACAAAUAGCACUGUAGUCUCUUUCUCAGUCAGAGGAGGUUAUACCUGAAAAGCUACAUCCCUUCAUCUCUAGGCAUAUUCUUUAAAAGACUCGUUUGCCUUUUUUUCUAGGUUUUGUAAAGACAAACGAUCAGGAGCCAAAUUGAUAAUAUGUCAAUAUUGACUGAUGAAGUCAUGAGCCAUAUCGCUCCAAGAGUGAAUGCGGGUUCUGUCCAGCUGAACAUACCACCUGACAGUAGAGCCUGUAAGGUUAUCUGGAAAAACAUGCAUCAAGAGCUUUUCAUCAUGAGCAUGAGCUACCAUCUUCCGAUAAUACAUGAUGAUGUGAGUUUUGGGGCAUUUCGUACCAUCAUAUUUCUUGAAUUCUAGUACUUUGAACUUUGGUGGAAUGACUACAUUCAGGACUAAGCACAGCCCAGCAGCAUCAACAGAACUAUAAAAUCUAAUCCUUUCUACAGCCCGUAACCUUUGUUCCAGCAUACUAAUCUUUGUAUCUUCCUGAGGCUCUAUCGCUUUUGCUUUCUCUUUAUUUUUUAAGUCAUCUAGAUUAGGAACCGAUUUUACUACCUUUUCAGUAAAGAUAAGAUUUAUAUAGCUAUGGUAAUACCCUAGAUUGGAGGCUGAUGGCAUUUCAGGAUAUGUAGGAUAUGCGAAGUGUUGUGGUGGAACCUUUUGUGUAGACUGGGCUUGAAGUGGACAAAACCUGGAGGAUACAAAGGGUCAGCCACUUCUUGCAAUGGGAGAACUUGUUGGCUUGUAUUUUCUUCUACUCUUUUUCCCUUAUUCAGCUUAUUGAGAGCAUCUAAAAUCUUGCUCAACUCAUUUUUUUUGUGUGUUUUUUUCUAGCUUUUCAAAUCUGUGAGAGUUCUGCUCCAUUUGUCUAGCUCUAGCUCUUGUAUUGUAUCGAUGGACAGGGUUCUCAUUAGAUAGAGCUAUCUUUGAACCUUGAAUACCAUAUCUUAAAAUUAGUAAAUUUGCAUGACUAUCUCGUGGUUAUUUUGUUAAGUGUAAUGAAUGAGAAUACAAUGAAUGUAAAAUGCAUGUAUGCAAAGAACAUUGCCUUAAAGACGGUAUUCAACUAAAAUAUUUCAUUUAUUUCAAAAAACUUUUAUUUACUUUGGGUUUAUCAUCCUAGAAUUAUAACCAUAAAAUUGCUUGAUUUGUUCAUACUGGGCCUUGGCUUCUUCGAUGAAGUUUAACAGACACUGUCUAUGUUCUCUUACUGGGGUCACCACUUGUUUCAAUGCCUUUGCCUCUUCCACCAUCUCUCUUGCCUUGCAUACCCCUUUACAAAUUUGGGUCGUUAGGUGCUCAAUAUAUUUCUGUCUUCCUAAGUUCUUUCUUUUACCACACCAGACUUGGUAUGAUAACUCUCUAUGCUCCUUAACCAAUACAGCAAUGUAGUUUUCUUGUUCAUUCAACUUUUAUCUUAGCCUGCUCAGAUAACUGUUUAGCAUGUUAUUCUUUGUCUGUACUUGGGUACUUUCUUCUUCUAAUUUAGCAUAUUCAUGCUUCAAUCUUGCAUUUUCUUCAGUCAGCUCAACAAUGGUUAUCUCUUUGGCCCUUUCUCUCACACAUAACCUUUUAUGUUUUUGAUGUAGCUCUACUAAGUCUUCAACAGCUGUAUCACGUUCUCUAGCAAUCUUACAAACUUUAGCUUUAUGACUUUUAGCUCUAUCUUUCCACUGGUCUUUUUCUUCUUGAAGCUUUUAGAUUUUUUGCUUUAACUUACCCUUUUCAGACUCAAAUUCUUUUGUUGCAAGCUUUAAUUCUGAUGGUGUCUCUUCAAGUUUUUCUCUUAUUGGUGAUUGAAAGCUUUCAUAAGUGAAUACCAUUUUUUGUCUUCGUUUUGCUCUCCAAACCAAAUACCCUGGAGUGACUUUAUCAGUAGAUGAUUUAAGACUCACUCUUCAGGGACUUUUUCAUGCUUUAAUCAUCUUAUUCAUCCUCUGAAAUGCUUUUGGCUCACUGUAAGAGAAAUCUAACUGAUGUAGCCCAUGUGUCAUAGGAAUGAACUGUUCUACCCAAACUGCCUUUUUACUAGGAGUGGUGCAUAAUUUUUCGUUCCCCAUAAACCCAGAAGUGGGACCACUGUAUUAUCCCCACAUUGAUACAACAUAAGCUCAUGAUUCAUUCAUGGGGCCAACCAUCUUAAUUCGGCACUGGUAAAUUUUUACAGAAAAGUUAUCCAUUCUUUUUUAGAUUUUCAUUCUAACCACCCACUUUCACAGAAUUCUUUGAUCAGAGCUCGAUUACGGACAUAAAGCUUUGAGAAAACACCUUUUCUUCAUUUGAAAUGGCUUUUCAUCCAUAAGUACAAUACUGUAUGCAGCCUAUAAAAUGCCAUCCAUUUCGACGACAGUAACUCAAAGAUCUGAUAGUCUCUACUAAUAUUACCGUUGAAAGAUUAUAGCCAUUGAUCACACUCUCAAAGAAAUCGACCACCGCUAUUUUAAUGUAACCCAAAACCUUUAGGAAUAUCACCAUUCCGUAUAUGGCUAUGACAAAUAUAUCUAACCCCCUUUCUUCAUCGACAUGUUACACUAGAAACUCAUGAAAAAACUUUCAAGGUAGGCAAACCUAUUCUUAUUUCUUCCUUGUAUGAGAAUCCACAACUUCUUUGUCUAUCCCCAUGAGUUGAGCCAAACCCUUACAAAAUCUUGACUUGUGUUUUUUGACAUAUAUCUUAUUAGGAGCCGUGAGGUGCAAACCCAAUAAAAUCGAAUACUCUUCGAUGGUUAGAGUCAUAUCAACUUCAUUGAAGAUGAAACACUUGUAUGCAGGAUCCCAGAAUUGUGCUAUAGCUCUGAUUAGUUGAUCGUCGACAACUACUGCUAGAAGGUGUGUUAUAUGCCCGUGUCUUUGGCAAAACUGCUCUUGUCUUGACGGACUCAUCUUCUUUCAUAUAUCAAGCAAAUUUUUUAGAUUAUUCUGUUUGAGAAGGAUAGAUGUUUCUUAAGACAAGGUAGAAUCAUAUCCAAUUGGUAAACAAUCUUUCAUCUUCAGUUGAAUAUUUUCUGACUGGAUUCUUACUUUAUUGGGUGUCUCACAAGGUGCUAAUACAGAUGAAGAACAGACUAGUUGUUCUGUGGAGUCCAUUAAAAAUUUUUGUUGAAGACCGUCUUUCAAGCAAAUGUUUUUUAUGCAACUUUAUGAUAUGAGCAUGAACCAAUACAAAAGAAUGAGAGAAAAGGUUAGUAUGCCCAAAAAAAGAAAUAAAUAAAUAACUAAGUAAAUUAAAACAUCACACAGAAUAAGAGGAAUGAAUCCUAUGCUUUUGGUCAAUUCUAAAAGGGAAGAGUGAUGACCCUGUCUAUAGGUAAGGCACUCUUAGGGUUCACUAUAUGUGGUUUAAGGUUAAAGUCUAAAGGUUCUCAAAUUGCUCCUUACAUCAUUGUCCAUCACAGACUAGUAAGGCAUCCUAAUCCUUACCCAUUACAGGCUACAAGCGAAAAAGGUUCAAUUUGAGUGGGAGUAUUUCGUUAGCUACUGCGAAAGCAUUAAACCUUACGAAAGCAAUAGGUACUUUACUCCCUCCUAGAGGGAUAGAGCUCGAGUGUAUGAAUGACAUAAUUAAUAAAGUAAAUAAACAUGAAUGAAUAAUAACAUAUAUAUACAAAAAGGUUCAAUUUUAUUAGGCUUUUGGAUAACACAAAUUUAUUUGCUGACCUGACUCUCAGAGUUCUCCAGCGGAGUCGCCAAGCUGUCAUAACGUCUAGAUCCGGGGAUCUAUCACUAGACAUUGACUUAAGAAGUCGCCACCAAUCUUUUUUAUCUAGGUGCGAUUGGCCACCUAAAGAAUCUAUCCUUUUGGGAAACACCUAAGUUUAAAAGUCCCUAGAAGAAUAGGUUCAAGUCUACUAACCAAAAUAGGGUUCGAGAGUUCGGAAGGUUAUAGCACCCUCACAACGCCCAUCGAAAGAUGUUACCAACUUAAUUUUGUGUUAUCCAAUCAGCCUUAAAAAUUUAUCAAGUAAUUAAUUAUUAAAAAUUACUCUCAAUUGACUCUAAUACUUUUAGCAAAAAAUUAAGAAAAUUUCCUCACCUCAAGAGUAUGCAAGAAAACUAUUGUUUCACUAGCAGAGACUCCAUCGUCGGAUUAUUUAACAUUAAAGAAAAUUCAAGAAAAUAAAUAGAAAGAAAAAAAAUGAUUGCUUUUAUACAAGGAGAAUUGAUACUUUCAACUUUUUUCCAAAAUAUUUUUUAGAAACUUUAAUUUCGAGAAAAAUUGAUACUUUCAACUUUUCCCCAAAAAUAUUUUUUUUUAGGAAGCUUAUUUUCAAGGAAAAUUGAUACUUUCAACUUUUCCUCAAAAAUAUUUUUUUUUGAAUUUUAUUUAAAGAAAAAAAUAUAAAAUACAAAAUAUAAAAUAUAAAUGAAAAUAAAAAUAAAGAAAAAUAAAAUAAAAUAAAAAUAAAAAUAAGAUAAAAAGUAUUAAACAAUUCUAAUCUAAUCAAAUAAUAAUAAUAAUAAUAAUAAUAAUAAUAAUAAAAUAAUAAAUAAUGAAAAAAAAAACCUAGGAAUGGCUCGACUUGGCUGCUUGGCUCAACGCGGCUUAAGGAAGAAAAGAUGGCUCGAAGACGUGGCUCGACUUCAGAAACGGCUCGCACUCAGGUUGAACGUGGGUUGAAAGUGGAUUGACGCUCGGGUCAGGUCAUUUGAUUUCAAAACGUGCGGAUCCUCUAGGCACAAUAAUGCCAAAACGACGUCAUUUUCAGUGGGUAUAAAAGGCUAUCCCUUCUAUUUUUUCAGUAGACCGAUCCUUCUCUCUCUUUCUUCCCUUCCUUUCCUCUGCUUUUUCUCUAAACCAUGAAAAACUUCAGUUGAAUUCUCACCGGAUUCUAGAAAAUUUCGAUGGAAUCUAGGUUUUUCGUCCAAAGUUCAUCGAAAAGCUGAUCGGUUUCUGAAAAUAGUCAUCGAAAACUGGGAAACUGGCCAGAAAAUUCAAACUUGGCUGGAAAAGUCAGUAAAAAAUUCAAACUUCGUCGAAAAAGUCUACCGAAAUCUAGAAAUUUUUCAAAAAUUUUCAGAAAAAAAAUUUGCCAAAAAUUUUAAAAAAUUUUCACCAAUUCCUAGAGCUAUUCUAAUGCACAAAAACCCUUUUUUAGCUUCUGUUUCUUUUCUGUUCACUCUCUCUCAGCCAGUGUCUGCCUUUCUGUGUGUUGGUCUUUUGAUUCGUGGAUCUAUUUAUAGGGAUUGAUCAGAAAAGUUUCUGAUCAAUCCCAACUCCUUCUUAGAUUGGGAUUCAAUCAUUGAAUCCAAUAUGGACUCUGAUUGAAUCCCCAUUCACGAUAGGAUUCUCCAAAUUUCAUUCCAAUCUCAGCCGAAAAAAAGAAAAAAAAUAAAAAAAUGUUAAUAGAUAAUUAAAAGAAAAUAAUCAAAUAAAUAAAAAUAUUAACAGAUAAGUAAAAAUAAUAAUAGAUAAAUUAUAAUAUAUAAAUAGACAAAUAAUAAUAAAUACAUAUAUAAUAUAUAAAUAGAUAAAUAAUAAAUAUAUAUAAAUAUUAACAGAUAAAAAAAUAAUAAUAAUACAUAUAUUAAUAAAUAGUAAUAAUAAAUAAAUAAAUAAUAAAUAUAUAAGAUACAAAAUAAAAUAAAAUAAAAUAAAAUACAAAAUACAAAAUACAAAAUAAAAUGGGCCUACCCAUUUGGACCAGGCCCAAUUGAUUUGAGCCUGGACCAAAUUGGGUGUCUACAUAUAGGUUGCUCCCACUCAAGCUUCUAGGUUACCCAUGCAUGAUCGGUUGUUACACCUUAUUGUAACCAAUAUGUUAGCCCAUUUUAGGACCCAAUACUCCACCAUUAGGAAACAAGAUUAUUGGUGGAUGUACAAGAUCAAGCAUGAACAAAAAUCAAAUUUGGUGUACUUCAUUUUUAGUGACAUGAUGAGAAUUGUCCAGAAUAGAGAUGUUACUUUGGUAUAUGGGUAUGCUAUCAGCAAUCUUUUGAGACAUUUGGAAGUAAACACUAGAGGCGAUUGAGAGAUGCGCGUCAUUGACCCAUUUAGUAUUCUUGGGCCUCCCACAUUGCAUAGUAUGGGGUAUGUUAAAACUCCAACUAGCCAAUGAGUUAAAAUGAGGGAUAUUGGUGUUGCACAAAAGGAUGAGGAAGAGCAAGACCCUGUCGAUAUGCCUGCACCUCAAGAAGAACCCCCUAGCACAUCUUUUGACACUCAAGGUGCCCUAAAAAUGCUCUUACUUCAGAUGAACAGCCUAGCACUCAGUGGUUGACACUAUGAGCACGAGAUUGGAGUCCAUGGAGGAAACUCAAAAUGACCUUGUGACACAAGUCCAACAUUUUCGAGCUGAUAUUGAGCAUAUGAGGUCUAUUCCUCAACACAUGAGAUAAUCUUCGCAUUACUCUCCUCUUCCACCUCCAUCUCCUUAUUCUCCACCUCCACCUCAAUGAAGCCUUCAUACUGCCAUGACUUAUGUUUUCCCACAUUUUUUUUUUGUAAAUAUAACUUUGCAUUAUGGCUUUUAGACUUUGAUCUUUAUAUUAAUGCAACCUAUCUUUUAUUCUCUUAUGGCUUGUAACUUUGUGGCUUGUGGCAUUGGUGUGUAGUUUCAUGUUUGAAGUGACUUUGGGUGGCCCGAAUUGCUUAUUCCCUCAUUUUGAUUUGCUUCAUUUAGUAUUUUUGCUAUGAAAAAAAGGGGGAGAAAUAUUGGUAUGAAAAUUUGAUGAUGUUUUGAUAUUGAUAAUGAUGCUUUGAUAUUGAUGGAUAUAUUGAUGGUUAUGGUGAUAUUACUCUUGUCUAGUUGUCUUAAAUCUUAUGCCUAAAUUCAAAAGGAGUUUGCCUUUCCUAAUUUAAGGGGGAGCUUCUUUGCAAAAGGAAAAAUGUUUUUCAUGCAAAUUUUCAUUUGGUUUUGUCAUAUCAAAAAGGGGAAGAUUGUUGGCCUUGAAUUGAUUAAGAGUUUUGAUUUGACAAAAUAAAAAUUUUUCAAACUUGUUUUAAUCUUGUCUAAGCUUAAAUUGAACAUUUUUCUACCUUUCUAUUUUGUCAAAAUUCAUUUGAGAAUCAAAACAACUCAAAUUCUCGGAACAAAACAUGAUUUAUGCAAGUUUUGAUAGAAAGGAUCAAUCCUCUCAGGGAAGGGAUCGAUCCCCUCUAUUACCAGAUCGAUCCCCUAGCAAAAAAGAUCGAUCCUGUUUUCAACCAAAAUCGAAAGUUCUCAAGAUUUGGCAAAAAUCAAUCGAUCCCCUCCCUAUAGGGAUCAAUUGGUUAGUAGAACGGAUCGAUCCCCUCAUUUAAGGGAUCGAUCAUUUUUUCAUACAGAAUGCUUUCCUCGUGCAAUUUUCUAGAAAAGGGAUCCAUCCCCUCAUAUAUAGGAUCGAUCCCCUCUUAAAGAGAUCGAUCAGUUGCUCAAACAGAAUGUCCCCCAAGUGUGGAAAUCUAGAAAAGGGAUCGAUCCCCCCACAUAGGGGAUCGAUCACCUAAAAGAACAGAUCGAUCCCCUCAAGCAAGGGAUCGAUCAGGUAAGGUAAAAUAGGCGUAAAAUCAAGCUUUCUCAAACAUGAACCAAUCGAUCCCCUAAGGGAGGGGAUCGAUCCCCUGAAGGCCUGAAACUCCCAAUGGCUAUUUUUUAUCUGAAAUUUUUACAAGUUUGAAGCAUUAAAUGCAAUCCAAUGGCUCUCAACUUCUUCCUAACUAUAAAUCAAGCAUUCCACUGCAGACCAAAAGUAACAAAAGCUAAAGAAACUUAUUCCUAUUCACCUACCAAUCUGCUUAAGCAUUCAAAGCUGUAAAAAGAGAAAAAGUACAGAAUUCAUAUCAGUUUUUCUCUACUUUCUUAUCUAUACAUUUGUGUACUUCAACUUAGCAAAUACCUAGCCUUUGUGAGGUUCUUAAAGUUUGCCAAACACUUCUGAAUUUUUUGUAUUGUGAGUGUAUAAGCUCAAGGGGGAGGAUAACCCUUAAGAGUAUAUGUUGUUGAGUUUGUAAAGCUGUGUGAAAGCUUAGUUGUAAUCUUCAUCAAAUAGUGGGUUGAACUCCUUAGCAAGAGAGGCUAAGGGAGAGGACGUAGGUGCCUAAGAAAGGACCGAACCUCUAUAAAUCUUGGUGUUAAAUUUUCUAAUCCUAUCUCUUGUUUAUAUUCAUCUAUUGUGCUUAUCUAUUUUGAUAAUUUAUGGUUAUUAAAUAUUAUCUUUGAAAAUUUUAUUAAAACCAAUUCACCCCCCUUCUUGGUUUAUUCCAAGUCUUUGAGCUAACAAUAAUAAGAAAUUAUUUUAAAUUAUAAUAUUUUAUAAAAUAUAUAUGAAAUGUAAAAAAUCAAAUUUUUCUUUAAUUAUUUUUAUUUUUCUUUAUUUUCCUUUUUUUCUUCUUUAUAAAAUAUAUUUUGUAAAAUAUAUUAGAAAAAGGAAUAGAAAAUUAUAUUUAAUAUUUUUAAUAGAAAAUAAAUUUUUUGGAUAGAAAAUAAUAUUUUUUAUUAUGAUUUAUUAGUAAAAUAUUUUUUUAAUAUAAAAUAGUCUUUUAUUUUCAAAUUGGUAGGGAAUUUUUUCAAAAAGAUUUUAAAAUUUUUAACUUAAUUUUAAUUUUUGAAUAUCUAUUUUUAUCAAAAACAAAAACUAUUUAACUAAUAAAUUAUAUUACAAUAAAAAUAUAAAAUUAUUAUUUUAUAUUUUAUAUUUUAUAAAAAUAUAUUUGAAAUAAAAAAUUUUGAGCUUUAAACUUUGAGUAAAUUUCUAUUUUGGUCCUUUCAUCUCCUACGUGAGAUGCCAACAGACACCAUCCACAUGACGUUAAUUGGUAUUUAACGUCAAUUUAAAUGAUUUCAUAAAUAAAAAAAAUCAAAUUAGGAUAACUUUAAAUAUUGGAGAUCUAACUAUAACUUUUUUAAAACUUAGAGAUCAAAAUAGAUUUAGUUCAAAGAUUAGGGAUUACGGAUAUUCUUAACUUUAUAAAAUAAAUCAAUUAUUUGAAUUUUUUUUUUACAUGGUUGCUAUGUUUAAAUGUUAAACGUCCCCCUAAAAAAAGGGUUGUUAAAAGUCGUGUUAGAAUGUUUAAUUGACUAGGGAAAUGCAUGGCAGCUAAUAUUUCCAAACAACUCAACAAUACCAAAUUGUUGGUUUAAAUACUUUGAACAUUGAUUUCUACCUAGUUAGAGCGAAUGAAAGUUUGUCCAAUCCAAUUUGUCAAUAUCUUUAAGAGAAAGUAUUUCAUAUUAUUCAUGAAAUUUUUAGAUUUUAUAAACGAAGUUGAUAGAUUGACACAUACUUUUGAAUUUGUCAAUAUCUUUAAUAAAUGAUUUUUGAUUCAUGGUUCUUCAUUGAUAUUAUUUACUAAGACACAUCUUAUCUUAGUAUAAUAAUAAUUUUAGUAAAUCCCUUUAUUUUAAAUUUAAACUUAAUUUAAUUUAUUUAUGUUUUAGUAAAUUUAGAAUUAAAUUUUAACAUUUUUAAUUUUUAAUUUUCAAAUUACAAUUUCCUCUCAACAAAAAGUUAUAUUAUAAAAAAAUAGAAAAGUAAACAUUAACAAAUGAUUGGUUCAACAACUAAUGUUUGUGUCAAAUAGUCGUAAGGGGACAAAGCUUACAUAUUGAUAAAUAAAACAUGCAAACAUUAAGAUUACGACUCAAAUUUUAUAAAAAAAAAAAUUUUAUAAGAGAUAUAUAAAUAUUUAAAUUUAUUUUUUACUAGUUUUAUCUUAAAGUGUUUGCCAUCUAAUGCAUCAUUAUAUAUCUUAUUAUGAAUCGAGAAUCAAAUAAUUUAUUUAUUUCAAAUUUUUAUUUUAAGUUUUAUUUUUAAAAAAUUGAAUAUCCUAUUAUUAAUUUUUUUUCUUUCAAAGAAAGUGAUAGGCGCGUGGGAUAGUGAGGGCUGCUCACAUUCGAUGCAUCUAGCGCCAUGAUACCAACUUCAAAAAAUAAAACAACUCAACAAGAGCAAAGGCAUAACAAUCAAAAUGAAUCUCACCCACAAUUAUGUGCGAGAAUGUUGAAAGUCUUCAAUUCUUCGCACUCUGCCAUCCAUUGAACUAAGACACUUUUAUGACUUUGCUGUUUGCCCCCUUCCUCCCAGUAUUCUUGGAGCAUGUUUAAAUCUCAUUAUUAUAUAUUCUAAUUUUUUCCAUCUUAUCAUAUCUUCUUCAUUUAUUAUAUUUAUGUCACCACCAAGAGACUUAAACCUAACAUGCGUGUAAUUUUAGGUUAAAAAUGAUCGUUCAUGUAUCUAAAUCAAUCUUGUUUUUGACUUUGUAUCGAACGUUUGUGUCAUGCAUUUUAUUGGCUCUUCAUAAACUUGGGAGAAAGCUAAUAAGUAGACAUGUGCAUGUGGAUGAGAAUGAGAUGUAUGUUUUUUUCUUUAAACAUAAAAAGAUUAAUGGAUUUGGUUUUAUUUGUUUGCAUAAAUAAAAUGGUGGUUUUGUUUGGGCAAUUAAAAUAUUGCUACUUGUAGUUUUUGGGAUUAAGUUAAAUAUUCUAACCUUAAUGUCAUUGUGUUUUAUAUGUUUUAGAUAUGUAGCUGUAGUUAUAUACCAAAUUAAUUGUUAUUUUAUUGAGUUAGGAGUAAAGUUAGUAUAACUUACAUGGAUCCGAACAAUUUGUUGUAAUUCAAAAUCAAUCCAACUUUAUUUCAUCAAGAAAAAUUAGUUCUAAUUUAAAUUAAUUUGAAAAUUUAAUUCAUAAUUCAAACUUAAAUUGAUUUAUUUUAAAAUUUAAUAAUUUAAAUUCAAAAAAACUUAAAUUUGAUAAUCCAAACUUGAAUAAUUUUAAUGUUAAACUCAAAUAAUCUAACUCAAAAUGAUUUGAAAUUGAAAUAAUUUAAAUCCAAAUCGAUACAAAUUUUUUUAUCUAAAAUGAUAUGAUCCAAAAUAAUUUGACCUUUGCCACCUUUCUAUGGAUUUGGGAUUAGUUAUUGUGUAUCACAAGAAAUAAUGUAAUUGAUCUAAUGUAAAACAUGACAUUCCAAGAAAACAUUCUUAACAAUUAAAAUUUGAGAGGUUUCAUAUUUGGAUUUAUUAGAUGAGGGAGAUCCAAAAUCUUUAUGUAUACAAUGUACCAAAAAAAUCAUUAUGUAUAAAACAAUUAUAUGCUUAAUUUAUAGUAUUAAUUAAGGUCUUAAAACAUACUUAAUUGAUUGAUUCAUCCACAGAAGAAUUCAUAUUAAGAAUUUAGACUAACAAAAGACUAAAUAGGAAAUGUGACAAUUCUUUAAUUUAAAAAAAAAUGGAGUGAUUACUUAUUUUAGCUAGUUUUAAGACUUUUAAGUGAUUUAGUGAGAUGAAUUUUUAUUACAAUGUAAUUACAUUUUUAUAAUUGAACUUUUAAAGAUUCAAUGAAAAAAAUGAUAUACAUGGCACGUUGAGAGUUCUCUCACUUCGUUGGAUGAAUUUUUAAGAGUUAAUGUUAUAAAUAACCUUUAAAAUAUAGUUAGAUAUUUAAUGUAAUACUUGAAUUUUAAAAAUUUUUAAUAUGUUGCUUAAAUUAUGAAUCUAUUAACAAAUGUGAUAUUCACUUUUAAUGUGACUAACUUCAAAUAAUAAUAUGUGGUGGACUAACAAUUUUUUAAGUGCUAUAUUAAUUAACAUAUUCAUAAAUUAGGUACCAUAUUAAAAAUUUUUAAAACUUAAGUACCAUAUUGACUAUUUUAUUAUAAUUUAAGGACAUGACAUUAACCGAAUUUUUAAUCAAUUGAAUAUUUGUAUUUCUCUAGAAGAAGAAUGCAUGGCUCCUAUGUGGCAAAUGAGUUUAUAAAUUACAUUUACUAAAGUUAGGAAAAAUAAAAAUACUAAAGUAUAGAAUUAGGGCAAAUAAUACUUAUAGUCCAUAAACUUUAAGUCAAAAUUUACUUUUGUCUUUAAUUUUUAAAAAAGAUCUAAUUGCAAAAUCAAUUGUCAAAAAUUAACUUAUUUUGAUUUUUUUUUACUUAAAGAAUCGUUUAAAUUAACAGUAAAUACCAACUGACAUCAUGUGUAUAGUGCAAUUGACAUCUCACAUGGUAGAUGAACUGAUAAAGGGAUCAAAAUAGAAUUUUGCUCAAAGAUUAGAGAUCAAAGAUGCUACUAUCUUAAAAUUUUUUAUAUUUUAGAUAUAUUUUAUAAAAUAUUAAAUUUAAAAUAGUAUUUUUAAAUUUUUAAUAUUUUAUUCAUUAAAUAUAUUUUGUUUUUAAUAGAUUUUCAAAAAUUAAAAUUUUCAAAAUUCUUUUGAAAAAAAUUACAUAUCAUUUUAAAAGAUUAAGUAAAAAAAUUUUAUAUUCAUAUCUUUUUAAAAUAUUAAGUAAAAAUUUUUAAAUUAUUUUAUUUUCAUUAUUAAAAUUUUAUAUUUAUAGAAAAUUAAAAAGAUAGGCAAUCAAAACGGUCCUUAUUGCCUCGAUAUGGUAAUUAAAGAAAAGAAAUCAAAGUAUUGAAAAUAACAUAUAUAUAUAUAUAUAUAAAUAUAACUAAACCUUAAUUUUUAAAAUAUUUUUCUAUUAAAAAUAAUAUUUUACUAAUGAUUAUUAUCAUAAUAAUAAAUUUUAUUUUACAUGAUAAUAUUAUGUAAAAAAUCAAUUUUUUCUUUAAUUAUUUUUAUUUUUCUUUAAUUUUUUCUUUUUUCUUCUUUAUAAAUUAUAUUUUAUAAAAUAUAUUAGAAAAAGGAAAAGAAAAAUAUAGUUAGUAUUUUUAAUAGAAAAUAAUUUUUUUGGAUAGAAAAUAAUUUUUUAUUAUGAUUUGUUAGUAAAAUAAUAUUUUUAAUAUAAAAUAGUCUUUUAUUUUUAAAUUGAUAUGGAAUUGUUUUCACUAAGAUUUUAAAAUUUUUAACUUAAUUUUAAUUUUUGAAUAUCUAUUUUCUAUCAAAACCAAAAAAUUUUAAUUAAUAAAUUAUGUUACAUUAAAAAAUAAAAAAUUAUUAUUUUAAAUUUAAUAUUUUAUAAAAUUAUAUUUGAAAUAAAAAAUUGAGAUAGUAACUUUCUUAUUCUCUAAACUUUAAAUAAAAUUCUAUUUUGAUCCCUCCGCCUACCACAUAAAAUGCUAGUUGACACCAUACAUCUGAUACCAGUUGAUAUUUAAUGUCAAUUUAGGUGAUUUCAUAAAUGAAAGGAUCAAAUUAAAAUAAUUUUGAGUAAUUAAGGAUCCAAUUAAAAUUUUUAAAAAUAAAAAAUCAAAAUAUAAUUUAACUCAAAAUUUAGAGACUAGGGGAGUUAUUAACUCUAUAGAAUUAAUCAAAUAGUUGAAAAUUUUUUACAUAGUAGCUAGGUUUAAAUGUUCAAAGUCCCCAUAAAAAAAAAAGAAAAUUAAAAGUCGUGUUGGAAUGUUUAAUUGACUAGGGAAAUGCAUGGCAGCUAUUAUUCCCAACAGCUCAACAUUGUUGGUUUAAAUACUUUGAACACGGAUUUCCACCUAGUUAAAGUGAAUGAACCAAGUUUGUCCAAAUUCAAUUUGUUUGACAGUGAAAUUUUUAAAUUUUAUAAACUAGAUUAAUAAAUUGACACAUAUUUUUUUUGGUGUAUUAAAAACGUAAAAAAUUAAUUAAAAAAACAAAAUAUGUAUCAAUCUCUUAAUUCUACUUGUCAAGUCAAAAAAUUUUAUUAGAAAUGUAUCAAAAACAAACUUUUAUCUUUAAUGUGUAAGAAAAAGAAAAUUGGGCAAAAAAAAUUGGGAAUUUCCACAACUUCAUUGGGUUAUGGCCUUCUUGGCAAUUGUUAUGAAGUUUCAUCCUUGACUUUGCAAAGUAAAUAAUGGACGGAAAUCAAUUGUCACUUUUCUUCCUAGUCAUAAACGUGAGAAAUAAAAAUUGUUUAUAUUCGUGCUAUUACUUUUGCCUUUUAGGCCCAUCACUUUCCCUUUUUCAACUAAAUUAUAGUCCAAUCUUUCUAUUUGGUGUCAUUUACAAAAAAAAGCUUAUGUCCAAAUACACUUAAUAAACUUCUAUUUCAAUCGAGAUUGGAAAUUUUAACAAUAUAAGAGAUAUAUGAUUUAGACUUGAUAUUUAAAGUAGAUGAAAAUGACGAAUUUUUUGUAAAAUUCAAUUUAAAUAUAUAUAAUUUUGAUAAAUUUGGAUUGAUUCUAAAAAAACUAAGAAAGUAUUGAUCUACGAUAAAUGGUUUUAAUCUAUAAUUUCGCUGUCAUCAUCAUUAUCGUCAACAACACUAUUAUUAUUAUUAUUAUUAUUAUUAUUACUAUUAUUAUUAUUAUUAUCAAAAUUAAGAAAUUUUAGGUGAACCUUAUAAAAUCAAAAUUCUUGUUAUUUGUUAAAAUUUAUAUUAAAUGAAUUUAUUAGUGUAAUUUAUUAUUAAAACAUUAAAUGAUAUCAUUAUAAGAAAAUUUUUUCCCUAUAUUUACAGGUGAAAGGAUCAUGCAUACUAAUAGGUAAUAUUUCAAUAAAACAUUUUUCCAACUUAUAGUAGAAAAAUAGAAAAUUAAAUUGAAAAAAAAAUCAAUAAAGCUCACAAAUUUACCAUUAAAUACUAAUAAGCAAUUUUUAAUUAAAAAUAGUGAUUAAACGGAAAUUAAUGACAACUUAAUUUAGCAUAAUUGGUAUUUGUAAAACCUUGCUUUAGUAACAAUAACUCAAUUUUUGGUUGUACUUAUUUGUUUGUGUUUAUGAAUAUGUUCUCAUAAAACAGGCAUAUCAGAAUACUUUACAACCAAUCAUCUAACUUUUAGACAAAAAGAAUAAAUUAAUUUCCGUAACAGUUAUAUUAUUAUAAUAAUAAAAUAAUUUCUCAAAUAAUAAAAAAACUUUUAUUAUUAUUUUCUCUACUUUUUCAUCUCCAAAAAAUCAUAACCAAAUGACAAAAAAAAAAAAACUAGUGUCUGUAAUCACUGAUUAAGGAUUAUUAAUUAUUAUAUUUAAAAAUUUUUAUAUUUAAUGUUUUAUUUUCACCAAUUCAACAAAAUUAAUGCAUUAAUUAUAUAUUUUUUAAAUAUUAUCUUAACUAGUGUCACUAAUCAUUCAUUAAUAUUUUUCAACAUAAAAAAAGUUUAAUCAAUUUUUAAUUUCAACGAAACCCAGUAAAAAUGUUGACAAUAGUUAAUUAAUAAUUAUUUAAUAAUUAAAAAAUAUUAUGUCUUGAAUUAAUUUAUAUAAUAUUUAAAAAUGUACCCAAAAAGAUUCAGCUAAAUAUGUUGAGAUCUGUCGCCUUGAUUCUGUCUGAUACGAAACAAGACUCAAUACAGAUUUCUUGAUUAAAAAAAAAAAAAAAAAAAAACCAAACGACUCCUUCACAUCAAACCCCUAAAUCAACGGCUGAGAUUAUCCGCAGCCAUCAUUUAACUAUAUAUAUAUAUAUAUAUAUAUAUAUAUAACUCAAUACAGAUUUCUUGAUUAGAAAAAAAAAAAAAAAAAACCAAACGACUCCUUCACAUCAAACCCCUAAAUCAACGGCUGAGAUUAUCCGCAGCCAUCAUUUAACUAUAUAUAUAUAUAUAUAUGAACUAAUACGUCCACCACUUCUACCUAAAAAUUUCUCCGACUCUCUAACCGUUUUCAUUCUUUCAUUAUUCUCUCAAAACCUCAAAUCCCAAGUCCUUUCAUCUUCUUUCAAGAAAAUGUGAUUACUAUUGUUUUGUUAUUUGAACAGCUAAUCUGAAUAAUUGGUUCAGUUUGUAGAAGAGCUUCGAUACUCAAUUUUUAUUAAAAGAAUAUUUGAUUUAUCGCCUUUUGGCGAGAAAUGACAGAGUUUUGACGAUUACAAGAUUGGAGGAGAGCAACUGGACGAUGGCAAAGUCUUUUGGGUCAUUUGGACUAGGGGGAUUACUACUGCUGGCGGCGUUGGCUGCGUCUAUGAUGGUUCUUCCGCUGAUGUUGCCGCCGCUACCGCCUCCGCCAUUGAUGCUUCUGUUGCUUCCAGUUGGGAUCAUGGCUGCUCUCAUGUUCUUGGCGUUUUCCCCCACGGAGGCUGCUGGAAAUGUCGUCGUUCUUGUUCAUACAGUAUAAGAACACAUGUUAAACGUGUCUUCUAUAGGAAGAUGGUCGGCCAUUGAUGGGCGGCUCUGCUGAGGUCGUAGAUGUACAUUGUUGAUUUUAUUUGAAGAGUACACCGUCCUUUCCAUGUUUGAUAACAUGGAUGCACCUCCAUAAUUCCUUCAAUCUGUCAUUAUUCCAAAUAUCUUAUCUUUUGCGUGGGAAGUUGAUAGAGAUCCUAUUAAUCUUGGACGUAAAAUAAAGAAGUUGGUGGUGGAACUAGUAACAGUUCAAGCAGCUGAUGAUGAGAUUGAUGAGGUGAUUGAUGAGUCAUCAACUACGUUGAAUUUCAAGCCUGCUAGUAAAUCUUCUAUUCAAGCUUUGAAAAGGGUGAAAUUUGGCAACGAUGAAGAUAGUCUUUUACCCUUGAAGAAGAGGAGAAGACGUGAGGAUAUGAAUUCCAAGAAACAAUGUACUAUUUGUUUGGAUGAUUUCAUCGACGGUGAGGAGAUUGCUUCGAUGCCUUGUGGACAUGUUUACCAUGAUGGUUGCAUUGUUAAAUGGUUUGAAACGAAUCACUUGUGCCCAUUAUGCCGAUAUGAGAUGCCAAGUUGAUCUAAUUUAUAUCUUUUCCAAGUGGUGAAAAUAACUUAUUUUAUUUUGUUAUUGAAUGUGCGUUUGAGAAAAGGAAAUUGUUUUGGUGCUUUUGGGAAAAAGGUUGAGAUUGAACUCGUAUAAUUUGCUAACAUAGUGGAUAUAUUCGAAUUUGUCCUAUGAUUUUUUCCUCAACGUGGGAGGAUUUUUCAUGUAAAUAUUUUUGUUUUUAUACUAAUGCUUGCAAUUUCUGUUUAAUUGAUUGAUUUGAAUAAAUUUUAUUAUGAUUAUUAUUGGUUUGUGUUGUAGUGUCUAUAAUUCGUUUUUGAAAGUUUGAUACCUGAGGUUUAAUAAUUUUUGCUGAUUGGAAGAUACUAUUAAAUCUUAAUUUCUUUUCAUGAUCACAUUAAAGAGGAUCAAAAAACUUUAUUUGCUCCUUAAAGGGUUUGUUCAUAGACAUUGAUCCCUCAUAUCAUUUUUUUUUCUUUGGUUCAUUCAGAAAGUUUUGUUUCCAAUGAUCUAAAAAGCAGAUCACCAAAAACCAAAAAGAAACAAUUCAACCAAUGCAAAUUUUAUAUCUAGAAAAGGGCCAAACAGUGCUCAUUAAUGUGCUCUUAAAUUUUGGAAAUUACUGUUAGAAGCACUCUUUUUCCAAUUUUGAUUUUGUUUGCCAUAUUUUUAUGAAGAAAAAGGUUAAAAUAAAUAUGGGUCCUGUAUUAGUUAUUAUGGAAAUAUCUGUGGGCUGGACUAUAAUUUUGAGUCAUUACUGGCAUAAUUCAUUAUUCUAUUUUAUUGAACUAAAAUAAAAUAAACUUUUUGUAUAUAAUUUUUUUUCCCAAUUUGUCUUUCCUUUGUCAUUCUUUUUUCAAGACAAAGGUUAAGAAUUUGAUAUUUCAAAUUUUUUAAUGUUAUUUUAAAGAUUAAUGUCAAAGUGAUCAUAUGUUAAAAACUCAAAAUUGAGGCAAAUAGAUUAUCAAGUUAUUUUUGUAUGUCAUGAUGUGCAAUACAAAAUCUAAAACAGCUCAAACUUAUCUUUUAUAUAAGAAUUUAUUUUACAUAUAAUUUCAAUAAAAUCACCCUUGAUUUUUUUGAGUGAGGCAUUAAUUUUAACACAUUGCUUGUAUGAUUUCUCAAUUUUAUUUCCCUAUUUUAUUAUUUUUUUCACAAUUAAUUAUUUUCUUAAUUAUAUAAUUUAAUUAUAUCUUUAUUAAUGCCUAUAAAUACAUUACAUUACGCUUAUAAACUCAUUUAAAAAUAAUAUAUAUAAGAUUUUAUGUAUUUUACCAAUGAAUCACAAUUUAUCACUUUAUUAAUUACAAUGGCAAAAAAAUUUAUACGAUGACAAGUUAUGAUUAUUGUUUAUAUUAUUGAAUUAUAUAUUAAUAGUAUAUUAAAUAUAAAUUUUAAAAUUGAAAUUAAUAAAUAUAAAUUACUUCAAAUCUUAUGAAUUAACGAUAAUUUAUUUUUUAUAAAAAAAGAGUAAUUUGAAAGUAAAAUAAAGAAUUGCAAAUACUAAUAUUAAAAUUCAAACCUUUUGAAUGUUAAUUUUUUAAGAUUUAAUUUCAACUUUCACAAGAAACAUGUAAUACACUUGAAACAUGGAUACAUGUGAAUCUUGCACAAACCAAUUAAAGGCUAGACAGGCACAUGUCACCAAUGUCUUGGUCUCUCCCAACUUUAGUCAAAUAAAAUGUCCAUGUUCCAAUGUUUAAUUAAAACACAUGGGAAGUUUAACCUAAAAUGUCAAACGCAAUCAACUCUUUUGUUGUGGAAGGAAUCCUCUUUGAACUUCUAAACCAAAUCAAAAUAAAUUAAAUCGACCAUAAUAAUUUGUUAGCAUUAGAGAUUAGGCAUCAAUAAGGGAAGCCCCAAGUUAAAAUUCAUUUAAUCUAUAAAAUAAAUGAUUUUGGAUGCAAAUUAUUUUUUUUAUUUGAAAUUGUCAACAUUUUAAUCUUAAUAAUUAAAAUUAAAAACCCAACAUCCUAUAAUAAAAUACAUAAUUAUUUGUUAUAAUAACACAUUAAUUAUAAUUUUUUUCUUAAAUAUCACAUUAAUAAGUGUUAAAAAAAUUUAAACAAAAUAUUUAUCUUGAAUUUUAUAUAAAAAAUUACAGACACUAACAAAUGGGUGGCUUGAUAUUUAAAGUUCGCCUAGUUUCAAUACCAACUAAUGUUAAAUUUUUUUAAUUUAAUCUCAAAAUAUUUUUUUUGGUAUAAAAUUUUUUGAUGUUUAAUAGUUAUUUUAAAUUUCGAUUAAUUCAGAAUUAAAUCGAAUCAACCCUCAUAAAAGAAUAAACUCUCUCAAACUUAUUUUUUUUAUUUACAAAAUUUGAAAUUAAAAUUUUAUUUAAAACAAUUAAAUUAUUUACCACUUUGAUCAACAAGCACCGGUUAUUUAAUCUCAAAUUAAUGAUUUCUUAUGAAGAAUAUAAUAAAACGUCUUAUCUUAAUUGAAAACCGAACCAUUUAUUAAUCUUGAAUUUUUUUAUUAUAAGUUUUUUAAAAUUAAGUAAAAUUUGUAUUAUAAAAUUUAAAAUAAAAAAAAAGAAGUGAAAGGCGCGUGAGCUAUUGAGGUCGGUUCACAUUCGACGCAUCUUUAAAAUAUGUAUCAGUGAGAUAUAUCACCCAUCAUUAUCUCUGUGUGUGUUAGACGCGCCUCGGUGGAACGUCUUCACACGCCAUCCAUUGAACUAAGACAGUUCUAUGACUUUGCUGUCAUCUUCCUCAGCGUUCUUCGAUUUUGGGAACGUCCUCCAAUCUCUUUCUUGGAUUUUUUUUUUUUUUUUUUAAAUUUUCGCAUCUUAUCGUAUCUUCUUCUUGCUUUUAUGAGCACGUGGUUGAAAAUGGGAUAUAUGUUUUUUUUUUUUUAAAUUAAUGAUUUUGUUUUGUUUGUUUGGCUAGAUAUGAUGGGAUUUUGUUUGAGUAAUUACAAUAUUGCCACUUGUGGUUUUUGUUAUUAAGUUAAAUAUUUUAAACUUAACUCAUCGAGUUUUAUAUAAUGUAGUUGAUUUAACGAUAGGAAUGGUAUUUCAAUUAUAAAAUUUUUUUUAUAUUUUAUAUAAAUAUAUAAAAAUUAUAUUUUUGGUAAAAGAAAAUAAUUUAUUUAAUAUAAAAGAAAAUAAACUAUGUGGAUAAGUUAUAUUUUUUAUAUGUGAAAUGUUAUAGGUAAAUGUCAUGUGUUAUAUAAUUAAUGAAUUUAAUUAUAUAAUUAACUUCAAAAUAAUUUAUUAUGGCUGAAUUAAUUACUUUUAAAUAUUAAUAUUCCUGCAUCCUAUAAAUUAGUUAUAAUUAAUUUGAUCAUUAAUUCAAAAAAUCAAAAUUUAAAUAAAAAACUAAGUAGUCAAGAAUAAUUUUGCUUAUUUAUUAAUCAUUAUUUAUAAUUAUAUAAACAUUUUAAUCUAUUAGAACAAUCUAUAUAUAUACACACACACACACACACACAAAUAUAUAUAUACACACACAAAAGAUAACUUCAAUAUAUUAACUUGAAAAAAAAAAUUGUAGGAUAAUAUUUUUUACAUGAAUCCUGUCAAAAUAUCAUGUGUUUUGAUUAUAAUCAACAAUUCAAUUUUUAAAAUUAAAAUUACAAACUAAUUUAAUUUUUAAUAUUUUUCAAUUAUUGUCCAAAAAAUAUUGUUAACUUUUCAAUAGCUUUAAUUUUAGUUUUUUGUUUAACUUUAAUUAUAAAUUUUUUUUCUAUUGUUUUUAUAGUAAAAAUCUUAUUGGCCAUUCAAUAGCUUUCAUUUUGUUUUGAAUUCUCUAAAAUUUUUUAUACUUACAUUACUUUAAUUUUGGGUGUUUGAUUACAAAAAAAAAUGAUAGGUCAAAUUAUAUAUUUAAAAUUUAAACUCUAUAAUAAUAUGAAAUUAAUGGAGACAAUAAUUUUUUAUAAUAAUAUGUAAUUGAUUGAUACCUCAAUCCUUGAGAUACACAUUUUGCGAGUAUAUGUGUUGUCUAUUUAUAUAAUGGUGAUAUGAUGAAUUUGACACAUAUAACAAUUGUUGUCAAAAAAUUUUCAUUUGUAUUCUUUAAUUUUUUUCUCUUAAUACAUAAUUUAAAUAAUGGUAUGAAUUUUUGAUAGAUCUGGCAAUUCAUGUAUUCGUAUCAUGUAAAAUAUUAAAAAUUAUGUAUUCAUUUUGUGUUUUGUAUAAAAAUUGUGUCGCAAUUCAUGUCGACAGAAAAAAAUGAAAUAAUUUUUUUUGUUUUGUUUAACCUAUUCAUAGUUUUUGCUAAAAUUUUAAACAAUAUUAUUUUUAUGUAUUUUAUUCAUAUUAUUUUUAUGUCGUGUCAUCGUAUCGUAUUUAAAAUUAUCAAGUCCACUUUAUGAUAUUUUACACCAAUAUUUUGUAUUUUAUAAUAAGCUAUAAAAUGGUGUUGUAAGAUUAUAACUUUGUCAGUAUUAUUAUUUUUUUUAACAUAAUCAUUUUUUAUUUAGUAUUAUAUUUUUAUAAGUAUAUUUUCCUUAAUUAUUCAAAAUAGAAUUAUUAGAUUAAUCUUAGUUAUGGUUAUUUGAUUUUUUUUUCUUUUUAUUUCAGCUUUGAUUUAGUGUUCUUGAAUAUUUUACUAUGAAAAUUAAUUGAUAAUUUUUUCCCAAUUUUGUAAUUGUAAGGUUUUCAUAUUAAAACAAAAAACUAUAAUGUUGAAAAAAAUUGUGAAUGAUGGUAAAUUUCUUUUAUCAAAACUUUAAUUUUUUUUAUAGACCUCUUUGAAUGAUUUGAUUUGAUCUAUUUAUAUAUUUUUUUAUUUUUUUUAUUUAUUAUUAAUAUUUGGCACUUAUGUAUUUCUAUCUCUAUGAUGAAUUCAUUAUUUAAUUUCCCAAUAAAAAAUGAUUAAAAGUCUACUUUUUUCAUUUUUUUUAUUUGAUUAUUAAAUAUUUCAUUUGUAAUAAGUAAGGAGAGAAACUAUUCGUCACUUAUUUUUAUUUAUAGUUUUAUUCUAUAUUUUUUCUUUUGCAUGUAAUUCAACGAGAAAUUUAACAAAUUUGAUAUUAUUUGAACUUACAUUAAGUUUUCAACUUAAAGUUUAUACAUAUAUAAUAAAUCUUUUAUUUUUUUCUUUUUUACACAUAUAUAGUAAAUCUUUUGUUCUUUUUUUCUCAAACAUAUAUAAUACAUCUUUGAUUUAGCAUAUACUUCGUUAUAAAAUUAUUUUUUUUCAAAAACAUAUCUUACAAUGUCCUAAAUUAUUAAAAUUUUGAGUUUUAAUAGCAAUAAAAUUUUUUAAUGAUAUCAUUUUAUAACUAAAAUAUGUGUAUUCAAAUUAAUAAAAAGGCAAAUAAUUAUUAAAAGGAAUCACGGAUUCCUUUAAUUGAUUAAAAAAGUUGGUGAAAUCACAUUAAAAUCUUAAAUUAAGGCAAACUUAAUCACAUUUAUGGAAAAAUAUUUAAUUUGAUUUUUUCUAUUUAACUUUUUAAUUAUAGGUAGUAUCCAUAUGAUAAUGAGUUACUAUUAAAUAUCAUUUGGAUAUAUGCAUGUGUAAAUUUUAUUAAGUGUUUAAUUAAGUAUUAAACAAUAUUAUUCAUUGAAUGUUUGAAUAUUUUAAAAAUAUUAUUCUCUUAGAUAUCAUUUGAAUAUAUGCAUAUGUAAUUUUUAUAUUUUUGUUAAAAAUAAUAUUUUUAUGCAUAAUUAUAUAUAAAAAAAACCAUGAUAAAAUAGGCUACAAAUUAGUAAUAUUUAAAUUUUAAAAUUUUUUAAUAUGAUAUUUGAAUUAUAAAUUUAUUAAUUAAUAUGAUACUUAUUCAUAAUAUGAUUAGUUUUACAUAAUGAUACGUGAUUAUAAAUAACCUUUUAAGUAGCAUAUUAAUUAAUAAAUUGAUAGUUCAGGUAUUAAAUUAAAUAUUUUUAAAAUUCAGGUAUUACAUUAAAUAUUUUAUUAUAGUUUAAGGGUCAUUUAUAAUAUUAUCACAAUCUAGUAUAUAUACCUACUUAAUUGUUAUUUUAUCGAGUUAAGACUAGAUGCUUAAAAGAUUUAUUCAAAUUUGAACUCGAUUCAACUUUUUUUUUCAUAGGAGAUCGUAGUUUGGGAAUAAAAAAAUUAAUUGUAAGUGUUAAGAUUUAAAUUUUAGACUUGCUAAAUGAUACCUUUUAUGGGUGGAUGUAUAAACUAACUGAACUAAGUUAUAGAUUCAACUCAAUCCAACUACAUUUAUCAAGAAAAAUAAUCAAUUUCAAAAAUCAAUUUGAACUCGACCAAACUCUAUUUGUACAACAAUAAUAAAUUAAGUCUUAUAUCCCAUAACUUUAGGGUUGAUUGUAUGAAAGGGAAAAAAAAAUGAAUCAUGUUAGGUUGUAAUUUUAAAUCUUUUAUAUAUAAAAAAAAGAAUUCAUCUCUUUCCUUAACCCUUAUAUAAUUUUUUAUUACCUGUAUCAACGACUUUUGUGAUUUACCUCUAAAAAUUUUGGUUUUUCUCACAUUCAAAAACUCAUUUCCCUUGGUGCACAAAUAAACCGAUCUAUCCAAAUCAUCUCAAAUAGUCUUUUCUCAUUUUUUUUCUUCAAUUCAAACUACCUUUAAUUUUUUUUUUGAAUUUCUUAUAAAUUUUUUUAAAAAAUUAUGAAAAUUAUAAAUCAAAUUUUUAAGAACUUUUAAUAAAAAUUUUUUAUUUUUAAAAAUUUCUCUUAACUAUUUCACUUUUCUUAAAAAGCCAACAUAUUUUUAUUAUACCAAAAUAAGCUUUUAUUUUUUUAUUUGUAUCCAAAUAAAUCUUUAUUUCAAACAAAAAAUUUAUUUAUAUUAAGGAUUUAUUUAGAUAUAAAUUAAAAAUUAAGGACUUAUUUGAAUGUAAAUAAAAGGUUAAGUACUUAUUUAAGUUCAAAUUAAAGUCUAAGGAUUAAUUUGAGUUUGAAUAAAAUGAUAAAAUAAAAAAAAUUAUUAUUUUAACCAAAAUUUUCUAAAAACAUGUGAAAAGAAUGCCCCACGCAUCCCCACUUGCGCAACAGAAAAAAAAUUAUCAAAUAAACUUUUUUAAUUUUUAUUUUAGUCAUUAAAACUUUAAAUCUUUAGCCAAACAUUAAAAAAUUCAAAUGAUAUAUGCAUGGAAAAUGUAUGAGACAUAUUCUAACCAUAUAAAUUUCAUACAUGAAAUUUGAAACAUGUGAGAAAAAUAUAUAGUCAAAGUUUUGAUUUUUCUAGUUUGAUUAUGAUUUUUCUCUUAAAUCAUAAGUGCUUUUAGUACCAAAUUUUUAUCAAAAAUUCAAAUCAUCUUAGGGCACAUAUUUAUGUAAAAACUUUAGUCUAAAGCAUUUGUUUAAAAUUUUAUUAUUAAAAAUCAUUCUAAGUUAUACCAAACAAGCAUAAUAAUGUUUUGAUUCCACUAUAGGAACUUAUUGAAAAUUAUAUGUAAGAAUAUAUGCAAAUUUAAGAUUAUUUACUCCAAUGCUAAUAUGAAUUCCCAAUAUCAAUUUACUUAUAUUUGCUUCAUGAAUCUUAAAAGAUUUAUUUUUUAUAUUAUUUUUUAAACCACUUCUUGAAUCUUGUUAGUCAAUGAAACAAUUUUUAGAGCUUAUCACAAAUUUUAUACUAAGUUUUAGUGUCUGAUGUAGAUAACCAAAGAUUAGGUAAAAAAGAGUUCAAAAGCAAGAUCUUUUUACUAAAAUAAUUAAAAUUAUUACUCUCUCCAUCCUAAAUUAUUUGAACGGUAUUAGCUUUUACAGAAUUUAACAAAAAUUUUUUAACUUUAAUGUAUUUAAUGUUAAAAUUAAAAUUUUUUUAUAAAAUUAAAUUCCAUAAUUUUAAUAUCAAAAAAUAAAAAUAAUUUUAAAAUAUAAAAAAAGGUUUUAGAUGUUAAAGAAAAUAUAAUUUUGGGAUAUCAAAAAAAUUUUAAAUAUAAAAUGUCUGUCCAUUAAUAUAGUACAUAUUUCGAUUAUUGGGAAUAGAUUUUUAAUGACAUUUAAGCAAAAUUAUAUUAAGAAAAAAAAAUCUAAAUUAACUCAUAUUCUAAAUUAGAUAAUAUCUACUAAUAAAUAUGAAUCCAUUUGACCCACCCAUAUCCGGAAUCAUCAUCAAAUCUUGGACUCUUCGAAGUUCCAACUUUAGUAAAAUUAAAAAAAAUAAAAAAGUCCACGUUCCGAUGUUUGAUAUCAAGGCGUAGAAAGUUGGACCUAAAGUGACCAACACAAUCAAAUCUAUGAUAGUGAGCAGUUUCAUGGUAGGGAAUCCGUUUUCAACUUCUAUACCAUAUCAAUUAACUCAAAUCAACCAAAACAAAUUUGAGUAAAAUUUAGAGACUAGGAACAAAAAUAAUCUUCAAGUUAAAAUUCACUUAAUCUCAAUAAUAAAUGAUUUUGGAUUCGUAGUUCUUCAUUGAUGUUAUUUUCGAUUGCAUGAUUUUAUACGACAAGACAUAUUUUGUCCUAACAAACUCAUGAUUUUAGUGAAUCUCUUUAUCUUAAAUUAUAUAUAAAUUAAAAUUUAAUUUAAUUAAUUUAUAUUUUAAUAAAUUUAAAAUUCAAAUUUUAAUAAUUGUAACCUCUAAUUAUAUUUUUAUAUUACAAUCUUCUUUGAACAAAAAAAAAAAUUGUAUUACGAAGAAAUGACAAAUUAAAUGUUAACAAAUGAUUAGCUCAAUGGUUAAAGUUUGUGUCCAAUAAUGAUAGUUUUAGGCUCCAUUUAGAUGGAUGAUAAAAUUUAUUAAGGUGAAAUUAAAAAUAAUAAUAAAAUUUAUUGUAAUUAUGAUUGGAAAAAAAAUUACGAUAAUUGCAAUUGCAAAAAAAUUUUAAUAAAAAAUUUAUAUAAUUUAAUUUUAUUAAAGUUGACGUUUAAAUUCAAUUGAAAAUGCGAUGAACUUAAUCGCACAAAAAUAUGAUAAGAUCUAAAUGACUACUUAACUAAUUCUCUUGGUAUAAAGGGUUGGAAAAAAUGCAACUAUUAAGAUUACAAUUCAAAUUUUAAAUUAAUUUCUUUAAAGAAAUGUGUAGACAUUUGAAUUAAUCCUCAAAUAUAUAUUUUAUUAGAUAAAUUUAUCUUCAAAAUGCAUCUAAUGUCUCGUGAUACAUCAUAUUAUGAAUUAAGAAUCAAAUAAUUUAUUUUUAAAAAAAAUCGAAUAUCUUAUUCAGAAUUUUUUCUUUAAAAAAAACUAAAAAGGGAAAGCGAUAGGCGAGUGGGACAGUGAGGUCGACUCACAUUCGAUGCAUCUACUUGCAUGGCAGCAACUUGUAAAAUAAAAAUCAACAAAAACAAAGGCAUCACAGUCAAAAUAAAUCUCACCCAUUAUUAUGUGUAUGUACGCGCCGGCGUUGAAAGUCCUCAAUUCUGCGCACUCCUUCAUCCAUUGAACUAUGACUUUGCUAUCGCUCCAAGAGAGGCCUUUGCCCCCUUCCCCCCAGCAACCUUGGAUUUUGGGAGCAUCUUUGAAUCUCUUUCAUUACUAAUUUUAAUUUUUUUUCUCACAUCUUAUCAUAUCUUCUUCGUUUAUUUUGUGGGUGAGAAUGAGAUGUAUGUCUUUUUUUCAACAAAAAAAGUUUAAUGGAUUUGGUUUUAUUUGUUUGCAUAAAUAAAACGUGGGGUUUGUUUGGGCAAUUAAAAUGUUGCUACUUGUAGUAUUAAAAACAUAUAUUGCUACUUGUAGUUUUUGGGAUUAAGUUAAAUCUUCUAAACUUAAUGUCAGUGUAUUUUAUAUGUAUUAGAUAUGUAGUUGUAGUUAUAUACCAACUUAAUUAUUAUUUUAUUGAGUUAGGGUAAAGUUAGUACUAUAACAUACAUGGAUCCACAUCAUCUAUUCGAAUUCAAACUCAAUAUAAUUUUGUUUUAUCAAGAAAAAUUAAUUUAAAUAUAAAAUAAUGGUAAGUGAUGAAUAAAUAAUUUUUUAAAUAUUAUAUUAAUUAAUAUAUUUAUAAUUCAAGAAUCACAUUAAAUUUUUUAAAAUUUAAGUAUUAUAUUAAAUAUUUUAUUAUAAUUUAAAAAUCAUUUAAGAUAUUAAUCCAAUUCUUAAUCAAUUGAAAUUUUGUAUUUCUCUAGAAGAAUAAUGCGUGGCUCUUAUAUAGCAAAUGAGUUUGAAAUUACGUUUACUAAAGUUAGGAAAAAAGAAAAAUGAAAGUAUAGAGUUUGGGUAGAUAGCAUCUGGACCUUCUAAAUUUUAAGUUAAAUUUUAUUUUCAUUUCUAAUUUUUAAAACGUUAUAAUCAAAUCUCAAUUGUCUAAAGUAUCAUAUUUUGAUAAUUUUACUUAUGAAAUCGUUUAAAUUAAUAGUAAAUGCUAGCUAACAUCAUGUGGACAAUGUAAUUGAUAUCUUGUGUGAUAGAUGGAUUAAUAGAGGGACCAAAAUAAAAUUUUGUUUAAAGUUUAAGGACAAAAAAAUGAGACUAUCCUGAAUUUUUUAUAUAUCAAAUAUAUUUUAUAAAAUAUUAAAUUUAAAAUAAUAUUUUUAUAUAUUUUAAUUAUAAUAUAUUUUAUUCAUUAAAUAUAUUUUGUUUUUAAUAGAUUUUCAAAAUUCUUUUGAAAAAUUACUUAUCAUUUUAAAAAAUUAAGUAAAAAUUUUUACUGAUUUAAAAAAUAAAUAAAAAACUUCAUUUCUUUUUAAAAUAUUAAGUAAAAAAUUUCAAAUAAUUUAAUAUUCUUUAUUUAAUUUUUAUAGUUGUAGAAAAUUAAAAAAAAAAAAAGGCAGUCAAAAUGGUCCUUAUUGCCUCUGAUCUGGUAUGCAGAAGAAAUCAAAGUAUUGAAAAUAUUUUUUUAUUUUUAAUAGUAUAAAAUUUAUAAUAAAAUAUUUCAAAAUAAUUUUUUUGAUAGAAAAUAGAAUUUUGAAUAGAUUAAUAAAUCUUUUUUAAAAUAAUAUUUAAUAUUUUUAAUAGAAAAUAAACUUUUUGGGUAGAAAAUAAUAUUUUUUGUUAUGAUUUAUUAUUAAAACAGUAUUUAUUAAUAUAAAAUAGUCUUUUAUUUUCAAAUUGGUAAUGAAUUUUUUCAAAAAGAUUUUAAAAUUUUUAACUUAAUUUUAAUUUUUAAAAAUUUAUUUUUAUCAAAUGCAAAAAAUAUUUAACUAAUAAAUUAUAUAACAAUAAAAAUAUAAAAUUAUUAUUUUAUAUUUUAUAAAAAUAUAUUUGAAAUAAAAAAUUUGGAGCUCUAAACUUUGAGUAAAUUUCUAUUUUGAUCCUUUUAUCUCUCACGUGAGAUGCCAUAGAUACCAUUCACAUAACGUUAGUUGGCAUUUAACAUUAAUUUAGAUGAUUUCAUAAAUAAAAAAGUCAAAUUAAGAUAACUUUAAAUAUUAAAAAUCUAACUUGAACAGUUUAAAAAUUAACAUCAAAAUAAAUUUAAUUCAAAAUUUAAGGAUCACAUAAAUUAUUAACUCUAUAAAAUGAGUCAAAUAUUUGAGUUUUUUUUUUUUAACAUGGUGGCUAGGUAUAAAUGUUCAACGUCCCCCUAAAAAAAUGGUUGUUAAAAGUCGUGUUAGAAUGUUUAAUUGACUAGGGAAAUGCAUGGCAGCUAAUAUUUCCAAACAACUCAACAAUACCAAAUUGUUGGUUUAAAUAUUUUGAACAUUGAUUUCUACCUAGUUAAAGCGAAUGAGAGUUUGUCCAAUCCAAUUUGUCAAUAUCUUGAAGAGAAAGUAUUUGAUAUUAUUCAUAAAAUUUUUGGAUUUUACAGAGGAGAUUGAUAGAUUGACACAUACUUUUGAAUCUAUCAAUAUCUUUAAUAAAUGAUUUUUGAUUCGUAGUUUUUCAUUGAUAUUACUUACAAAAACACAUCUUAUCUUAGUUUAAUAAUAAUUUUAACAUAUCUCUUUAUUUUAAAUUAAAACUUAAUUUAAUUUAUUCAUGUUUUAAUAAAUUUAAAUUUUAAAUUUUAACACUUAUAAUUUUCAAUCUUCAAAUUAUAAUUUCCUUUCAACAAAAAAGUUAUAUUAUAAGGAAAUAGAAAAUUAAACAUUAACAAAUGAUUGGUUUUAACAACUAAAGUUUAUGUCAAAUAAUCGUAAGGGGACAAAGCUUACAUAUUGAUAAAGAAAACAUGCAGAUAUUAAGAUUAAUUAAUAAAUUUAUUUUUUUACUAGUUUUAUCUCAAAAUGUUUGCCAUCUAAUGCAUCAUGAUAAAUCUUAUUAUGAAUCAAAUAAUUUAUUUAUCUCAAAUUUUUAUUAUUAAGUUUUAUUUUUAAAAAAUCGAAUAUCUUACUAUUAAUUUUUUUCUUUCUAAGAAAGUGAUAGGCGCGUGGGAUAGUGAGGCCUGCUCACAUUCGAUGCAUCUACUGGCAUGAUACCAACUUGAAAAUUUAAAUCAACUCAACAAAAGCAAACGCAUUACAAUCAAAAUGAAUCUCACCCAUAAUUAUGUGUGAUAAAGACGCGCCAGCGUUGAAAGUCUUCAAUUCUUCGCACUCCUCCAUCCAUUUAACUAAGACACUUUUAUGACUUUGCUGUCGUCUCAAAGAGAAGCCUUUGCCCCCUUCCCCGCCAGCAUCCUUGGAGCAUUUUUGAAUCUCUUUCAGUACUAUAUAUUCUAAUUUUUUCUCACAUCUUAUCAUAUCUUUUAUUUUUAUAUAUGUCAGGUAGAGACUUAAGCCUAACAUCCGUGUAAUUUUAGGUUAAAAAUUAUCGUCCAUGUAUCUAAAUCAAUCUCUUUUUCCACAUUGUAUCGAACGUUUAUGUCGUGCAUUUUAUUAGCUCUUCAAAAACUUGGGAGAAAGUUAAUAAGUAGACAUGUGCAUGUGGAUGAGAAUGAGAUGUAUGUUUUUUUCUUUAAACAUAAAAAUAUUAAUGGAUUUGGUUUUAUUGUUUGCAUAAAUAAAAUGGAGGUUUUGUUUGGGCAAUUCAAAUAUUGCUUCUUGUAGGAUCAAAAACAUAUAUUGCUACUUGUAGUUUUUGGGAUUAAGUUAAAUAUUCUAAACUUAAUGUAAUUGUGUUUUAUAUAUAUUAGAUAUGUAGUUGUAGUUAUAUACCAAAUUAAUUGUUAUUUUAUUGAGUUAGGAGUAAAGUUAGUAUAACUUACAUGGAUCCGAGCAAUUUCUUCUAAUUCAAACUCAAUCCAACUUUACUUCACAAGAAAAAUUAGUUUUAAUUUAAAUUAAUUUAAAAAAUUAAGUCAUAAUUCAAACUUAAAUUGAUUUAUUUUAAAAUUUAAUAAUUUAAACUCAAAAUAAUCCGAAUUUGAUAAUCCAGACUUGAAUAUUUUAACAUUAAAUUCAAAUAAUCUAACUCAAAAUGAUUUGAAAUUGAAAUAAUUUAAAUCCAAAUCGAUAUAAUUUUUUUUUCUCUAAAAUGAUUUGAUCCAAAAUAAUUAGACUUUUGCUACCCUCUUAAGGACUUGGGAUUAGUUAUUGAGUAUCAAAUAAAAUAAUGUAAUUGAUCUAACGUAAAACAUGACAUUGCAAGAAAACACUCUUAACAAUUAAAAUUUGAGAGGUUUCGUAUUCGGAUUUAUAUGAUGAAUAUUAGGGUUUAUCAAAUGAGGGAGAUCCAAAAUCUUUAUAUAUACACUGUACCAAAAAAGUCAUUAUGUAUAAAAAAAUUUAUAUGCUUAAUUUAUAGUAUUAAUUAUGGUCUUAAAACAUACUUAAUUGAUUGAUUUCAUCCAUAGAAAAAUUCAUAUUAAGAAUUUAGACUAAAAAAGGACUAAACAAGGAAUGUGACAAUUCUUUAAUUUAAAAAAAAAUGGAGUGAUUACUUAUUUUAACUAGUUUUGGGACUUUUAGGUGAUAUAGUGAGAUGAAUUUUUAUUACAAUGUAAUUACAUUUUAUAAUUGAACUUUUAAAGAUUCAAUGAAUAAAACGAUAUACAUGGCACGAUGAGAGUUCUCUCAUUUCAUUGGAUGAAUUUUUAAGGGUUAAUGUUAUAAAUAACCUUUAAAAUAUAAUUAGUUAUUCAAUGUGAUACUUGAAUUUUAAAAAUGUUUAAUAUGUUACUUAAAUUAUAAAUCUAUUAACAAAUGUGAUAUUCACUUUUAAUGUGACUAAAUUCAAAUAAUAAUAUGUGGUGGACUAAUAAUUUUUUAAUUGCCAUAUUAAUUGACAUAUUCAUAAAUCAGAUACUACAUUAAAAAUUUUUAAAACUUAAGUAUCAUAUUGACUAUUUUGUUAUAAUUUAAGGACAUGACAUUAACCAAAUUUUUAAUCAAUUGAAUUUUUGUAUUUCUCUAGAAGAAGAAUGCGUAGCUUCGAUGUAGCAAAUGAAUUUACAAAUUACAUUUACUAAAGUUGGGAAAAAUAAAAAGACUAAAGUAUAGAAUUAGGGCAAAUAAUACUUGUAGUCUGUAAACUUUAAGUCAAAUUUUACUUUUGUCUUUAAUUUUUAAAAAAGAUCUAAUUGGAAACUCAAUUGCCUAUUAAUAUAUUUUUUGAUAUUUUGAUUUAUUAUUAAUAUUUGUCACUUAUGUGUUUCUAUCUCGAUGAAUUCAUUAUUUAGUUUCCCAAUAAAAAAAGAUUAAAAGUCUACUUUUUUCAUAUUUUUUUAUUUGAUUAUUAUAUAUUUCAUUUGUAAUAAGUAGGGAGAGAAACUAUUCUUCACUUAUUUUUAUUUACAGUUUUAUUCUUUAUUUUUUCUUUUGUAUGUGAUUCAACACAAAGUUUAACCAAUUUAAUAUUAUUUGAACUUACAUUAGGUUUUCAACUUAAAGUUUAUACAUAUAUAAUAAAUCUUUGAUUCUUUCUUGUUUACAUAUAUAUAGUAAAUCUUUUGUUCUUUUUUUCUCAAACAUAUAUAAUACAUCUUUGAUUCAGCAUAUACUUCAUUAUAAAAUUAUUUUUUCCAAAAGCAAUCUUACAAUAUCCUAAAUUAUUAAAAUUUUGAGUUUUAAUAGCACUAAAAUUUUUUAAUGAUAUAAUUUCAUGACUAAAAAUGUAUAUUCAAAUUAAUAAAAAGGCAAAUAAUUUAUUAAAAGGAAUCAUCCAUUUCCUUUAAUUGAUUAAAAAAGUAGGUGAAAUUACAUUAAAAUCUUAAAUUAAGGCAAACUUAAUCACAUGCAUAUAUUAUUACUUUUAGAUACCUUUUGAAUAUAUGCAUAUGUAAUUUUUAUAUUUUUGUUAAAAAUAAUAUUUUUAUGCAUAAUUAUAUAUAAAAAAUAGCCCAUGCAUAGCACGGGCUACAAAUUAGUAAUAUUUAAAUUUUAAAAUUUUUUAAUAUAAUAUUUAAAUUAUAAAUUUAUUAAUUAAUGUGAUACUUAUUCCUAAUAUAAUUAGUUUUAAAUAAUGAUACAUGAUUAUAAAUAACCCUUCAAGUAGCAUAUUAAUUAAUAAAUUGAUAGUUCAAAUAUUAAAUUAGAUAUUUUUAAAAUUCAUAUACUACAUUAAAUAUUUUACUAUAGUUUAAAGGUCAUUCAUAAUAUUAUCAUAAUCUAGUAUAUAUACCAACUUAAUUGUUAUUUUAUCGAGUUAAGACUAUAUGCUUAAAAGAUUUAUUCAAAUUUGAACUUGAUUCAACUUUUUUUUUCAUAGGAGAUCACAGUUUGAAAAUAAAAAAAUGGAUUGCAAGUGUUAGGAUUCAAAUUUCAAACCUACUAAAUGAUACCUCUUAUAGGUGGAUGUAUGAACUUACUAAACUAAGUUACAAAUUCAACUCAAUCCAACUUCAUUUAUCAAGAAAAAUCAUCAAUUUGAAAAAUCAACAAUUUGAACUCAACCAAACUCUAUUUGUAAGACAAUAACAAUAAAUUAAGUCUUAUAUCCCAUAACUCUAGAGUCGAUUGUAUGAAAAGAAAAAAAAUGAAUCAUGUUAGGUUGUAGAUUUAAAUCCUCUUACAACACUCAUUUUUAUAAAAAAAAAAAAAAUAUUUUCAUCUACUUUUUUAACCCUCAUAUCAUUUCUUAUUACUUGUAUUAACAUUUUUCAUGAUUUACCUCUAAAAAUUUUGGUUUUUCUCAAAUUCAAAAACUCAUUUCUCCUACCAGUGUACAAAUAAGCCUACAUUUUAUCUAUCAAAUCCAUCUCAAAUGGCCCAUUCUAAUUUUUUUCUUCAAUUCAAACUACCUUUAAUUUUUUUUUUUGAAUUUCUUAUAAAAUUUUUCUUAAAAUUUUGGUGAAAAAAUUUUGAUUAAAAUACUAAAAAAGUCUCUAAACUAUUUCACUUUUCUUACAAAAGCCAAUAUAUUUUUAUUAUACCAAAAUAAGCCUUUAUUUUUUGACUUGUAUUCAAAUAAACCUUUAUUUCAAACAAAAGAUUUAUUUAUAUUAACGGUUUAUUUAGGUACAAAUUAAAAAUUAAAGAAUUAUUUGAAUAUAAGUAAAAGGUUAAGUACUUAUUUAAGUACAAAUUAAGUCUAAGGAUUAAUUUGAGUUUAACAAAUUUAUAAGGAUUAAUCUAAAUAAAAUGGUAUAAUUUAAAAAAUUUAUAUUAUUUUAACCAAAAAUUUCUAAAAACAUGUCAAAAGAAUGCCCCACGCACCCCCACUUGCGCAAUAGAAAAAACAAUUAUCAAAUAAACUUUCUUAAUUUUUAGUUUGGUCCUUAAAACUUUAAAUCUUUAGCCAAACAUUAUAAAAAUUCAAAUGAUAUAUGCAUGGAAAAUGUAUGAGACAUAUUCUAACCAUAUAAAUUUCAUACAUGAAAUUUGAAACAUGUGAGAAAAAUAUAUAGUCAAAGUUUUGAUUUUUCUAGUUUGAUUAUGGUUUUUCUCUUAAAUUCAUAGUGCUUUUAGUACCAAAUUUUUAUCAAAAAUUCAAAUCAUCAUAAGGCACAUAUUUUUGUAAAAAUUUUAGUCUAAAGCAUGUAUUUAGAUUUUUAUCAUUAAAAAUCAUGCUAAGUUUUAAAAAUAUUCUAGUAUACCAAAUAACUAUAGAAGCAAAUCUAGAAGUGAAAACAAGCAUAAUAAUGUUUUGAUUCCACUAUAGGAACUUAUUGAAAAAUAUAUGUAAGAAUAUUUGCAAAUUUAAGAUUAUUUACUCCAAUGCUAAUAUGAAUCCCCAAUAUCAAUUUGCUUACAUUUGCUUUAUGAAUCUUUAAAGAUUUAUUUUUUAUAUUACUUUUUAAACAACUUCUUGGAUCUUGCUAGUCAAUGAAACAACUUUUAGAGCUGUUCACAAAUUUUUUACCAAGUUUAGGGUUUUAGGUAGAUAACCAAAGAUUAGGAAAGAGAGAGUUGAGGAGCAAGAUCUUUUUACUAAAAUAACUAAAAUUAUUACUCUCUCCGUUCUAAAUUAUUUGAACAAUAUUAAAUUUCACGGAAUUUAAAAAAAAUUAACUUUAAUGUAUUUAAUGUUAAAAUUAAAUUUUUUUAUAAAAUUAAAUUUUUAGGAAUUUUAAUAUCAAAAAGUAAAAAAAAAUUAAAAUAUAAAAAAAUAAAAGUUUUAAAUGUUAACAAAAUAUAUAAUUUUGGGAUAUCCAAAAAAAAAAAAAAAAAGACAAAAGGAGUAGUUCUUUUUGUUAAUUUCUAUAAAUAUGUCUGCCCAUUAAUGUAGCACAUAUUUCAAUUAUUGGGAAUAGAUUAUUAAUAACAUUUAUGCAAAUUUAUAUUAAGAAAAAAAAAUAAAUUAGCCCAUAUUAUAAAUCAGAAAAUGACUACUAAUAAAUUUCAAUCCAUUUGGUCCACCUACAUUCGGAACCAUCAUCGAAUCUUGGACUCUUCCAAGUUCCAACUUUAGUAAAAAUAAAAAAUAAAAAUAAAAAUAAAAAAGUCCACAUUCCAAUGUUUGAUGCAAAGGCGUGGAAAGUUGGACCUAAAAUGACCCACACAAUCAAUUCUAUGAAAGUGAGCAGUUUCAUGGUAGGGAAUCCUCUUUCAACUUCUAUACCAUACCAAUUAAAUAAAAUCAAUCAAAACAAAUUUGAGUCAAAUUUAGAGACUAGGUAAAAAAAUAGUCUUCAAGUUAAAAUUCAUUUAAUCUCGAUAAUAAAUGAUUUUGGAUUCGUUAUUCUUCAUUGAUAUUAGUUACGGUUGCAUGAUUUUAUACGAUAAGACACAUUUUGUCCUAAUUAAAUCAUGAUUUUAAUAAAUUUUUUUAUCUUAUAUUAUAUAUAAAUUAAAAUUUAAUUUAAUUAAUUCAUAUUUUAAUAAAUUUAGAAUUCAAAUUUUAAUAUUUGUAAUCUCUAAUUAUAUUCUUAUAUUACAAUAUUCUCUCAACAAAAAGAAAAAUUUGUAUCACAAAGAAAUAACAAAUUAAACACUAACAAAUGAUUAGCUCAAUGAUUAAAGUUUGUGUCCAAUAAUAAUAGUUUUAAAUUUUAUUUGGAUAAACGAUAAAAUUAGUUGUGAUGAGAUUAAAAAUAAUAAUAAAAUUUAUUAUAGUUAUAAUUAAAAAAAAUUAUUGUAAUUAUGAUUGAAAAUUUUUAAUAAAAAAUUUAAAUUGAUUUGAUUUUAUUAAAACUGAUAUUCAAUUUAAUUAAAAAUAUGAUAAAUUUAAUUAUAUCACAUGAAAAAUGCUGAAAAAUGCGAUAAGAUUGAAAGGGCUACUUAGCUAAUUCUCUUGGUAUAAAGGGUUGAAAAAAAAAAUGCAACUACUAGGAUUACAAUUUUAAUUUUAAAUUAAUUUCUUUAAAGGAAUGUGUAAACAUUUGAAUUAAUCUUCAAAUUUGUCUUUUACUAGUUUAAUCUCAAAAUGUUCACCAUCGUGAUACAUCAUAUUCUGAAUUGAGAAUCAAACAAUUUUUUUAUUUAAAAAAAAAUCGAAUAUCUUAUUAAGAGUUUUUUCUUUAAAAAAAACUAAAAACGAAAAGUAAUAGGCGCGUGGGACAGUGAGGUCGACUGACAUUCGAUGCAUCUACUGGCAUGGUACCAACUUGUAAAAUAAAAAUCAACAAAAACGAAGGCAUCACAAUUAAAAUAAAUCUCACCCACUAUUAUGUGUGUGUACGCGCCGGCGUUGAAAGUCUUCAAUUCUGCACACUCCUUCAUCCAUUGAACUAAGACGCCUAUGCGACUUUGCUGUCGCUCCAAGAGAAGCCUUUGUCCCCUUCCGCCCAGCAUCCUUGGAUUUUGGGAGCAUCUUUGAAUCUCUUUCAUUACUAUUUAUUUUAAUUUUUUCUCACAUCUUAUCAUAUCUUCUUCGUUUAUUUUGCGUGUGGGAAUAAGAUGUAUGCCUUUUUUCUUUGUUUCAACAUAAAAAGUUUAAUAGAUUUGGUUUUGUUUGUUUGCAUAAAUAAAAGAGGCGUUUUGUUUUGGCAAUUAAAAUAUUACUACUUGUAGUAUCAAAAACAUAUAUUGCUACUUGUAGUUUUGGGGAUCAAGUUAAAUGUUCUAAACUCGAUGUCAUAGUGAUUUAUAUGUAUUAGAUAUGUAGUUGUAGUUAUUAUUAGAAAAAUGAGGUUCAGCCUCAUGUAAUUAAUUUUGAACCAAUUAAAGGUCAUGGGCCUUAAUUUUUUUUUUUUUACAUAGAAUCUUAAUUACUUAAUAAAAAGAUGUGGGGUUGUUUUAAUGUUAUAUCAUAAAACCAAAAAAAAAAAAAAAAAGCCAGGAAAAUUAGAGAGAAAAAGAAAAAGGGUGAGUUAGUUGAACGAAAGUCAAUUCAUGAUCCGAUUGAGCUGAAAUUUUGUCAGAAGGUUUAUGAUUCAGAGUUUUACAUUCUGAACGGGGAAGAUUGAGUUUGAAGCUCUCUAGGAAUAAGUCCAUAGUGUAUUUGUUGAGUCACCUAUUUAGUGAGAUUUCUCUAAUUAUCUCUUUAGUUAUUGAUUAGCUCUAGUUUUAACUAGAGAAGAACAUUGUAAAUCCAUUAUUUUAUAGUGAAGAUUUUUCUAGUGGUUCGUGAUUUUUUUUUCUACAAUGAAGGAUUUUUUACGUAAAUGUUGGUGUACUUUAUUUUUUCUGCGUUGUUGAUUGUUGAUUGUUAUCUAUUACUAUGGGCUUAUUACGAUAUAUUGCUUAUGCGCUGUUAUAUUUAUUACUUCAGGCUCAUCAAGUGGUAUCAGAGUAAGGGUUAUUUUGAGACAUCAAUACAGAAGCAGCCUUAAAUAGAAUAAAUUCUGUUUGAGAUCAUGAAAAGUGAUACAGGUUCUAUGAUAAAAUUGACGACAUCAAAUUAUUCAAUUUGAAAGCCUAUAAUGAAAGAUUAUCUAUACUGUAAAGAUUUGUAUGAGUCAGUAUUGAGUGAUUUAACUAAACCAACAGAUAUGAAAGAUGAAAAUUACAAGAAAUCAAACAAAAAGACACUAGCUACAAUCAAAAAAUUGAUUGAUAUUAGUGUGUUCUAUCAUGUAGCGUAGGAGACAGAUGCUCAUACUAUUUGAAAAAAAUUAACAACAUUGUAUGAGAGAAAAAUAUGUAUGCAUAAAGUUAUGAUUGUUAAAAAGCUUGUAACUUUACAAUAUAGGGAUGGAUGAUCGAUUACAAAGCACUUGAGUGAUUUUCAAGAUAUAUUUAAUCGAAUGACUAUUAUGGAGCUUAAGAUGGAUGAUGUAAUAAAGGCAUUGUUUCUUUUAGGUUCAUUGUCGAUAGCUAAAAUACUCUAGUUGUGACUAUUCUUAAUCCAGCUCUUGAUUAGAAGGUAAUAUUUGAUAUGAUAAAGAACAAUAUGCUUAAUGAAAAAGUAAAGCAAAAAGAUGUAGACCUUGGAAAUCAAGCUUUGGUACCAGAGAACAUGGGUAAAAAUAUCGACAGAGGUCAGAACUCAAAAGGCCAUAAUAAGUCCAUACAUAGAUUCAAGUCCAGAGAUAAAGUGAAGUAUUUUUAUUGUGGUAAAACAGGUUAGAUAAAACAACACUGUAAAAUCUUGAAACAAGAGCGAAAAGAUGUAGACCUUGGAAAUCAAGCUUUGGUACCAGAGAACAUGGGUAAAAAUAUCGACAGAGGUCAGAACUCAAAAGGCCAUAAUAAGUCCAUACAUAGAUUCAAGUCCAGAGAUAAAGUGAAGUAUUUUUAUUGUGGUAAAACAGGUUAUAUAAAACAACACUGUAAAAUCUUGAAACAAGAGCGAAAAGAUGAAAAAAGUAAGAGUUUAGAUAAUGGUAAUAUUAUAGUAAUGAAUUCAGAUAGUGAUUCAAUUAUUUUGAUUUGUACAUAUAGUGAUUGUAAUCAUGUUAGUAAUCUCGUCAUUGAGUGGAUAGUUGACACAGGAGCAGCAUAUCAUUAUAUUCCUAAGAGAGAGUUGUUUAUAACUUACAAAAUCGAAGACUUUAGUUGCACCAAGAUGGGAAACAAUAAUGUGUCAUAGAUUGUUAGGAUUGGUGAUAUUGUUGUACAAACUAGUAUAGGCUACAUGUUAACUUUGAAGGAUGUCAGAUACAUUUCGGAUAUAAGAAUGAACUUGCUUGCUAUUAAUGUUAUUAAUAAGAAAGAAUAUGAGAGUUGACAAAAAAUGGGCAGUGAAAGCUUUUUAAAGGAUAUAUGAUAGUUGUAAGAAAAAAAUUAUGUUGCACAAUGUAUAAGACAUGGAUGCAAUUAAAUCGUAAUCAGGUAAAUGCUGUUAAGGAUGAUGCUUCUACAAACUUGUAGCAUAAGAGGUUGGCACACAUAAGUGAGAAGGGAUUACAAAUUUUGUCAAGACAGUCUCUUAUUCCUUUGAUCAAAAGUAUGUUUUUUGAUUUAUGUGAUCAUUAUUUAUUUGGUAAGCAUCAUAGAGUUUCUUUUUGUAAGAGUUCUUAAAGAAAAGAAAAUAUAUUAGAAUUGAUUUAUUCUGACGUAUGUGGUCUCAUUGAGGUUGAGUCAUUAGGUGGUAACAAGUGUUUUGUUACUUUUAUUGAUGAUGCUUCACGUAAGACUUGGGUGUAUAUGUUAAGAUAUAAAAGUAAGGUACUAUAAUAUUUUUAAAAAUUUUAUGCCAUGAUGAAAAAGAUGACAAAGUUACCCUUGAAAUGUAUUUAGACUGAUAAUGGUGGGAAACACAUAUCCAAAGACUUUAAAGAGUAUUAGUCAAAGUAUGAGAUUAGAUAUAAGAUGACAGAACCUGAAACACCGUAGCAUAAUGGUGUAGCUAAAAUGAUGAAUCACAUCAUUAUAAAAAAAGUCAAAUGUAAGUUAACGAUGGCAAAUUACCAAAAUCGGUAUGGGGUGAAGUAGCCAACAUAGCUUGUUAUUUGUUUAACAGAUCACUAUCAGUUCCUUUGGGCUUUGACAUUCCAGAAAGAGUGUGGACAGAAAAAGAUACUUCAUACUCUCACUUAAAAGUUUUUGGGUAUAAAACAUUCAUGCAUGUACCAAAAGAGCAGAAGUCAAAGCUUGACAGUAAAGUCACAUAGUGUAUGUUUAUAGGAGAUGAUGAUGAGGAAUUUGGCUAUAGAGUAUGGGAUCCAAUGAAGAGAAAGUCAGUUAAAAGUAGAGAUGUGGUCUUUCAUGAAAAAGAAAGCAUAGCAGACCUUGAGAAAAAUAAAAAGACUAUACAGGUUACUGUUGAGUGUGAUGUUUUAACAUCGAUAGGGGUUUCACAGAAAAGAGCCACAGAUGGUGGAAAUGAGCAAGAAACAAAACUUGAGGAUAUGAAUCAGAGAGAUGCAAUUAGUUUUGAGCAAGGGGAGCAAUCAUCUUUACCUAAGAUUAUUGAGCAGAGGGAACUACUUUUGGUAUCAGGUGAUAUAAGGUCUUAGCCUAAAAGAUCUACUAGAGAACAUAGGCCAUCUACCAGGUAUCCAAGUUUAAAUUUUAUUUUAGUUAUUAGUGAGGGGGAACUAGAGAGCUUUCAAAAUAUGUAGGCUAUUUCGGAUAGAGAGCACUAGUUAAAAGCAAUGAAAGAAGAGAUAGAGUCAUUACGAAAAAAUAAAAUAUAUGAUCUUGUUAAACUUUCGAAAGAGAAGAGACCGUUGAAUAAUAAAUGGGUGUUCAAGUUGAAAAAAAAAAUGAUGACAAGCUAGUGAGGUAUAAAACUUGAUUGGUGGUGAAAGAUUUUUCUCAGAAAUCAGGCAUCGAUUUUGAUGAGAUUUUCACUCCAGUUGUGAAGAUAAGUUCCAUUUGAGUGGUACUAAGAUUAGCAUCUAGUUUGAAUCUUGAGCUUGAGCAAUUUAGUGUUAAAACUGCAUUUUUGCAUGGUGACUUACAUGAAGACAUUUAUAUGAAUCAGCCUGAGGGUUUUGAAGUGAAAAAGAAAGAGCACUUAGUUUACAAAUUGAAGAAAAGCUUGUAUGGCUUAAAACAAGCUCUAUGACAAUGGUACAAGAAGUUUGAUUCUUUUAUAGUGAAUCACAGCUAAAAAAAAAUGGCAGUAGAUCCUUGUGUGUAUGUCAAAAAAAAUUUUGAUUGUAACUUCAUUAUUCUCUUAUUAUAUAUUGAUGAUAUAUUAAUUAUGGGAUAAAAUGUUGGAAUGGUUUGCAGGUUGAGAUAACAAUUGUCUAAGUUCUUUGACAUGAAGAAUUUGGGUCCAGCAAAAUAGAUUCUCGGUAUAGAUAUUAUCCGAAAUAGGAGAGCUAAAAAGUUAUGAUUAUCACAAGAAAAAUAUAUUGAAAGAGUGCUUAGUAGAUUCAAUAUGCAAUAUGUUAAAUCAGUUAGUAGUCCACUUGUCAACCAUUUUCAUUUGAGUAAGAAAUCUUGUUCGAUGUCUAAGGAAGAGCAACUAGCUAUGUUUAGUAUUCCUUAUUCUUUUGUAGUCGAUUCUUUAAUAUAUCUUAUAGUUUGUAUAUGACCUGACAUUGCUCAUGCAGUUGGUGUAGUGAGCAAAUUUUUUUCUAAACUGGGAAAGGCUCACUGGGAAGUAGUGAAAUGAAUUUUUAGAUAUCUAAGGGGUACUUCAAAAAUGUGCUUGAAUUAUAGAGUUUCACAAUCAGUUUUAGAAGGGUUUACUAAUGCUGAUAUGACAGGUGAUUUUGAUGGUAAAAAAUCUACUUUAGGGUAUUUGUUCACUUUUACAGAAUGAGCUGUGUCUUGACAGUUUAAGUUGUAAAAAUGUGCUACUUUGUCAACUACAGAGGCUGAGUAUAUUGCUGUAACCAAAAUAGGUAAAGAAAUGUUUGGAUAAAAUAUUUUUUCCUUGAAUUAGGGUUGAAUAAAAAAGAGUAUGUGGUAUUUUAUGAUAGCCAGGAUGCGUUAGAUUUGAGUAAGAAUAUCAUGUACCAUGCUAGAACAAAGCACAUUGAUGUUAGAUAUUAUUAGUUACAUUCAGUAAUUGAGGAACAACAGAUAUUGUUGAAGAAAGUCCAUACAAAUGAGAAUGUAACAGAUAUGUUGACUAAGAUACUUCUUAAGAAAAGCUUGAGCUCUAUAGUAACUUGGUCGAAAUGAGUUCCAUGGCCAAGGUAAGUUCCAAAUGAAACUGUUAUAGUGAUAAAUCCUCUCUUAAUAGGGCUAGAAGGGGAGAUUAUUGAAAAAAUGAAGUUCAGCACUAUGUAAUUAGUUUUGGAUCAAUCAAAGACCAUGGGCCUUGGUCUUUCUUUUUACACAGAGCCCUAGCUACUUAAUAAAAAGAAGUGGGGUUAUUUUAAUGUUGCAUCGCAAAACCAAAAAGGAAAAGAAGAAAAGCCAGAAAAAGUAGAGAGAAAAAGGAAAAGGGAGAGUUGGUUGAACGAAAGUCGAUCCGUGGUCCGAUUGAGCAUAAACUUUUUCAGAAAGUUUAUAAUUCAGAGUUCUACAUUUUGUAUAGGAAAGAUUGAGUUUAAAGCUCUCUAGGAACAAAUUCAGAGUGUAUUUGUUGAGUUACAUAUUUGGUGAGAUUUCUCCAAUUGUUUCUCUAGUUGUUGAUUAGCUUUAGUUUUAGCUAGAGAAAAACUUUGUAUAUCCAUUAUUUGAUAGUAGAUAUUUUUUUUGUGGUCCGUAAUUUUUCCCUCUACACUAGAAGAUUUUUCACAUAAAUCUUAAUGUGUUUUAUUUUUCCUGCGUUGUUGAUUGUUAAUUGUUGUCUAUUACUAUAAGUUUAUUAUGAUAUAUUGCUUCGGUGUUGUUGUGUUUAUUACUUCAGGCCUAACAGUUAUAUACCAACUUAAUUGUUAUUUUAUUGAGUUAGAGUAAAGCUAGUACUAUAACUUACAUGGAUCUAAAUAAUUUUUUCGAAUUCAAACUCAAUAUAAUUUUAUUUUAUUAUGAAAAAUUAAUUUAGAUAUAAAUGAUGAUAAGUGAUAGAUAAAUAAUCUUUUAAAUAUCACAGUAAUUAAUAUAUUUAUAAUUCAAGUAUUACGUUAAAAAUUUUUAAAAUUUAAAAAUUAUAUUAAAUGUUUCACUAUAAUUUAAGGAUCAUUCAAGAUAUUAACUCAAUUCUUAAUCAAUUGAAUUUUUGUAUUUCUCUAUAAGAAGAAUGCAUGGCUCUUAUUUGGCAAAUGAGUUUAAAAUUACGUUUAAUAAAGUUAGGAAAAAAGAAAGACUAAAGUAUAUAGUUACGGUAAAUAACAACUGUAAUCUUUAAAUUUUGAGUUUAAUUUUAUUUUGAUUCUUAUUUUUUAAAAAGUUUUAAUUAGAUCGCAAUUGCUUAAAGGUAUCAUAUUUUUGCCCUUUCACCUAUGAAACCAUCUAAAUUAAUACUAAAUGUUAGCUAGCAUCACGUGGACCUUACUAUUGACAUUUCAUGUGGCAAAUGGACUAAUAAAGAGACCAAAAUAGAAUUUUGUUUAAAGUUUAAGGACAAAAAAUAUAACUAUCCUGAAUUUUUUAUAUUUCAAAUAUAUUUUAUAAAAUAUUAAAUUUAAAAUAAUAUUUUAUAUAUUUUUAAUUAUAAUAUAUUUUAUUCAUUAAAUAUAUUUUUUUUUGCAAUAAAUGUUCAAAAUUCUUUUGAAAAAGUUACAUAGCAUUUUAAAAAAAUAAGUAAAAAUUUAUAUUUGUUUAAAAAAAUAAUAAAAAACUUCAUAUCUUUUUAAAAUAUUAAGUAAAAAUUUUCAAAUCAUUUAAUAUUCUUUAUUUAUAUUUUAUAUUUGUAGAAAAUUUUAAAAGAUAAAAAUGGCCAUUAAUGCCUUUAAUUUGGUAUGGAGAAUAAAUCAAAGUAUUGAAAAUAUUUUUUUUAUUUUCUAUAGUAUAAAAUUUAUAAUAAAAUAUUUCAAAAUAGAUUUUUUUGGAUAGAAAAUAAAAUUUUGAAUAGAUUAAUAAAUCUUUUUAAAAAUGAUAUGAAAAUUUCUACUUAAUAUUUUAAAAUGAUAUGAAGUUUUUUAUUUUAUUUUUUAAACCGAUAUGGAAUUUUUAUUUAAUUUUUAAAAUGAUAUAGAAUUUUUUUUAAGGGGGUUUUCAAAUUUUUAACUAAAAUUUAAUUUUUAAAAUAUUUUUAUUAAAAAUAGUAUUUUACUAAUAAUUAAUAUCAUAAUAAAAAAUUAUUUUAAAUUAUAAUAUUUUAUAAAAUAUAUAUGAAAUGCAAAAAAUCAAUUUUUUUCUUUAAUUAUUUUUAUUUUUCUUUAUUUUUCCUUUUUUUCUUCUUUAUAGAAUAUAUUUUGUAAAAUAUAUUAGAAAAAGGAAUAGAAAAUUAUAUUUAAUAUUUUUAAUAGAAAAUAAAUUUGUUGGAUAGAAAAUAAUAUUUUUCUUAUGAUUUAUUAGUAAAAUAAUAUUUUUUUAAUAUAAAAUAGUCUUUUAUUUUCAAAUUGAUUAGGAAUUUUUUCAAAAAGAUUUUAAAAUUUUUAACUUAAUUUUAAUUUUUGAAUAUCUAUUUUUAUCAAAAACAAAAACUCUUUAACUAAUAAACUAUAUUACAAUAAAAAUAUAAAAUUAUUAUUUUAAAUUUUAUAUUUUAUAAAAAUAUAUUUGAAAUAAAAAAUUUUGAGCUCUAAACUUUGAGUAAAUUCCUAUUUUGGUCAUUUCAUCUCCUACGGGAGAUGCCAACAGACGCCAUCCACGUGACGUUAACUGGUAUUUAACGUCAAUUUAAAUGAUUUCAUAAAUAAAAAAAAAUCAAAUUAGGAUAACUUUAAAUAUUGGAGAUCUAACUAUAACUUUUUUAAAAAUUAGAGAUCAAAAUAGAUUUAGUUCAAAGAUUAGGGAUUAUGGAUAUUAUUAACUUUAUAAAAUAAAUCAAUUAUUUGAAAAAUUUUUUUACAUGGUGGCUAGGUUUAAAUGUUAAACGUCCCCCUACAAAAAAAGGUUGUUAAAAGUCGUGUUAGAAUGUUUAAUUGACUAGGGAAAUGCAUGGCAGCUAAUAUUUCCAAACAACUCAACAAUAUCAAAUUGUUGGUUUAAAUACUUUGAACAUUGAUUUCUACCUAGUUAGAGCGAAUGAAAGUUUGUCCAAUCCAAUUUGUCAAUAUCUUUAAGAGAAAGUAUUUCAUAUUAUUCAUAAAAUUUUUAAAUUUUACGAACGAAAUUGACAAAUUAAUACAUACUUUUGAAUUUGUCAAUAUCUUUAAUAAAUAAUUUUUGAUUCGUAGUUUUUCAUUGAUAUUACUUACAAAAACACAUCUUAUCUUAGUUUAAUAAUAAUUUUAGCAAAUCUCUUUAUUUUAAAUUAAAACUUAAUAUAAUUUAUUCAUGUUUUAGUAAAUUUAAAAUUUAAAUUUUAACACUUAUAACUUUUAAUCUUCAAAUUAUAAUUUCCUCUCAACAAAAAGUUAUAUUAUAAAGAAAUAGAAAAUUAAACAUUCACAAAUAAUUGGUUCAACAACUAAAGUUUGUGUCAAAUAAUCAUAAGGGGACAAAGCUUACAUAUUGAUAAAGAAAACAUGCAGAAAUUAAAAUUACGACUUAAAUCUUAGAAAAAUUUAUUUUUAAUUUUUCUAAGAGAUAUGUAAAUAUUAAGAUUAAUUUUUAAAUUUAUUUUUUACUAGUUUUAUCUUAAAAUGUUUGCCAUCUAAUGCCUCAGGAUACAUCUUAUUAUGAAUAGAUAAUCAAAUAAUUUAUCUAUCUUAAAUUUUUAUUAUAAGUUUUAUUUUUAAAAAAUCGAAUAUCUUAUUAUUAAAUUUUUUCUUUCAAAGAAAGUGAUAGGCCCGUGGGAUAGUGAGGCCUGCUCACAUUCGAUGCAUCUACUGGCAUGAUACCAACUUGAAAAUAUAAAUCAACUCAACAAAAGCAAAGGCAUUACAAUCAAAAUGAAUCUCACCCAUAAUUAUGUGUGAGAAAGACGCGCCGGCGUUGAAAGUCUUCAAUUCUUCGCACUCCUCCAUCCAUUGAACUAAGACACUUUUAUGACUUUGCUGUCGUCUCAAACAGAAGCCUUUGCCCCCUUCCCCCCCAGCAUCCUUGGAUCAUCUUUGAAUCUCUUUCAUUACUAUUUAUUCUAAUUUUUACUCACAUCUUAUCAUAUUUUUUUAUUAGUUUUUUUAUGUUUAUGUCACCAGUAGCCACUUAAGCCUAACAUCCGCAUAAUUUUAGAUUAAAGAUUAUCGUUCAUGUAUCUAAAUCAAUCUCUUUUUUUAAUUUGUAUCGAACGUUUGUGUCGUGCAUUUUAUCGGCUCUUCAGAAACUUGGGAGAAAACUAAUAAGUAGACAUGUGCAUGUGGAUGAGAAUGAGAAGUAUGUUUUUUUCUUUAAACAUAAAAAGAUUAAUGGAUUUGGUUUUAUUUGUUUGCAUAAAUAAAAUGGAGGUUUUGUUUGGGCAAUUAAAAUAUUGCUACUUGUAGUAUCAAAAACAUAUAUUGUUACUUGUAGUUUUUGGGAUUAAGUUAAACAUUCUAAACUUAAUGUCAUUAUGUUUAUAUAUGUUUUAGACAUGUAGUUGUAGUUAUAUACCAACUUAAUUGUUAUUUUAUUGAGUUAGGAGUAAAGUUAGUAUAACUUACAUGGAUCCGAAUGAUUUGUUGUAAUUCAAACUCAAUCCAACUUUAGUUCAUCAAGAAAAAUUAGUUCUAAUUUAAAUUAAUUUGAAAAAUUAAUCCAUAAUUCAAACUUAAAUUGAUUUAUUUUAAAAUUUAAUAAUUUAAACUCAAAAUAACCCAAAUUUAAUAAUCCAAACUCGAAUAAUUUUAAUGUUAAACUCAAAUAAUCUAACUCAAAAUAAUUUGAAAUUGAAAUAAUUUAAAUCCAAAUUGAUACAAAUUUUUUUUUUUAUAUAAAAUGAUACGAUCUAAAAUAAUUUGACCUUUGCCACAUUCUUAGGGACUAGGGAUUAGUUAUUGAGUAUCAAAUGAAACAAUGUAAUUGAUCUAAUGUAAAACAUGACAUUGCAAGAAAACACUCUUAACAAUUAAAAUUUGAGAGGUUUUAUAUUCGGAUUUAUAGGAUGAAUAUUAGGAUUUAUCAAAUGAGGGAGAUCCAAAAUCUUUAUGUAUACAAUGUACCAAAAAAAUCAUUAUGUAUAAAAAAAUUUAUAUGCUUAAUUUAUAGUAUUAAUUAAGUACUUAAAACAUACUUAAUUAAUUGAUUUCAUCCACAGAAGAAUUCAUAUUAAGAACGUAGACUUAAAAAUGACUAAACAGGGAAUGUGACAAUUCUUUAGUUUAAAAUAAAAAAAUGGAGUGAUUACUUAUUUUAACUAGUUUUCGGACUUUUACGUGAUAUAGUGAGAUGAAUUCUUAUUACAAUGUAAUUACAUUUUACAAUUGAACUUUUAAAGAUCCAAUGAAUAAAAUAAUAUACAUGGCACGAUGAGAGUUCUCCUACUUCGUUGGAAGAAUUUUUAAGGAUUAAUGUUGUAAAUAACCUUUAAACUAUAGUAAGAUAUUCAAUGUAAUAUUUGAAUUUUAAAAAUUUUUAAUAUGUUAUUUAAACUAUGAAUUUAUUAACAAAUGUGAUACUUAUUUUUAAUAUGGCUAGCUUCAAAUAAUUACAUAUGACAGAUUAACAAUUCUUUAAAUGUCACAUUAAUUAACAUAUUCAUAAGUCAAGUAUCAUAUUAAAAAUUUUAAAAUUUUAAAUAUUAUAUUGAUUAUUUUAUUAUAAUUUAAGGACAUGGUAUUAACCCAAUUUUUAAUUGAUUGAAUUUUUUUCAACAUAAAAAGUUUAAUGGAUUUAGUUUUGUUUGUUUGAACAAAUAAAAGAGGGGUUUUGUUUUGGCAAUUAAUAUAUUGCUACUUGUAGUAUCAAAAACAUAUAUUGCUACUUGUAGUUUUCGGGAUUAAGUUAAAUGUUCUAAAUUCAAUGUCAUAGUGUUUUAUAUGUAUUAGAUAUGUAGUAGUAGUUAUAUACCAACUUAAUUGUUAUUUUAUUGAGUUAGAGUAAACCUAGUACUAUAACUUACAUGGAUCCAAAUAAUUUAUUCGAAUUUAAAUUCAAUAUAAUUGUAUUUUAUCAAGAAAAUUUAAUUUAAAUAUAAAUAAUGAUAAGUGAUAGAUAAAUAACUUUUUAAAUAUCACAGUAAUUAACAUAUUUAUAAUUUCAGUAUUACAUUAAAAAUUUUUAAAAUUUAAAUAUCACAUUAAAUUUUUUACUAUAAUUUAAGGAUCAUUCAAGAUAUCAACUCAAUUCUUAAUCAAUUAAAUUUUUGUAUGUCUCUAGAAGAAGAAUGCACGGCUCUUAUUUGGCAAAUGAGUUUAAAAUUACAUUUAAUAAAGUUAGGACAAAAGAAAGACUAAAGUAUAAAGUUAGGGUAAAUAGCAUCUAUAAUAUUUAAAUAUUGAGUUAAAUUUUAUUUUGAUUCUUAUUUUUAAAAAAAUUUUAAUUAGAUCUCAAUUGCAUAAAAGUAUCAUAUUUUGGCCCUUUCACCUAUGAAACCAUCUAAAAUAAUAAUAAAUGUUAGCUAACAUCAUGUAGAUGAUACCAUUGACAUUUCGUGAGGUAGAUGGAUUGAUAGAGAGGUCAAAAUAGAAUUUCGUUUAAAGUUUAAGAACAAAAAAUAUGACUAUCCCAAAUUUUUUAUAUUUCAAAUAUAUUUUAUAAAAUAUUAAAUUUAAAAUAAUAUUUUUAUGUAUUUUUAAUUAUAAUAUAUUUUAUUCAUUAAAUAUAUUUUUUUGUAAUAAAUUUUCAAAAUUCUUUUGAAAAAAUUACAUAGCAUUUUAAAAAAUUAAGUAAAAAAUUAUAUUUGUUUAAAAAAUUAAAUAAAAAACUUCAUAUCUUGAAAAUAUUAAGUAAAAAAUUUCAAAUCAUUUAAUAUUCUUUAUUUAAAUUUUAUAUUUGUAGAAAAUAAAAAAAAAAAAUCAAAAUGGUCCUUAAUGCCUCUAAUCUGGUAUGGAGAAGAAAUCAAAGUAUUGAAAAUAUUUUUUAUUUUUUAUAGUAUAAAAUUUAUAAUAAAAUAUUUCAAAAUAGAUUUUUUUGGAUAGAAAAUAAAUUUUUGAAUAGAUUAAUAAAUCUUUUUUUAAAUGAUAUGACAAUUUUUACUUAAUAUUUUAAAACGAUAUGAAGUUUUUUAUUUGAUUUUUUUAAACCAAUAUGGAAUUUUUAUUUAAUUUUUAAAAUGAUAUAGAAUUUUUUUAAAGGGGUUUUCAAAUUUUUAACUAAAUUUUAAUUUUAAAAAUAUUUUUAUUAAAAACAGUAUUUUACUAAUAAUUAAUAUCAUAAUAAAAAAUUAUUUUAAAUUAUAAUUUUUGAUAAAAUAUAUAUGAAAUGUAAAAAAUUCAAUUUUUUUCUUUAUUUAUUUUUAUUUUUCCUUUUUUUCUUCUUUAUAAAAUAUAUUUUGUAAAAUAUAUUAGAAAAAGGAAAAGAAAAUUAUAUUUAAUAUUUUUAAUAGAAAAUAAAUUUUUUGGAUAAAAAUAAAAUUUUUUAUUAUGAUUUAUUAGUAAACUAAUAUUUUUUAAUAUAAAAUAGUCUUUUAUUUUCAAAUUGAUAUGGAAUUUUUUCAAAAAGAUUUUAAAAAUUUUAACUUAAUUUUAAUUUUUGAAUAUCUAUUUUUAUCAAAAACAAAAACUAUUUAACUAAUAAAUUAUAUUACAAUAAAAAUAUAAAAUUAUUAUUUUAUAUUUUAUAAAAAUAUAUUUGAAAUAAAAAAAAAUUGAGCUCUAAACUUUGAGUAAAUUUUUAUUUUGAUCCUUUCAUCUCCUAGCAAGAUGCCAACAAACAACAUCCACAUGGCGUUAACUGGUAUUUAACGUCAAUUUAAACGAUUUAAAAAAAAAAAGAGGAUAAAUUAGGAUAACUUCAAACAUUGGAGAUCUAACUAUAACUUUUUUUAAAAAUUAGAGAUCAAAAUAAAUUUAGUUCAAAGAUUAGGGAUUAUUUUUACAUGGUGGCUAGAUUUAAAUGUUCAACGUCCCCCUAUAAAAAGGUUGUUAAAAGUCGUGUUAGAAUGUCUAAUUGACUAGGAAAAUGCAUGGCAGCUAAUAUUUCCAAACAACUCAACAAAACCAAAUUGUAGGUAAAAAUACUUUGGACAUUGAUUUCUACCUAGUUAAAGCGAAUGAAAGUUUGUCCAAUCCAAUUUGUCAAUAUCUUUAAGAGAAAGUAUUUUAUAUUAUGUAUAAAAUUUUUAGAUUUUAUAAAUGAAAUUGAUAGAUUGACACAUACUUUUGAAUCUGUCAAUAUCUUUAAUAAAUGAUUUUUGAUUCAUGGUUCUUCAUUUAUAUUAUUUACAAAGAUACAUUUUAUCUUAGUUUAAUAAUAAUUUUAGCAAAUCUCUUUAUUUUAAAUUAAGACUUAAUUUAAUUUAUUUAUAUUUUAGUAAUUUUAAAAUUUAAAUUUUAACAAUUAUACUUUUUAAUUUUCAAAUUAUAAUUUCCUCUUAACAAAAAGUUAUAUUAUAAAGAAAUAGAAAAUUAAACUUUAACAAAUGAUUGGUUCAACAACUAAAGUUUGUGUCAAAUAAUUGUAAGGGGACAAAGUUUACAUAUUAAUAAAGUAAACAUGCAAGUAUUAAGAUUACGACUCAAAUCUUAUACAAAUUUAUUUUUUAUAAGAGAUAUGUAAAUAUUUAGAUUAAUCUCUAAAUUUAUUUUUUACUAGUUUUAUGUCAAAAUGUUUGCCAUCUAAUGCAUCGUGAUACAUCUUAUUAUUAAUUGAGAAUCAAAUAAUUUAUCUAUAUCAAAUUUUUAUUAUAAGUUUUAUUUUUAAAAAAUCGAAUAUCUUAUUAUUAAUUUUUUUCUUUCUAAGAAAGUGAUCGGCUCGUGGGAUAGUGAGGCCUGCUCACAUUCGAUGCAUCUACUGGCAUGAUACCAACUUGAAAAUAUAAAUCAACUCAACAAAAGCGAAGGCAUUACAGUCAAAAUGAAUCUCACCCAUAAUUAUGUGUGAGAAAGACGCGCCGGCGUUGAAAGUCUUCAAUUCUUCGCACUCCUCCAUCCAUUGAACUAAGACACUUUAUGACUUUGCUGUCGUCUCAAAGAGAAGCCUUUGCCCCCUUCCCCGGCAGCAUCCUUGGAGCAUUUUUGAAUCUCUUUCAUUACUCUUUAUUCUGAUUUUUUCUCACAUCUUAUCAUAUCUUUUAUUAUAUAUAUAUAUGUCAGGUAGAGACUUAAGCCUAACAUCCGUGUAAUUUUAGGUUAAAAAUUAUCGUCCGUGUAUCUAAAUCAAUCUCUUUUUCCACUUUGUGUCGAACGUUUAUGUCGUGCAUUUUGUUAGCUCUUCAAAAACUUGGGAGAAAGCUAAUAAGUAGACAUGUGCAUGUGGAUGAGAAUGAGAUGUAUGUUUUUUUCUUUAAACAUAAAAAGAUUAAUGGAUUUGGUUUUAUUGUUUGCAUAAACAAAAUGGAGGUUUUGUUUGGGCAAUUAAAAUAUUGCUACUUGUAGGAUCAGAAACAUAUAUUGCUACUUGUAGUUUUUGGGAUUAAGUCAAAUAUUCUAAACUUAAUGUAAUUGUGUUAUAUAUAUAUAUUAGAUAUGUAGUUGUAGUUAUAUACCAAAUUAAUUGUUAUUUUAUUGAGUUAGGAGUAAAGUUAGUAUAAUUUACAUGGAUCCGAGCAAUUUCUUCUAAUUCAAACUCAAUCCAACUUUACUUCAUCAAGAAAAAUUAGUUUUAAUUUAAAUUAAUUUAAAAAAUUAAGUCAUAAUUCAAACUUAAAUUGAUUUAUUUUAAAAUUUAAUAAUUUAAAAUCAAAAUAAUACGAAUUUGAUACUCGAAUAAUUUUAACGUUAAAUUCAAAUAAUCUAACUCAAAAUGAUUUGAAAUUGAAAUAAUUUAAAUCCAAAUCGAUAUAAUUUUUUUUAUCUAAAAUGAUUUGAUCCAAAAUAAUUUGACUUUUGCCACCCUCUUAAGGACUUGGAUUAGUUAUUGAGUAUCAAAUAAAAUAAUGUAAUUGAUCUAACGUAAAACAUGACAUUGCAAGAAAACACUCUUAACCAUUAAAAAUUGAGAGGUUUCGUAUUCGGAUUUAUAUGAUGAAUAUUAGGAUUUAUCAAAUGAGGGAGAUCCAAAAUCUUUAUGUAUACACUGUACCAAAAAAGUCAUUAUGUAUAAAAAAAUUUAUAUGCUUAAUUUAUAGUAUUAAUUAAGGUCUUGAAACAUACUUAAUUGAUUGAUUUCAUCCACAGAAAAAUUCAUAUUAAGAAUUUAGACUAAAAAAAGACUAAACAAGGAAUGUGACAAUUCUUUAAUUUAAAAAAAAAAUGGAGUGAUUACUUAUUUUAACUAGUUUUGGGACUUUUAGGUGAUAUAGUGAGAUGAAAUUUUAUUACAAUGUAACUACAUUUUAUAAUUGAACUUUUAAAGAUUCAAUGAAUAAAACGAUAUACAUGGCACGAUGAGAGUUCUCUCAUUUCGUUGGAUGAAUUUUUAAGGGUUAAUGUCAUAAAUAACCUUUAAAAUAUAGUUAGUUAUUCAAUGUGAUAUUUAAAUUUUAAAAAUUUUUAAUAUGUUACUUAAAUUAUGAAUCUAUUAACAAAUGUGAUAUUCACUUUUAAUGUGACUAAAUUCAAAUAAUAAUAUGUGGUGGACUAAUAAUUUUUUAAUUGCCUUAUUAAUUGACAUAUUCAUAAAUCAGAUUCCACAUUAAAAAUUUUUAAAACUUAAGUAUCAUAUUGACUAUUUUGUUAUAAUUUAAGGACAUGACAAUAACCGAAUUUUUAAGCAAUUGAAUUUUUGUAUUUCUCUAGAAGAAGAAUGCGUAGCUUCUAUGUAGCAAAUGAGUUUACAAAUUACACUUACUAAAGUUAGGAAAAAUAAAAAUACUAAAUUAUAGAAUUAGGGCAAAUAAUACUUGUAGUCCGUAAACUUUAAGUCAAAUUUUACUUUUGUCUUUAAUUUUUAAAAAAGAUCUAAUUGGAUACUCAAUUGCCUAAAAUUAACUUAUUUUAGUUUUUUUACCUAUAAAACUGUUUAAAUUAACAGUAAAUGUUAGCUGACACCACGUGUAUGGCACAAUUGACAUCUCACAUGACAAAUGAACUGAUAAAAUGAUCAAAAUAGAAUUUCGCACAAAGAUUAGAGACCAAAGAUGCUACUAUCUCGAAAUUUUUUAUAGUUUAGAUAUAUUUUAUAAAAUAUUAAUUUAAAAUAGUAUUUUUUAAAUUUUUUAAUAUUUUAUCAUUAAAUAUAUUUUGAUUUUAAUAGAUUUUAAAAAAUUAAAAUCAAGUUAAAAUUUUCAAAUUCUUUUGAAAAAAAUUACAUAUCAUUUUAAAAAAUUAAGUAAAAAAAUUUUAUUUUCAUAUCUUUUUAAAAUAUUAAGUAAACAUUUUUUAAAUUAUUUUAUUUUCAUUGUUAAAAUUUUAUAUUUAUAGAAAAUUAAAAAAAAAGGCAAUCAAAACAGUCCUUAUUGCUUCGAUCUCGUAAGGAAAAGAAAUCAAAGUAUUGAAAAUAAUAUAUAUAUAUAUAUUAUAAAUAUAACUAAACUUUAAUUUUUAAAAUAUUUUUCUAUUAAAAAUAAUAUUUUACUAAUAAUUAUUAUCAUAAUAAUAAUAAAAUUUAUUUUAAAUGAUAACAUUAUGUAAAAAAUCAAAUUUCUCUUUAAUUUUUUCUUUUUUCUUCUUUAUAAAAUAUAUUAGAAAAAGGAAAAGAAAAAUAUAGUUAAUAUUUUUAAUAGAAAUUAAAUUUUUUGGGUGGAAAAUAAUUUUUUAUUAUGAUUUAUUAGUAAAAUAAAAUUUUAAAUAUAAAAUAGUCUUCUAUUUUUAAAUUGAUAUAGAAUUUUUUUCACUAAGAUUUUUAAAAAUUUUAACUUAAUUUUAAUUUUUGAAUAUCUAUUUUUUUGUCAAAAACAGAAAAAAUUUAAUUAAUAAAUUAUGUUACAGUAAAAAAUAAAAAAUAAAUAUUUUAAAUUUAGUAUUUUAGAAAAUUAUAUUUGAAAUACAAAAAUUGAGAUAGUAACUUCCUUAUUCUCUAAAUUUUAUGCAAAAUUCUAUUUUGAUCCCUCCAUCUACCACAUAAAAUGCUAAUCGACACUAUCCACAUGGUACGUGUUAAUAUUUAACGUCAAUUUAGGCGAGCUCAUAAAUGGAAGAAUCAAAUUAGAAUAAUUUUGAGUAAUUAAAGAUUUAGUUAAUGUUUUUUUAAAUUUAGGAUCAAAAUAUAAUUUAACUCAUAAUUUAAGAACCAUGGGAGUUAUUAAUUCUAUAGAAUUAAUCAAAUAGUUGAAAAUUUUUUACAUGGUGGCUAGGUUUAAAUGUUCAAAGUUCCCAUAAAAAAAAAAAGUCGUGUUGUAAUGUUUAAUUGACUAGGGAAAUACAUGGCAGCUAUUAUUUCCAAACAACUCAACAAUACCAAAUUGUUGGUUUAAAUACUUUGAACAUGGAUUUCCACCUAGUUAAAGUGAACGAACCAAGUUUGUCAAAUUCAAUUUGUCAAUAUCUUAAUUUCAUAUUGAUAGUGAAAUUUUUAAAUUUUAUAAAUUAGAUUAAUAAAUUGACAUGAAUUUUUUUGGUGUAUUGAAAACAUAAAGAAUGAAUUAAAAAAUAAAAUAUGUAUCAAUUUUUAAUUUUGUUUGUUAAGUUAAGAAAUUUUAUUAAAAAUGUAUGGAAAAAGAACUUUUAUCUUUAAUGUGUAAGAAAAAUAAAAUUGGGCAAAAAAUAUUGCGAAUUUCCACAACUUCAUUUUGUUAUUGCCUUCUUGGCAAUUGUCAUGAAGUUUCGUCCUUGGCUUUGCAAAGUAAAUAAUGGACGGAAAUCAGUUGUCAUUUUUUUUUCUUGUCAUAAACGUGAGAAAAAAAAAUUGUUUAUGUUUGUGCUAUUACUUUUGCUUUUUAGGCCCAUCACUUUUCCUUUUUCAACUAAAUUUUAGUCCAAUCUUUCUAUUUAGUGUCAUUUACAAAAUAAAGCUUAUGUCCAAAUACACUUAACAAUCUUGUAUUUCAAUCAAGAUCGGAAAUUUUAACAAUAUAAGAGAUAUAUGAUUUAGACUUGGUGUUUAAAGUAGAUGAAAGUGACAAAUUUUUUUGUAAAAUUCAAUUUAACUAUAUAUGAUUUUCAUAAAUUUGGAUUGAUUCUAAAAGAAACGAGGCAAGUGUUGAUCUCCGAUUAAUGAUUUUAAUCUAUAAUUUCAUCGUCAUCAUUAUCAUCAACAUUAUUAUUAUUAUUAUUAUUUAGUUCUCAUCAAAAUUAAGAAAAUGUAGAUGAACCUUAUAAAAUCAAAAUUCUUGUUAUUUAUUAAAAUUUAUAUUAAAUGAAAUUAUUAGUGUAAUUUAUUAUUAAAACAUUAAAUGAUAUCAUUAUAAGAAAAUUUUUUCCCUAUAUUUACAGGUGAAAGGAUCAUGCAUACUAAUAGGUAAUAUUUCAAUAAAACAUUUUUCCAACUUAUAGUAGAAAAAUAGAAACCUUAAAUUGAACAAAAAAAAAAAUCAAUGAAGCUCACAAAUUUACCAUUAAAUACUGAUAAGCAAUUUUUAAUUAAAAAUAGUGAUUAAAAGGAAAUUAAUGACAACUUAACUGAGCAUAACUUGUAAUUGUAAAACCUUGCUUUAGUGACGAUAACUCGAUUUUUGUUGGUUGUACUUAUUUGUUUGUGUUUAUGAAUAUUUUCUCAUAAAAAAAAAAUGUUCCCACGUGAGUCAUAAAACAGACAUCAGAAUACUUUACAACCAAUCAUCUAACUUUUAGACAAAAAGAAUAAAUUAAUUUCCGUAACAGUUAUAUUAUUAUAAUAAUAAAAUAAUUUCUCAAAUCAUAAAAAAACUUUUAUUAUUAUUUUCUCUACUUUUUCAUCUCCAAAAAAUCAUAACCAAAUGACAAAAAAAAAAUUAGUGUCUGUAAUCACUGAUUAAGGAUUAUUUAAUUAUUAUAUUUAAAAUUUUUUUAUUUAAUGUUUUAUUUUCACCAAUUCAACAAAAUUAAUGCAUUAAUUAUAUAUUUUUUAAAUAUUAUCUUAACUAGUGUCACUAACCGUUCAUUAAUUUUUUUCAACAUGAAAACAAGUUUAAUCAAUUUUUAAUUUCAAUGAAACCCAGUAAACAUGUUGACAACAAUUAUUUAAUAAUUAAAAAAUAUUAUGUCUUGAAUUAAUUUAUAAAAUAUUUAAAAAUGUACCAAAAAAGAUUCAGCUAAAUAUAUUGAGAUCUGUCGCCUUGAUUCUGUCUGAUACGCAACAAGACUCGAUACGGAUUUCUUGAUUAAAAAAAAAAAAAUCAAACCACUCCUUCACAUUAAACCCCUAAAUCAACGGCUGAGAUUUUCCGCAGCCAUCAUUCAACUAUAUAUAUAAACUAAUAUGUCAAUCAUUUCCACCUGAAAAAUUUCUCCAAAUCUCUAACUGGUUUCAUUCUUUCAUUAUUCUCUCAAAACCCCAAUCCCAAAUCCUUUAAUCUUCUUUCAAGAAAAUUUAGUUACUUUUGUUUUGUUAUCUGAACAUUUAAUCUGAAUAAUUGGUUCAGUUUGUAGAAGAGCUUGGAUACUCGAUUUUUAUUAAAAGAAUAUUUGAUUUAUCGCCUUUUGGCGAGAAAUGAUAAGGGUUUUGACGAUGACAAGAUUGGAGGAGAGCAACUGGACGAUGGCAAAGUCUUUUGGGUCAUUUGGACUAGGGGGAUUACUACUGCUGGCGGCGUUGGCUGCUUCUAUGAUGGUUCUUCCGCUGGUGUUGCCGCCGCUACCGCCUCCGCCAUUGAUGCUUCUGCUGUUUCCAGUUGGGAUCAUGGCUGCUCUCAUGUUCUUGGCGUUUUACCCCACGGAGGCUACUGGAAAUGUCGUUGUUCAUACAGUAUAAGAACACAUGUUAAACGUGUCUUUCAUAGGAAGAUGGUCGGCCAUUGGGUCGGCGGCUCUGCUGAGGUCGUAGAUGUUGUUGAUUUCUUAUGACUAUAUAUUUGUACAACAUUUACAUUACUUUAUUGUUAAUUAUUUCUUACAAAUGAAUUAUACAUUCAAUUUUGAGAAAAAAAAAAAAAAAGAAAUUUGAAAGUAUAAACAUCAUAGAAAAAAUUUGUGAAUAAUUCCCUUUUCUUCUUUGUUUUCUACAUUUAUGGGGUUAUUAAUACAAAAAUAAUGCAUUUUAUGGUUUAAUGAUAUUAUCAAUGUGUUUAUCAAAAUAAUUAUUUAGUAGAAUAUUUUAUUUUUUGUUCUUAAGAUUUGAUUUUCGUAAAAAGAAAUUAAAAAUAAAAUCUUAAAUACAUGAUAUCAAUGUUAUUAAAUUUGAUAACUUUAAAUACGUUAAAAAAAUUAAAUAAAAAAAAUAAAAAUAAUAUAAUUUAAAAUUUUAAUAAAAAUUAUAUAUGUAUUUGAUAAAAAUAAAAAAUAUAUUUUAUAUUUGACGAAUUUAAUAUAAUUAUUUUUAUUUUUAUAUGUGUUUAAUAUAAAAUAAAUAUUAUAUAAAUAUAAAUAUAAAUAUAAAUAUAACAAAUAUAUCUUUAAAAUGAUUAAGGCGAAAAAAAUAGAAACAAUCUAACAAAGGAGCUGAAGAGCAGCCAUAAAACUUUAUGGAACAAGAGUGAAUAGGAAGUUGCACGAUUCAGCAGCCUUUUUAAACCAUGUUCAAAAUGGUUCAACCUUAAUGCUCAAAAACAUUAUUAUUAUUAUCUCAUGCUUUAAAAUUAGAUUAGCAUUUCAAUUUUGGAAAAGUUGGUCGUAACUACAGUGAUUUUGAAAAGCAUUUUGGCCUCAUGGGAUAUUAUUCUUGUGAUCAUAUCACAAAAAUAAUUGAUAUAUGUAACUUUGACACAAUUAAUAUGAACUCCUAUGUUCAUCAAAUAACAAUGUUCUACCUUUCUUCAAGUCUCAAUGCGCGGUUUUAGCCGCCUAAGGUUGAACAUGAAUUCUUUUUAUACCAUCUCUAAAUAUAUUGUUAUUGAUUUUUUUAAAAAUAUUACAGUAAUUUUUAAUUUAUUGAUGUAAAUGACAUAAAUUUAUUUAAUUUGGAAAUAUCAUAUUUUUCUACGUAAUUCAACUUAAACAAAAUUAAAUUAUAAUUAAAUUGAUUCAUAUAAUCACCUUUAGUAAAUGACAUCAUACUGUGACAUUUUUUUAUUAGGCGUGUAAAUGAUAUAUUAGUAUUUAUAAAUUACUCAGGUUCGAUUAGAAUAAAAUUCGAAUUCGACUCAAUUAUUAUCGAAUCAAGCUCGAGCUUGAGUAACUUGAUUUAUUAAUCGAGUCAAGUUUGAAUAUUUUUAUACUGACUCGAGUAGCUUGCGAGCCUAAUCGAGUUUUUAUAUUUUAAUAUAUUAGAAUUAUUUAAUUGAUAAAAUAUCUCAAACUCGAGUUCGUGCUCGAGCACAAAUAACUGAACUUUUGUCAAAUAUAAAAAUUAAACUUAUUUUUACAUUUUAAUUGAAUUUAAUCAAACGAAUUCGAGUAAUUCGAUUUUUAUUUUUAAUCAAGUUCAAGUGAAAAAAAAACUCGAUCGAAUUCAAACCGAAUUUCGAGCAUUUAAUUUAAAUUCGAGUUCGAACUUAAUAUUGUAUUGACUCGAACUAGAUUGAUUAUACUUUUAAUUUUUAUACUGAGAUUUUUUUUGUAAGAAAAGAAAUUUAAAUAUUUUGUUAGUUUCAUUGAGUAUUGUCACAUUAGAAAUUUGUAUGUCCAUGAUCAUAUUAAUCAGUUAAUUUUCUUAAUUAUAGUUGAAUUAACAUGUGAUAACCUUCGCUUGUAGAUUAAAAAAAAAAAAUUCACUUUCGAGAUACACGAUAAUUUUUUAAUAUUUUAAUCUUUGAUAAUACUACGGCCGAUUUCACUUGCUUUUUCUAGCAUCUUUAAGUCGUUUUAAGAUCCAAUAAAAUGAAAAUUACAGUCUGGAAUAUUCCCUACCAACAACUCGUGCUCUGAAUUUAAUCUAUUUCUGCAAAGUUGUGCUGAAUGCUGAUGCAAUCUCUGCUAAACAUCUUGAAAUUGUACUCUUAUUCUUAUAUUAUUUCCAGCAAAAAGAAGAUUAAAUCAAAGAUGCAUCUUACAUUGAAAAUUCCAAGUGCAGGAAACUGCAUUGUAACUCUGAUUGGGUAGCAAAAAAACAGUUUAAACUAUGACACAUUGUCAAAAUGUUUGAACCAGUUGGAACUACUUCAAAGACUCCAAAGUCUUUGGAUUCAUACCAUAUGUCCGAGUUAACAACAAAACAAACAUCAUCCAGCCUAGAUUUCCAAGAACCAAAACCUACUAUUAAUACUAAUAUACUAUGAGUUUUGCUAACGAUUAGUAACGUUACUAUUUAAAGUAAUAUUAUCGAAAUGCACUGAAAAAAUAUAUUACUUGAUAUAAUAACCUUAAAGAGUGCCCUUAGAACACUGCGGUUGAAAAAGUAAUGAACUUUUCAAUGCAUUUCCCUCCUUAUACUAGUUUAGAAUCUUUUGACAAAGAAAAGAUCCUUGCCGUUCCAUCUAUACAGUAAAAAAAAUUGUUUUAACUCCAUCCAAAUUUGGGCAUAAAUUAAACAACUUGGAACUACAACGUGCACAAAUUGGUUUCGAGACGAUUUGCUUUAACGGUUGGAAGAAAAAUCCGGUACUUUAACUCAAUUAAGCAGUAAAUAUAUUAGUCUUGUUCUUCUCACAUUUCAUUGUCUAGGAUAUCCCGCAUCAUUUGUAUUGGAAUGAGGCCUUCAGUGCGGAUUGCCAGCUUGUUUUGAUCAGGGCUGAUGAAGAAUAAAGUUGGCAAUCCUCUAACCUGGUACAACAGAAUUUCAAGUUCCACUCAGGUCACACACUAUACUAAACUGAAAGGAAGAUUUCCAGGCAAUUUGACGUAAGAUGCAAAACAGCUGUUUUAAAUUAGGCGAAUGGUUGCUGCCAUUACAGAAAAUGUGCACUGUGAAAAGGGGGGGAAAGGAGAAAUUAAGAAAUGAAUAUUACUUGGAAAAUUACCUGCAUAUUGUGCGCAAAUUCAUACUCAUCAUCAGCAUCGACUUUGACAAUAAUUGCAUUUUUCUCAUACUCCACUGCUAGCUGUGAUUAAAAAAAUAUAGAUAUAGAGAUUAUACUUGAGUAAAUCUCCAAACUGGAUCAAACAAAUCAGGCUGGUCCUAUUUGUUCACAAUAACCAACUACUCCAAACUUUUUCAACAUUGGUUAAUGAGUAUAAAUUUCAGUGAAUAAUGAGAUACAAAAUAUAGUUUGACGACAAAACUUUUUAUAAAUAAGCAACCAAAUAUAAAAAGUAAAGCCUGGUUUAACGCAAUCAAAUAUCUGAAUUUAAUUUGAGAAGAGAUGGAUGAAAGUGUUAAUUAAGCUCUGCAUGGUUAUUUAAGUGGGUUCAAGGACAUAACAUAGUUAAGGGCCAUCUUUUUGUCACUUUCCGGAAAGAGGCAUCUCAAAAUAUUUAGAAUAUAUAGAAGCUAUCUUUCAUAAUUGUGAUGAAAUGAGAAUUGUCAGCAAGCAUCUAACUUGUGCAUUAAAUGCAAAACUGCAGCAUUUUCCAAUGCCAUUUUUAGGACCUACUUUCCCAAAAAAUUAAGUUUAUACCAUGUUAAGGAAUGAUAGAUUCAGAAAAUGUUUGUCGAAAACUCACAAUAACAUCAUUUCUUUAGCAGAAAAUUCCGUAGUACAAAAUGUCAGAAAGUUUAUUGUACCAACGGAAAAAUGUCAGCAGGUCUCUACUCCUUUAAUUCUUCUACAGAGGCUACUCUCCUGGAGAAAAAUGGGUGCUCCAUACCAACCUGGAUCACCGGAAGAGAAAUGGAAGUCCCACAACGUACUCAUCUUAUUUUAUGAAACUACUUCAAUAACAUAUAGUGCACCUGCAUAUCUAAACCUCUUUGGUCAUGGAGUUGCUUCCCCUGCCCAUUAUUUUCCUCUUUAGUUUUCAGCUAUAGUCUAGUGCAUUGGCUUGUUUUUAUAGCUCUUAAGAUCCAUCAAAAAGAAAACUACUACACAAUCUGAAAUAUUCCUUAUUGACAACUUGUACUCUGCAUUUAAUCUAUUUCUGCAAGUUCUGCAGCCAGACCAGAUCAUGGCCGAUACAAUCUCAGCUGAACUCUUGAAAUCAUGGUUUUGUCUUCUACUAUGAAGUAGGAUUUCAACUCUUGAUGACCCUACAUCCAAAGCCAGAUCCUACAAUGAUCUUGCUUUUAAUAAUGGAGCAUGGCAAUUAGGUUAUUUUGGGAUUUUUUAUUGCAAAAAUUGUAAAAUCAGGAUCAAGAAGUUCAAUCUUUAUAAUUAUAAGCACUAGUAUGAUUGCAGUUGGGUUAUUAUGGUAAAUUUUUAUCGCAAAAUUAUAAAAUCAGGAUAAAGAAUUUCAGUCGUUUUAACUGUAAACAUUAGUACAAUUGACGAUAAGCUAAAAUAAACACCAGACCAGUACAUUAUUCCCCAGAUAAGGAAAAAUACUAUUCUUAUUCACAGAUUCUAUCUGUUUGAAACAAAUGUAAACGUCACAUAAGUUCUAGGAUAGAAAAUUCUUUUAGAAUGAUUUUAGAGGCCUAUGAUUUAAUUGUUCAUUCAUGACAGUUGAGGUCGACUUUCUGAUAUUUUACACCAACAUUCUAUAUUUUAUAAUAAGCUAUAAAAGAGUGUUGUAAAAUUAUAAUUUUGUGCGUAUUAUUAUUUUUUGUAACAUAAUCUUUUUUUAUUUAGUAUUAUAUUUUUAUAGGUAUAUUUUCCUUAAUUAUUCAAGUUAGAAUUAUCUUAUUAAUCUUAAUUAUGAUUAUUUGAUUUUUUUUCUUUUUAUUUCGGCUUUGAUUUAGUGUUCUUGAAUAUUUUACUAUGAAAAUUAAUUGAUACUUAUUUUUUCCCCAAUUUUAUAGUUGCAAGGUUUUCAUAUUAAAACAAAAAGUUAUGAUGUUAAAAAAAGAAUGUGAAUGAUGGUAAGUUUAUUUUAUCAAAAUUUUAAUUUUUUUAUAGACCUCUUUGAAUGAUUUGAUUUGAUCUAUUUAUAUAUUUUUUGAUUUUUUGAUUUAUUAUUAAUAUUUGGCACUUAUGUUUUCUAUCUCGAUAAAUUUCAUUAAUUUAAUUUCCCAAUAAAAAGGAUUAAAGUCUACUUUUCUUCAAUCAUUUAUUUGAUUAUUAAAUAUUUAUUAUAAUAUGAAGGGAAGAAAACUAAAAAUAUUCUUCAUUAUUUUUAUUAUACAUUAUAUUUUUUUUUUUUCUUUUUAUGUAAUUCAGCCAAAAAUUUAACCAUUUGAUAUAUUUGAAUUUACAUAGUUUCAACUUAAAUUUAUACAUAUAUAACAAACUUACAUUUACAGUCCUAUAAAAUCUUUGUUCUUUUUUUCUCAAACAUAUAUAAUACAUUUUGAUUCAGGCAUAUACUUCAUUGAUAAAUUUAUUUUUUGCCAAAAAUAUAUUUACAAUGUCCUAAAUAUUUAAAUUUUGAGUUUUAAUAGCAUUAAAUUUCUUUAUUGAUAUCAUUUAUGACUAAAAUAUGCAUAUUCAAAAUAAUAAAAAGGUAAAUAAUUAUUAAAAGGAAUCAUGCAUUUCCUUUAAUUGAUUAAAAAAGUAGGUGAAAUCACAUUAAAAUCUUAAAUUAAGGCAUACUUAAUCACACUUAUGGAAAAAUGUUUAAUUUGAUUUUUCUCAUUUAACUUUUUAAUUACAGGUAGUAUCCAUAUGAUAAUGAGUUACUCUUAAAUAUCAUUUGGAUAUAUGCAUGUGUAAAUUUUAUUAAGUGUUUAAUUAAGUAUUAAACAAUAUUAUUCAUUGAAUGUUUGAAUAUUUUACAAAAUAUUAUUCUCUUAGAUAUCAUUUGAAUAUAUGCAUAUGUUAUUUUUAUAUCUUUGUUAAAAAUAAUAUUUUUAUGCAUAAUUAUGUAUAUAUAAAAAUAACCCGUGCAUAGCACAGGCUACAAAUUAGUAAUAUUUAAAAUUUAAAAUUUUUUAUUAUGAUAUUUGAAUUAUAAAUUUAUUAAUUAAUGUAAUACUUAUUCCUAAUAUGAUUAAUUUUAAAUAAUGAUAUGUGAUUAUAAAUAACCCUUCAUGUGACAUAUUAAUUAAUAAAUUGAUAGUUCAGGUAUUAAAUUAGAUAUUUUUAAAAUUCAAAUACUAUAUUAAAUAUUUUACUAUAGUUUAAGGAUCAUUCAUAAUAUUAUCACAAUCUAAUAUAUAUACCAACUUAAUUAUUAUUUUAUUGAGUUAAGACUAGAUGCUUAAAAGAUUUAUUCAAAUUUGAACUCGAUUCCACUUUUUUUUCCAAUAGGAUGUCAUAGUUUGAGAAUAGAAAAAUGGAUUGCAAAUGUUAGGAUUCAAAUUUUAAACCUACAAACUAAUUGAACUAAGUUACAGAUUCAACUCAAUCCAACUUCAUUUAUCAAGAAAAUUCAUCGAUUUGAAAAAUCAACAAUUUGAACUUGACCAAACUCUAUUUGUACAAUAACAACAAUAAAUUAAGUCUUAUAUCCUAUAAUUCUAUGGUUGAUUGUAUGAAAGAAAAAAAAAAUGAAUCAUGUUAGGUUGUAGUUUUAAAUUUUCUUGCAACACUUUUAUCUAUAUAAAAAAUAUAUAUAUAUAUAUAUAUUUUCAUCUACUUUCUUAACCUUCAUAUCAUUUCUUAUUACUUCAACGUUUUUUGUGAUUUACCUCUAAAAGUUUUGGUUUUUCUCAAAUUCAAAAACUCAUUUCUCCUACUACUGCAUAAAUAAGUCUAUAUUUUAUCUAUCCAAGCCAUUUCAAAUGGCUCUUUCUCUCUCUUUUUUUUUUUUUUUUCCUUCAAUUCAAACUACCUUUAAUUUAUUUUGAAUUUCUUAUAAAAACUUUCUAAACAUUAUGAAAAUUAUAAAUCAAUUUUUAAAAAAUUUUAGUGAAAAAAUUUUGAUUAAAAUAUAAAAAAGUCUCUUAACUAUUUCACUUUUCUUAAAAAAAGCCAAUAUAUUUUUAUUAUACCAAAAUAAGCCUUUAUUUUUUUUUAUUUGUAUCCAAAUAAACCUUUAUUUCAAAUAACAAAUUUAUUUAUCUUAAGGAUUUAUUUAGGUACAAAUUAAAAAUUAGAGACUUAUUUGAAUAUAAAUAAAAGGUUAAAUACUUAUUUAAGUAAAAAUUAAAGUCUAAGGAUUAAUUUGAAUUUAACAAAAUUAUAAGGAUUUAUCUAAAUAAAAUGAUAAAAUUUUAAAAAACUUUAUUAUUUUAACCAAAAUUUUCUAAAAACAUGUCAAAAUAAUGCCCCACGCACCCCCACUUGCGCAAUAGAAAAAAAAUUAUCAAAUAAACUUUCUUAAUUUUUAGUUUAGUCCUUAAAACUUUAAAUCUUUAGCCAAACAUUAAAAAAAUUCAAAUGAUAUAUGCAUGGAAAAUGUAUGAGACAUAUUCUAACCAUAUAAAUUUCAUACAUGAAAUUUGAAACAUGUGAGAAAAAUAUAUAGUCAAAGUUUUGAUUUUUCUAGUUUGAUUAUGAUUUUUCUCUUAAAUCAUAAGUGCUUUUAGUACCAAAUUUUUAUAAAAAAUUCAAAUCAUCUUAGGGCACAUAUUUAUGUAAAAAUUUUAGUCUAAAGCAUUUGUUUAAAAUUUUAUUAUUAAAAAUUAUUCUAAGUUUUUAAAAAUAUUCUAGUAUACCAAACAACUAUAGAAGCAAAUCUAAAAGUGAAAACAAGCAUAACAAUGUUUUGAUUCCACUAUUGGAACUUAUUGAAAAAUAUAUGUAAGAAUAUUUGUAAAUUUAAGAUUAUUUACUCCAAUGCUAAUAUGAAUUCCCAAUAUCAAUUUACUUACAUUUGCUUCAUGAAUCUUUAAAGAUUUAUUUUUUAAAUUACUUUUUAAACAACUUCUUGGAUCUUGUUAGUCAAUGAAACAAUUUUUAGAGCUUAUCACAAAUUUUAUACUAAGUUUUAGGGUCUGAGGUAGAUAACCAAAAAUUUAGUAAGAGAGAGUUGAGGAGCAAGAUCUUUAUACUAAACUAAUUAAAAUUAUUAUUCCUUCCAUUUCAAAUUGUUUGGAUUGUAUUGAUUUUCAUGGAGUUUAAAAAAAAAUUUUUAAUUUUAAUAUAUUUAAUAUUAAAAUUAAAUUGUUUUAUAAAAUUAAAGUUUCAUGAUUUUUAAUUUCAAAAAGUAAAAAAAUUAUAAAAUAUAAUUUUAAAUAUAAAAAAGAAUUUUAGAUGUUAAAAAAAAUAAAAUUUUGGCAUAUCGAAAUUUUUUUAAAAAAAAAAUAAGACAAAAGGAGCUCUUCUUUUUGUUAAUUUCUGUAAAUACGUGUGUCCAUUAAUAUAGCACAUAUUCCAAUUAUUGGCAAUAGAUUUUUAAUAACAUUUAUGCAAAAUUAUAUUAAGAAAAAAAAUCUAAACUAACCCAUAUUAUAAAUUAGAUAAUGUCUACUAACAAAUUUGAAUCCAUUUGGUCCACCUAUAUUUGGAAUCAUCAUCGAACCUUGGACUCUUCCAAUUUCCAACUUUAGUCAAAUAAAAAAAAUAAAAAAGUCCACUUUCCAAUGUUUGAUAUAAAGGCGUGGAAAGAUGGACCUAAAACGACCAACACAAUCAAUUCUAUGAUAUUAGUGAGCAGUUUCAUGGUAGGGAAUUCUUUUUCAACUUCUAUACCAUAUCAAUUAAAUCAAAUCAACCAAAACAAAUUUGAGUAAAAUUUAGAGCCUAGGUAAAAAAAUAGUCUUCUAGUUAAAAUUCAAUUAAUCUAGAUAAUAAAUGAUUUUGGAUCCGUGGUUCUUCAUUGAUGUUAUUUUCGAUUGCAUGAUUUUAUAGGACAAGACACAUUUUGUUCUAAUUAAAUCAUGAUUUUAGUGAAUCUCUUUAUAUUAAAUUACAUAUAAAUUAAAAUUUAAUUUAUUUAUUUAUAAUUUAAUAAAUUUAGAAUUCCAAUUUUAAUAUGUGAAAUCUCUAAUUAUUAUUUUUUUAUAUUACAAUCUUCUCUCAACAAAAAGAAAAUUUUAUAUUACAAAAAAAUAACAAAUUAAACGUUAACAAAUGAUUAGCUCAAUGGUAAAAGUUUGUGUCCAAUAAUAAUAGUUUUAAGCUCUAUUUAAAUGGAUAAUAAAAUUAGUUACAAUGAGAUUAAAAAUAAUAAUAAAAUUUAUUAUAAUUUCGAUUAAAAAAAAUUAUUGUAAUUAUGAUUAAAAAAUUAAUAAAAAAUUUAUACUGACUUAAUUUUAUUAAAAUUGAUAUUUAAAUUUAAUUAAAAAUGUAAUAAAUUUAAUUGUACCACGUUGAAAGUACUAUAGGAUCUAAACGACUACUUAGCUAAUUCUCUUGAUAUAAAGGGUUGAAAAAAAUGCAACUACUAGGAUUACAAUUCAAAUUUUAAAUUAAUUUCUUUAAAGAAAUGUGUAAACAUUCGAAUUAAUCUUCAAAAUUAUCUUUUAUUAGUUUAAUCUCAAAAUGUUCGCCGUCUAAUGCCUCAUGAUACAUCAUAUUAUGAAUUAAGAAUCAAACAAUUUAUUUUUUUAAAAAAAUCGAAUAUCUUAUUAAGAAUUUUUUCUUUAAAAAAACCUAAAAAGGAAAAGUGAUAGGCGCGUGGGACAGUGAGGUCGACCCACAUCCGAUGCAUCUAGUGGCUUGGUACCAAUUGCAAAAUAAAAAUCAACAAAAACAAAGUCAUCGCAAUCAAAAUAAAUCUCACCCAUUAUUAUGUGUGUGUAUGUGCCGGCGUUGAAAGUCUUCAAUUCUUCACACUCCUUCAUCCAUUGAACUAAGACGCUUGUAUGAACGACUUUGCUGUCGCUCCAAGAGAAACCUGUGUCCCCUUCCCACCAGCAUCCUGGAUUUUGGCAGCAUCUUUGAAUCUCUUUCAUUACUAUUUAUUUUAAUUUUUUUCUCACAUCUUAUCAUAUCUUCUUCAUUUAUUUUGUGGGUGACAAUAAGACGUAUGUCUUUUUUUUUUUUUUCAACAUCAAAAGUUUAAUGGAUUUGGUUUUGUUUGUUUGCACAAAUAAAAGAGGGGUUUUGUUUUGGCAAUUAAAAUAUUGCUACUUGUAGUUUUCGGGAUUAAGUUAAAUGUUCUAAACUCAAUGUCAUAGUGUCUUAUAUGUAUUAGAUAUGUAGUAGUAGUUAUAUACCAACGUAGUUGUUAUUUUACUGAGUUAGAGUAAAGCUAGUACUAUGACUUACAUGAAUCCAAAUAAUUUAUUCGAAUUUAAUUCAAUAUAAUUGUAUUUUAUCAAGAAAUUUUAAUUUAAAUAUAAAUAAUGAUAAGUGAUAGAUAAAUAACCUUUUAAAUAUCACAGUAAUUAACAUAUUUAUAAUUUCAGUAUUACAUUAAGAAUUUUUAAAAUUUAAAUAUCACAUUAAAUUUUUUAUUAUAAUUUAAGGAUCAUUCAAGAUAUCAACUCAAUUCUUAAUCAAUUGAAUUUUUGUAUUUCUCUAGAAGAAGAAUGCAUGGCUCUUAUUUGGCAAAUGAGUUUAAAAUUACAUUUAAUAAAGUUAGGAAAAAAGAAAGACUAAAGUAUAAAGUUAGGGUAAAUAGCAUCUGUAAUAUUUAAAUAUUGAGUUAAAUUUUAUUUUGAUUCUUAUUUUUUAAAAAAAUUUAAUUAGAUCUCAAUUGCAUAGAAGUAUCAUAUUUUGGCCCUUCCACCUAUGAAACCAUCUAAAAUAAUAAUAAAUGUCAGCUAACAUCAUGUGGAUGAUACCAUUGACAUUUCAUGUGGUAGAUGGAUUGAUAGAGAGGUCAAAAUAGAAUUUCGUUUAAAGUUUAAGAACAAAAAAUGUGACUAUCCCAAAUUUUUUAUAUUUCAAAUAUAUUUUAUAAAAUAUUAAAUUUAAAAUAAUAUUUUUAUGUAUUUUUAAUUAUAAUAUUUUUUAUUCAUUAAAUAUAUUUUUUUGUAAUAAAUUUUCAAAAUUCUUUUGAAAAAAUUACAUAGCAUUUUAAAAAAUUAAGUAAAAAAUUAUAUUUGUUUAAAAAAUUAAAUAAAUAACUUCGUAUCUUUAAAAUAUUAAGUAAAAAAUUUCAAAUCAUUUAAUAUUAUUUAUUUAAAUUUUAUUUUGUAGAAAAUUAAAAAAAAUCAAAAUGGUCCUUAAUGCCUCUAGUCUGGUAUGGAGAAGAAAUCAAAGUAUCGAAAAUAUUUUUUAAUUUUUUAUAGUAUAAAAUUUAUAAUAAAAUAUUUCAAAAUAGGUUUUUUUGGAUAGAAAAUAAAUUUUUGAAUAGAUUAAAAAAUCUUUUUUUAAAUGAUAUGAAAAUUUUUACUUAAUAUUUUAAAAUGAUAUGAAGUUUUUUAUUUGAUUUUUUAAACCAAUAUGAAAUUUUUAUUUAAUUUUUAAAAUGAUAUAGAAUUUUUUUAAAGGGGUUUUCAAAUUUUUAACUAAAUUUUAAUUUUUAAAAUAUUUUUAUUAAAAACAGUAUUUCACUAAUAAUUAAUAUCAUAAUAAAAAAUUAUUUUAAAUUAUAAUAUUUUAUAAAAUAUAUAUGAAAUGUAAAAAAUUCAAUUUAUUUAUUUAUUUUUCUUUAUUUUUCCUUUUUUUCUUCUUUAUAAAAUAUAUUUUGUAAAAUAUAUUAGAAAAAGGAAAAGAAAAUUAUAUCUAAUAUUUUUAAUAGAAAAUAAAUUUUUUGGAUAAAAAUAAUAUUUUUAUUAUGAUUUAUUAGUAAAAUAAUAUUUUUAAUAUAAAAUAGUCUUUUAUUUUCAAAUUGUUAUGGAAUUUUUUCAAAAAGAUUUUAAAAAUUUUAACUUAAUUUUAAUUUUUGAAUAUCUAUUUUUAUCAAAAACAAAAACUAUUUAACUAAUAAAUUACAUUGCAAUAAAAAUAUAAAAUUAUUAUUUUAUAUUUUAUAAAAAUAUAUUUUAAAUAAAAAAAAAUUUGAGCUCUAAACUUUGAGUAAAUUUCUAUUUUGAUCCUUUCAUCUCCUGGCAAGAUGCCAACAAACAGCAUCCACAUGGCGUUAACCGGUAUUUAACGUCAAUUUAAACGAUUUUAUAAAUAAAUAAAAAAAGCAUAUUAGGAUAACUUUAAAUAUUGAUUUCUACCUAGUUAAAGCGAAUGAAAGUUUGUCCAAUUCAAAUUGUCAAUAUCUUUAAGAGAAAUUAUUUUAUAUUAUUCAAAAAAUUUUUAGAUUUUACAAACGACAUUAACAGAUUAACACAUACUUUUGAAUCUGUCAAUAUCUUUAAUAAAUGAUUUUUGAUCCGUAGUUCUUCAUUGAUAUUUUUUAUAAAAACACAUCUUAUCUUAGUUUAAUAAUAAUUUUAGCAAAUCUUUUUAUUUUAAAUUAAAACUUAAUUUAAUUUAUUCAUGUUUUAAUAAAUUUAAAUUUUAACAUUUAUAAUUUUUAAUUUUCAAAUUGCAAUUUCCUCUCAACUAAAAGUUAUAUUAUAAAGAAAUAAAAAAUUAAACAUUAACAAAUGAUUGGUUCAACAACUAAAGUUUGUGUCAAACAAUCGUAAGGGGGACAAAGCUUACAUAUUGAUAGAGAAAACAUGCAAGUAUUAAGAUUACACUCGAAUCUUAUAAAAAUUUAUUUUUUAUAAGAGAUAUGUAAAUGUUUAGAUUAAUUUUUAAAUUUAUUUUUUUUACUAGUUUUAUCUCAAAAUGUUUGCCAUCUAAUGCAUCAUGAUAAAUCUUAUUAUGAAUCAAGAAUCAAAUAAUUUAUCUAUCUCAAAUUUUUAUUAUUAAGUUUUAUUUUUAAAAAAUCGAAUAUCUUAUUAUUAAUUUUUUUCUUUCUAAGAAAGUGAUAGGCGCGUGGGAUAGUGAGGCCUGCUCACAUUCGAUGCAUCUACUGGGAUGAUACCAACUUGAAAAUAUAAAUCAACUCAACAAAAGCAAAGGCAUUACAAUCAAAAUGAAUCUCACCCAUAAUUAUGUGUGAGAAAGACGCGCCGGCGUUGAAAGUCUUCAAUUCUUCGCACUCCUCCAUCCAUUGAACUAAGACACUUUUAUGACUUUGCUGUCGUCUCAAAGAGAAGCCUUUGCCCCCUUCCCCGUCAGCAUCCUUGGAGCAUUUUUGAAUCUCUUUCAUUACUAUAUAUUCUAUUUUUUUCUCACAUCUUAUCAUAUCUUUUAUUAUCAUAUCUUAAGUCAGGUAGAGACUUAAGCCUAACAUCCGUGUAAUUUUAGGUUAAAAAUUAUCGUCCAUGUAUCUAAAUCAAUCUCUUUUUCCACUUUGUAUCGAACGUUUAUGUCGUGCAUUUUAUUAGCUCUUCAAAAACUUGGGAGAAAGUUAAUAAGUAGACAUGUGCAUGUGGAUGAGAAUUAGAUGUAUGUUUUUUUCUUUAAACAUAAAAAUAUUAAUGGAUUUGGCUUUAUUGUUUGCAUAAAUAAAAUGGAGGUUUUGUUUGGGCAAUUAAAAUAUUGCUACUUGUAGGAUCAAAAACAUAUAUUGCUACUUGUAGUUUUUGGGAUUAAGUUAAAUAUUCUAAACUUAAUGUAAUUGUGUUAUAUAUAUAUAUUAGAUAUGUAGUUGUAGUUAUAUACCAAAUUAAUUGUUGUUUUAUUGAGUUAGGAGUAAAGUUAGUAUAACUUACAUGGAUCCGAGCAAUUUCUUCUAAUUCAAACUCAAUCCAACUUUACUUCACAAGAAAAAUUAGUUUUAAUUUAAAUUAAUUUAAAAAAUUAAGUCAUAAUUCAAACUUAAAUUGAUUUAUUUUAAAAUUUAAUAAUUUAAACUCAAAAUAAUCCGAAUUUGAUAAUCCAGACUUGAAUAUUUUAACGUUAAAUUCAAAUAAUCUAACUCAAAAUGAUUUGAAAUUGAAAUAAUUUAAAUCCAAAUCGAUAUAAUUUUUUUUUCUCUAAAAUGAUUUGAUCCAAAAUAAUUAGACUUUUGCUACCCUCUUAAGGACUUGGGAUUAGUUAUUGAGUAUCAAAUAAAAUAAUGUAAUUGAUCUAACGUAAAACAUGACAUUGCAAGAAAACACUCUUAACAAUUAAAAUUUGAGAGGUUUCGUAUUCGGAUUUAUAUGAUGAAUAUUAGGAUUUAUCAAAUGAGGGAGAUCCAAAAUCUUUAUAUAUACACUGUACCAAAAAAGUCAUUAUGUAUAAAAAAAUUUAUAUGCUUAAUUUAUAGUAUUAAUUAUGGUCUUAAAACAUACUUAAUUGAUUGAUUUCAUCCAUAGAAAAAUUCAUAUUAAGAAUUUAGACUAAAAAAGGACUAAAUAAGGAAUGUGACAAUUCUUUAAUUUAAAAAAAAAUGGAGUGAUUACUUAUUUUAACUAGUUUUGGGACUUUUAGGUGAUAUAGUGAGAUGAAUUUUUAUUACAAUGUAAUUACAUUUUAUAAUUGAACUUUUAAAGAUUCAAUGAAUAAAACGAUAUACAUGGCACGAUGAGAGUUCUCUCAUUUCAUUGGAUGAAUUUUUAAGGGUUAAUGUUAUAAAUAACCUUUAAAAUAUAGUUAGUUAUUCAAUGUGAUACUUGAAUUUUAAAAAUGUUUAAUAUGUUACUUAAAUUAUAAAUCUAUUAACAAAUGUGAUAUUCACUUUUAAUGUGACUAAAUUCAAAUAAUAAUAUGUGGUGGACUAAUAAUUUUUUAAUUGCCAUAUUAAUUGACAUAUUCAUAAAUCAAAUACUAUAUUAAAAAUUUUUAAAACUUAAGUAUCAUAUUGACUAUUUUGUUAUAAUUUAAGGACAUGACAUUAACCAAAUUUUUAAUCAAUUGAAUUUUUGUAUUUCUCUAGAAGAAGAAUGCGUAGCUUCGAUGUAGCAAAUGAAUUUACAAAUUACAUUUACUAAAGUUAGGAAAAAUAAAAAGACUAAAGUAUAGAAUUAGGGCAAAUAAUACUUGUAGUCUGUAAACUUUAAGUCAAAUUUUACUUUUGUCUUUAAUUUUUAAAAAAGAUCUAAUUGGAAACUCAAUUGCCUAAAAUUAACAUAUUUUAGUUUUUUUACCUGUAAAACUGUUUAAAUUAACAGUAAAUGUUAGCUGAUACCACGGUAUGGCACAAUUGACAUCUCACAUGACAAAUGAAUUGAUAAAAUGAUCAAAAUAGAAUUUCUCAGAAAGAUUAGAGACCAAAGAUGCUACUAUCUCAAAAUUUUUUUAUAUUUUAGACAUAUUUUAUAAAAUAUUAAUUUAAAAUAGUAUUUUUAAAUUUUUUAAUAUUUUAUUCAUUAAAUGGAUUUUGUUUUUAAUAGAUUUUCAAAAAUUAAAAUCAAGUUAAAAUUUUCAAAUUCUUUUGAAAAAAAUUACAUAUCAUUUUAAAAAAUUAAGUAAAAAAAUUUUAUUUUCAUAUCUUUUUAAAAUAUUAAGUAAAACUUUUUAAAAUUAUUUUAUUUUCAUUGUUAAAAUUUUAUAUUUAUAGAAAAUUAAAAAAAAAAAGGCAAUCAAAACAGUCCUUAUUGCCUCGAUCUGGUAAGGAAAAGAAAUCAAAGUAUUGAAAAUAAUAUAUAUAUUAUAAAUAUAACUAAACUUUAAUUUUUAAAAUAUUUUUCUAUUAAAAAUAAUAUUUUACUAAUAAUUAUUAUCAUAAUAAUAAUAAAAUUUAUUUUAAAUGAUAACAUUACAUAAAAAGUCAAUUUUUUCUUUAAUUUUUUCUUUUUUCUUCUUUAUAAAUUAUAUUUUAUAAAAAAUAUUAGAAAAAGGAAAAGAAAAAUAUAGUUAAUAUUUUUAAUAGAAAUUAAAUUUUUUGGGUGGAAAAUAAUUUUUUAUUAUGAUUUAUUAGUAAAAUAAAAUUUUAAAUAUAAAAUAGUCUUCUAUUUUUAAAUUGAUAUAGAAUUUUUUUUCACUCAGAUUUUAAAAUUUUUAACUUAAUUUUAAUUUUUGAAUAUCUAUUUUUUUGUCAAAAACAGAAAAUUUUAAUUAAUAAAUUAUGUUACAAGAAAAAAUAAAAAAUAAAAAAUAAAUAUUUUAAAUUUAAUAUUUUAGAAAAUUAUAUUUGAAAUAAAAAAAUUGAGAUAGCAACUUCCUUAUUCUCUAAAUUUUAUGCAAAAUUCUAUUUUGAUCCCUCCAUCUACUACAUAAAAUGCUAAUCCACACUAUCCACAUGGUAUGUGUUAAUAUUUAAUGUCAAUUUAGGCGAGCUCAUGAAUGGAAGAAUCAAAUUAGAAUAAUUUUGAGUAAUUAAAGAUUUAGUUAAUUUUUUUUAAUUUAGGAUCAAAAUAUAAUUUAACUCAUAAUUUAAGAACCAUGGGAGUUAUUAAUUCUAUAGAAUUAAUCAAAUAGUUGAAAAUUUUUUACAUGGUGGCUAGGUUUAAAUGUUCAAAGUCCCCAUAAAAAAACAAAAAGUCGUGUUGUAAUGUUUAAUUGACUAGGGAAAUGCAUGGCAGCUAUUAUUUCCAAACAACUCAACAAUACCAAAUUGUUGGUUUAAAUACUUUGAACAUGGAUUUCCACCUAGUUAAAGUGAACGAACCAAGUUUGUCAAAUUCAAUUUGUCAAUAUCUUAAUUUCAUAUUGACAGUGAAAUUUUUAAAUUUUAUAAAUUAGAUUAAUAAAUUGACACGUAUUUUUUUGGAGUAUUGAAAACAUAAAGAAUGAAUUAAAAAAUAAAAUAUGUAUCGAUUGUUUAAUUUUGUUUGUUAAGUUAAAAAAUUUUAUUAAAAAUGUAUGGAAAAAGAACUUUUAUCUUUAAUGUGUAAGAAAAAUAAAAUUGGGCAAAAAAUAUUGGGAAUUUCCACAACUUCAUUGUGUUAUUGCCUUCUUGGCAAUUGUCAUGAAGUUUCGUCCUUGGCUUUGCAAAGUAAAUAAUGGACGGAAAUCAGUUGUCAUUUUUUUUUUCUUGUCAUAAACGUGAGAAAAAAAAAUUGUUUAUAUUUGUGCUAUUACUUUUGCUUUAUAGGCCCAUCACUUUUCCUUUUUCAACUAAAUUUUAGUCCAAUCUUUCUAUUUAGUGUCAUUAACAAAAUAAAGCUUACGUCCAAAUACACUUAACAAACUUGUAUUUCAAUUUUUAAUUUCAACGAAACCCAGUAAAAAUGUUGACAAUAGUUAAUUAAUAAUUAUUUAAUAAUUAAAAAAUAUUAUGUCUUGAAUUAAUUUAUAUAAUAUUUAAAAAUGUACCCAAAAAGAUUCAGCUAAAUAUGUUGAGAUCUGUCGCCUUGAUUCUGUCUGAUACGAAACAAGACUCAAUACAGAUUUCUUGAUUAGAAAAAAAAAAAAAAAAAAACCAAACGACUCCUUCACAUCAAACCCCUAAAUCAACGGCUGAGAUUAUCCGCAGCCAUCAUUUAACUAUAUAUAUAUAUAUAUAUAUGAACUAAUACGUCCACCACUUCUACCUAAAAAUUUCUCCGACUCUCUAACCGUUUUCAUUCUUUCAUUAUUCUCUCAAAACCUCAAAUCCCAAGUCCUUUCAUCUUCUUUCAAGAAAAUGUGAUUACUAUUGUUUUGUUAUUUGAACAGCUAAUCUGAAUAAUUGGUUCAGUUUGUAGAAGAGCUUCGAUACUCAAUUUUUAUUAAAAGAAUAUUUGAUUUAUCGCCUUUUGGCGAGAAAUGACAGAGUUUUGACGAUUACAAGAUUGGAGGAGAGCAACUGGACGAUGGCAAAGUCUUUUGGGUCAUUUGGACUAGGGGGAUUACUACUGCUGGCGGCGUUGGCUGCGUCUAUGAUGGUUCUUCCGCUGAUGUUGCCGCCGCUACCGCCUCCGCCAUUGAUGCUUCUGUUGCUUCCAGUUGGGAUCAUGGCUGCUCUCAUGUUCUUGGCGUUUUCCCCCACGGAGGCUGCUGGAAAUGUCGUCGUUCUUGUUCAUACAGUAUAAGAACACAUGUUAAACGUGUCUUCCAUAGGAAGAUGGUCGGCCAUUGAUGGGCGGCUCUGCUGAGGUCGUAGACGUACGUUGUUGAUUUUAUUUGAAGAGUACACCGUCCUUUCCAUGUUUGAUAACAUGGGUGCACCUCCAGAAUUCCUUCAAUCUGUAAUAUCUUAUCUUUUGCGUGGGAAGUUGAUAGAGAUCCUAUUAAUCUUGGACGUAAAAUAAAGAAGUUGGUCGUGGAACUAGUAAUAGUUCAAGCAGCUGAUGAUGAGAUUGAUGACGUGAUUGAUGAGUCAUCAACUACGUUGAAUUUCAAGCCUGCUAGUAAAUCUUCUAUUCAAGCUUUGAAAAGGGUGAAAUUUGGCAACGAUGAAGAUAGUCUUUUAUCCUUGAAGAAGAGGAGAAGACGUGAGGAUAUGAAUUCCAAGAAACAAUGUACUAUUUGUUUGGAUGAUUUCAUCGACGGUGAGGAGAUUGCUUCGAUGCCUUGUGGACAUGUUUACCAUGAUGGUUUCACUUUUAGAUGGUUUGAAACGAAUCACUUGUGCCCAUUAUACCGAUAUGAGAUGCCAAGUUGAUCUAAUUUAUAUCUUUUCCAAGUGGUGAAAAUAACUUAUUUUAUUUUGUUAUUGAAUGUGCGUUUGAGAAAAGGAAAUUGUUUUGGUGCUUUUGGGAAAAAGGUUGAGAUUGAACUCGUAUAAUUUGCUAACAUAGUGGAUAUUAUUCGAAUUUGUCCUAUGAUUUUUUCCUCAACGUGGGAGGAUUUUUCAUGUAAAUAUUUUUGUUUUUAUACUAAUGCUUGCAAUUUCUGUUUAAUUGAUUGAUUUGAAUAAAUUUUAUUAUGAAUUAUUAUUGGUUUGUGUUGUAGUGUCUAUAAUUCGUUUAUGAAAGUUUAAUACCUGAGGUUUAAUAAUUUUUGCUCAUUGGAAGAUACUAUUAAAUCUUAAUUUCUUUUCAUGAUCACAUUAAAGAGGAUCAAAAAACUUUAUUUGCUCCUUAAAGGGUUUGUUCAUAUACAUUGAUCCCUCAUAUCAUUUUUUUUUUCUUUGGUUCCUUCAGAAAGUUUUGUUUCCAAUUAACUAAAAAGCACAUCACCAAAACCAAAAAGAAACAAUUCAACCAAUGCAAAUUUUAUAUCUAGAAAAGGGCCAAACAGUGCUCAUUAAUGUGCUCUUAAAUUUUGGAAAUUACUGUUAGAAGCACUCUUUUUCCAAUUUUGAUUUUGUUUGCCAUAUUUUUAUGAAGCAAAAGGUUAAAAUAAAGAUGGGUCCUGUAUUAGUUAUUAUGGAAAUAUCUGUGGGCUGGACUAUAAUUUUGAGUCAUUACUGGCAUAAUUCAUUAUUCUAUUUUAUUGAACUAAAAUAAAAUAAACUUUUUAUAUAUAAUUUUUUUCCCAAUUUGUCUUUCCUUUGUCAUUCUUUUUUCAAGACAAAGGUUAAGAAUUUGAUAUUUCAACUUUUUUAAUGUUAUUUUAAAGAUUAUUGUCAAAGUGAUCCUAUGUUAAAAAUCAAAAUUGAGGCAAAUAGAUUAUCAAGUUAUUUUUGUAUGUCAUGAUGUGCAAUACAAAAUCUAAAACAGCUCAAACCUAUCUUUUAUAUAAGAAUUUAUUUUACAUAUAAUCUCAAUAAAAUCACCCUUGAUUUUGUUGAGUGAGGCAUUAAUUUUAACACAUUGCUUGUAUGAUUUCUCAAUUUUAUUUCCCUAUUUUAUUAUUUUUCACAAUUAAUUAUUUUCUUAAUUAUAUAAUUUAAUUAUAUCUUUAUUAAUGCCUAUAAAUACAUUACAUUAUGCUUAUAAACUCAUUUAAAAAUAAUAUAUAUAAGAUUUUAUGUAUUUUACCAAUGAAUCACAAUUUAUCAUUGUAUUAAUCACAACGGCAAAAAAAAAUUUAUACGAUGACAAGUUAUGAUUAUUGUUUAUAUUAUUGAUUAUAUAUUAACAGUGUAUUAAAUAUAAAUUUUAAAAUUAAAAUUAAUAAAUAUAAAUUACUUCAAAUUUUAUGAAUUAAAGAUAAUUUAUUUUUUAUAAAAAAAAUCAUAAUUUGAAAGUAAAAUCAAGAAUUGCAAAUACUAAUAUUAAAAUUCAAACCUUUUGAAUGUUAAUUUUUUAAGAUUUAAUUUCAACUUUCACAAGAAACAUGUAAUACACUUGAAACAUGGAUACAUGUGAAUCUUGCACAAACCAAUUAAAGGCUAGACAGGCACAUGUCACCAAUGUCUUGGUCUCUCCCAACUUUAGUCAAAUAAAAUGUCCAUGUUCCAAUGUUUAAUUAAAACACAUGGGAAGUUUAACCUAAAAUGUCAAACGCAAUCAACUCUUUUGUUGUGGAAGGGAUCCUCUUUGAACUUCUAAACCAAAUCAAAAUAAAUUAAAUCGACCAUAAUAAUUUGUUGGCAUUAGAGAUUAGACAUCAAUAUGGGUAAGCCCCAAGUUAAAAUUCAUUUAAUCUAUAAAAUAAAUGAUUUUGGAUGCAGAUUAUUAUUUUUUAUUUGAAAUUGUCAACAUUUUAAUCUUAAUAAUUAAAAUUAAAAACCCAACAUCCUAUAAUAAAAUACAUAAUUAUUUGUUAUAAUAAUACAUUAAUUAUAAAUUUUUUUCUUAAAUAUCACAUUAAUAAGUGUUAAAAAAAAUUAAAUAACAUAUUUAUGUUGAAUUUUAUAUAAAAAAUUACAGACACUAACAAAUGGGUGGCUUGAUAUUUAAAGUUAGCCUAGUUUCAAAACCAACUAAUGUUAAAUUUUUUAAUUUAAUCUCAAAUUAUUUUUUUGGUAUGAGACUUUUUGGUAUUUAGUAGUUAUUUUAAAUCUCAAUUAAUUCAGAAUUAAAUUGAAUCAAAUCCCAUAAAGGGAUAAACUCUCUCAAACUUUUUUUUUAUUUAUAAAAUUCAAAAUUAAAAUUUUAUUUAAAAAAAUUAAGUUAUGUACCACUUGGAUUAACAAGCGCGGUUAUUUAAUCUCAAAUUAAUGAUUUCUUAUGAAGAAUAUAAUAAAACAUUUAAUCUUAAUUGAAAACCGACCCAUUUAUUGAUCUUGAAUUUUUGUAUUAUAAGUUUUUUAAAAUUAUGUAAAUUUUUAUUAUAAAAUUAAAAAAAAAAAAAGAAGUGAAAGGCGCGUUACUAUUGAGGUCGGUUCACAUUCGACCCAUCAUUAUCUCUGUGUGUGUCAGACGCGCCUCGGUUGAAAGUCUUCACACUCCAUCCAUUGAACUAAGACAGUUCUACGACGUUGCUGUCGUCUUCCUCAGCGUUCUUCGAUUUUGGGAACGUCGUCUUCCAAUCUCUUUUUAUUUUAAAAUUUUCACACCUCAUCGUAUCUUCUUCUUGUUUUUGUAAGCAGGUGGGUUGAAAAUGGGAUAUAUGUUUUUUUUUUUUUUUAAAUUAAUGAUUUGGUUUUAUUUGUUUGGCUAGAUAUGAUGGGAUUUUGUUUGGGUAAUUACAAUAUUGCCACUUGUGGUUUUUGUAUUAAGUUAAAUAUUUUAAACUUAAGUCAUUGAGUUUUAUAUAAUUUAGUUGAUUUAACGAUAGGAAUGGUGUUUGAAUUAUAAUAAAAAUUUUAUACUUUAUGUAAAUAUAUAAAAGUUAAGUUUUUGAUAUAAAAGGAAAUAAUUUAUUUAAUAUAAAAAGAAAUAAUCUAUGUGGAUAGGUUAUAUUUUUUAUACGUAAAAUGUUACAAGUAAAUGUCAUGUGUUAUAUAAUUAAUGAAUUUAAUUAUAUAAUUAAUUUUAAAAUAAUUUAUUAUGGCUGAAUUAAUUACUUUUAAAUAUUAAUAUUCUUGCAUCCAAUAAAUUAGUUAUAAUUAAUUUGAUCAUUAAUUCAAAAAAUCAAAAUUUAAAUAAAAAACUAAGUAAUCAAGAAUAAUUUUACUUAUUUACUAAUCAUUAUUUAUAAUUAUAUAAACAUUUUAAUUUAUUAGAAUAAUCUAGUAUACACACACACACACACACGUACACACACAUAUACACACACAAAAAAAAACUUCCAUAUAUUAACUUGAAAAAGAAAAGUCUGUAAGAUAAUUUUUUUUACAUGAAUACUAUCAAACAAUGUCAUGUGUUUUGAUUAUAAUCAACGAUUCAAUUUUUAAAAUUAAAAUUACAAAUUAAUUUAAUUUGUAAUAUUUUUCAAUUAUCAUCCAAAAAAUAUUUUUAACUUUUCAAUAGCUUUAAUUUUAGUUUCUUUUUUUUAACUUUAAAUAUGAAUUUUUUUUCCUAUUGUUUUUAUAGUAAAAGUCUUAUUGGCCAAUCAAUAGCUUUCAUUUUGUUUUGAAUUCUCUAAAAUUUUUUAUACUUAUAUUACCUUAAUUUUGGGUGUUUGAUUACAAAAAUAAAAAGAAUUAACAGGUCAAAUUAUGUAUUUAAAAUUUAAACUCUAUAAUAAUAUGUAAUUAAAGGAGUCAAAAUUUUUUUAUAAUAAUAUGUAAUUGAUUGAUAACUCAAUCAGUGAAAUUCACAUUUUGUGAAUGUAUAUGUUGUCUAUAUAUAUAACGGUGAUAUAAUGAAUUUGACACAUUCAACAACCAGUGUAAAAAAAUUUUCACUUGUACUCUUUAAGUUUUUUUCUUUUAAUACAUUAUUUAAAUAAUUGUAUAAUUUUUUGAUAGAUUUGAUAAUUCAUAUAUUCAUAUCGUGUAAAAUACUAAAAAUUUAUAUAUUCAUUCUAUGUUUUACACAAAAAUUAUAUGUUACAAUUCGUGUCAACACAAAAAUAUGAAAUAAUUUUUUUUUUGUUUUGUUAAACCUAUUCAUAGUUUUUGCAAAAAUUUUAAACAGUAUUAUUUUUGUGUUUUUUAUCCAUAUUAUUUUCGUAUCUUGUCAUCGUAUUAUAUUUGAAAUUGUUAGGUCUACUUUCUGAUAUUUUACACCAAUAUUCUAUAUUUUAUAAUAAGCUAUAAAAGGGUGUUGUAAGAUUAUAACUUUGUGAAUAUUAUUAUUUUUUGUAACAUACUUUUUUUGAUUUAGUAUUAUAUUUUUAUAAGUAUAUUCCUUAUUUAUUCAAGUUAAAAUUAUUAGAUUAAUCUUAAUUAUAGUUAUUUGAUUUUUGUUUAUUUCAGCUUUGAUUUAGUGUUCUUGAAUAUUUUACUAUGAAAAUUAAUUGAUAAUUAUUUUUUUUCCAAUUUUAUAGUUGCAAGGUUUUCAUAUUAAAACAAAAAGUUAUAAUGUUAAAAAAAGAAUGUGAAUGAUUGUAAAUUUUUUUUAUCAAAACUUUAUUUUUUUUUUUAUAGACCUCUUUGAAUGAUUUGAUUUGAUCUAUUUAUAUAUUUUUUGAUUUUUUGAUUUAUUAUUAAUAUUUGGCACUUAUGUGUUUCUAUCUCUAUAAUGAAUUCAUAAUUUAAUUUUCCAAUAAAAAAUGAUUAAAAGUCUACUUUUUUUAUUUUUAUUUGAUUAUUAAAUAUUUCAUUUGUAAUAAAUAGGGAGAGAAACUAUUCUUCACUUAUUUUAAUUUACAGUUUUAUUCUUUAUUUUUUCUUUUGAAUGUGAUUCAACACAAAGUUUAGCCAAUUUAAUAUUAUUUGAACUUACACUAGGUUUUCAAGUUAAAGUUUAUACAUAGAUAAUAACCUUUGAUUCUUUCUUUUUUUACAUAUAUAUAGUAAAUCUUUUGUUCUUUUUUUCUUGAACAUAUAUAAUACAUCUUUGAUUCAGGAUAUACUUCAUUAUAAAAUUAUUUUUUUCUAAAAACAUAUCUCAUAAUGUCCUAAAUUAUUAAAAUUUUGAGUUUUAAUAACAAUAAAAUUUUUUAAUGAUAUCAUUUUAUGUGUAAAAUAUGUGUAUUCAAAUUAAUUAAAAGGCAAAUAAUUAUUAAAAGGAAUCAUGUAUUUCCUUUAAUUGAUAAUAGGUGAAAUCACAUUAAAAUCUUAAAUUAAGGCAAACUUAAUCACGUUUACGAAAAAAUAUUUAAUUUGAUUUUUUCCAUUUAACUUUUUAAUUAUAGGUAGUAUCCAUAUGAUAAUAAGUUACUCUUAAAUAUUUUUUGGAUAUAUGCAUGUGUAAAUUUUAUUAAGUGUUUAAUUAAGUAUUAAAAAAUAUUAUUCAUUGAAUGUUUGAAUAUUUUAAAAAUAUUAUUCUCUUAAAUAUCAUUUGAAUAGAUACAUAUGUAACUUUUAUAUUUUUGUUAAAAAUAAUAUUUUUAUGCAUAAUUAUAUAUAGAAAAAAUAACUCGUGCAUAGCACGAGCUACAAACUAGUAAUAUUUAAAUUUUAAAAUUUUUUAAUAUGAUAUUUGAAUUAUAAAUUUAUUAAUUAAUGUGAUACUUAUUCCUAAUAUGAUUAGUUUUAAAUAAUAAUACGUGAUGAUAAAUAAUCUUUCAAGUACCACAUUAAUUAAUGAAUUGAUAGUUUAGGUAUUAAAUUAGAUAUUUUUAAAAUUCAGAUACUACAUUAAAUAUUUUAUUAUAGUUUAAGGGUCAUUCAUAAUAUUAUCACAAUCUAGUAUAUAUACCAACUUAAUUGUUAUUUUAUCGAGUUAAGACUAGAUACUUAAAAGAUUUAUAUACACACAUAUACACACAAAAGAUAACUUCAAUAUAUUAACUUGAAAAAAAAGUCUGUAAGAUAAUUUUUUUUUUUUUUACAUAAAUACUAUCAAACAAUAUCACGUGUUUUGAUUAUAAUCAACAAUUCAAUUUUUAAAAUUAAAAUUACAAACUAAUUUAAUUUUAACUAUUUUUCAAUUAUCGGCCAAAAAACAUUGUUAACUUUUCAAUAGCUUUAAUUUUAAUUUUUUUUUAAGUAUGAAUUUUUUUUUCUAUUGUUUAUAGAGUAUAAGUCUUAUUGGCCAUUCAAUAACUUUCAUUUUAUUUUGAAUUCUCUAAAAUUUUUUUAUACUUACAUUAACUUAAUUUUGGGUAUUUGAUUACAAAAAUAAAAAGAAUUGAUAGGUCAAAUUAUAUAUUUAAAAUUUAAACUCUAUAAUAAUAUGUAACUAAAGGAGACAAAAAAAAAUUUAUAAUAAUAUGUAAUUGAUUGAUAACUCAAUCUUUGAGAUUCACAUUUUGUGAGUGUAUAUGUUGUCUAUAUAUAUAAUGAUGAUAUGAUGAAUUUGACAAAUACAACAACUAUUGUAAAAAAAUUUUCAUUUGUGUUCUUUAAUUCCUUUUUUUUUCUUAAUACAUUAUUUAAAUAAUGGUAUGACUUUCUAAUAGACCUGACAAUUUAUGUAUUUGUAAUGUGUAAAAUAAUAAAAAUUUAUGUAUUGAUUAUGUGUUUUACACAAAAAUUAUGUGUCACAAUUCAUGUUAAUACAAAAAUAUGAAAUAAAUUUUUUUGUUUUGUUAAACCUAUUUAUAGUUUUUGCUAAAAUUUUAAACAAUAUUAUUUUCAUCUUUUUUAUUCAUAUUGUUUUCAUGUCAUGUCAUCAUAUCAUAUUUGAAAUUAUCAGGUCUACUUUUUGAUAUUUUACACCAAUAUUCUAUAUUUUAUAAUAAGCUAUAAAAGGGUGUUGUAAGAUUAUAACUUUGUGAGUAUCAUUAUUUUUGUACCAUAAUCUUUUUUUUAUUUAGUAUUAUAUUUUUAUAAGUAUAUUUUCCUUAAUUAUUCAAGUUAGAAUUAUUAGAUUAAUCUUAAUUAUGGUUAUUUGAUUUUUUCUUUUUAUUUCAGUUUUGAUUUAGUGUUCUUGAAUAUUUUACUAUGAAAAUUAAUUGAUAAUUAUAUUUUUUUCAAUUUUAUAGUUGCAAGGUUUUCAUAUUAAAACAAAAAGUUAUAAUGUUAAAAAAAGAAUGUGAAUGAUGGUUAAUAUUUUUAUCAAAACUUAAAUUUUUUUAUAGACCUCUUUGAAUGAUUUGAUUUGAUCUAGUUAUAUAUUUUUUUUAUUUUUUUAUUUAUUAUUAAUAUUUGGCACUUAUGUAUUUAUAUCUCUAUGAUGAAUUCAUUAUUUAAUUUCCCAAUAAAAAAUGAUUAAAAGUCUACUUUUUUCUUUUUUUUAUUUGAUUAUUAAAUAUUUCAUUUGUAAUAAAUAGGGAGAGAAACUAUUCUUCACUUGUUUUUAUUUACAGUUUUAUUCUUUAUUUUUUCUUUUGUAUGUGGUUUAACAUAAAAUUAAACCAAUUUGAUAUUAUUUGAACUUAUAUUAGGUUUUCAACAUAUUAGGUUUUCAACUUAAAGUUUAUACAUAUAUAAUAAAUCUUUGAUUCUUUCUUUUUUACAUAUAUAUAGUAAAUCUUUUGUUAUUUUUUUCUUAGACAUAUAUAAUACAUCUUUGAUGUAUCAUAUACUUCAUUAUAAAAUUAUUUUUUUUCCAAAAGCAUAUCUUACAGUGUCCUAAAUUAUUACAAUUUUGAGUUUUAAUAGCAAUAAAAUUUUUUAAUGAUAUCAUUUUAUGACUAAAAUAUGUGUAGUCAAAUUAAUAAAAAGGCAAAUAAUUAUUAAAAGGAAUCAUGCAUUUCCUUUAAUUGAUUAAUAGGUGAAAAUCACAUUAAAAUCUUAAAUUAAGGCAAACUUAAUCACAUUUAUGAGAAAAUAUUUAAUUUGAUUUUUUCCAUUUAACUUUUUAAUUACAUGUAGUAUUCAUAUGAUAAUGAGUUGCUCUUAAAUAUCAAUCGGAUAUAUGCAUGUGUAACUUUUAUUAAGUGUUUAAUUAAGUAUUAAACAAUAUUAUUCAUUGAAUGUUUGAAUAUUUUAAAAAUAUUAUUCUUGUAGAUAUCAUUUGAAUAUAUUCAUAUGUAACUUUUAUAUUUUUGUUAAAAAUAAUAUUUUUAUAUAUAAUUAUAUAUAAGAAAAAUAACUCAUGCAUAGCACGAGCUACAAACUAAUAAUAUUUAAAUUUUAAAAUUUUUAAAUAUAAUAUUUGAAUUAUAAAUUUAUUAAUUAAUGUGAUACUUAUUCAUAAUAUAAUUAAUUUUAAAUAACGAUAUGUGAUUAUAAAUAACCCUUCAAGUACCAUAUUAAUUAAUGAAUUGAUAGUUCAGGUAUUAAAUUAGAUAUUUUUUAAAUUCAAAUAUUACAUUAAAUAUUUUACUAUAGUUUAAAGAUCAUUCAUAAUAUUAUCACAUUCUAGUUUAUAUACCAACUUAAUUGUUAUUUUAUCGAGUUAAGACUAGAUGCUUAAAAGAUUUAUUCAAAAUUUCAACUUUUUUUUUUCACAAGAGGUCAUAGUUUGAGAUUAAAAAAAUGGAUUGCAAGUGUUAGAAUUUAAAUUUCAGACUUACUAAAUGAUACCUCUUAUAUGUGGAUAUAUAAACUAACUAAAUUAAGUUAUAGAUCCAACCCAAUCCAACUUCAUUUAUAAAGAAAAAUCAUCAAUUUGAAAAAUCAACAAUUUGAACUCGACCAAACUCUAUUUGUACAACAACAAUAAUAAAUAAAGUUUUAUAUCCCAUAAUUUUACGGUUGGUUAUAUGAAAGGGAAAAAAAAUAAAUCAUGUUAGAUUGUAGUUUUAAAUCUUCUUAUAACACUCAUUUAUAUAUAUAUAUAUAUAUAUAUAGCAUCUUCAUUACUUUCUUAACUCUCAUAUCAUUUCUUAUUAUUUGCAUCAACAUUUUUGAUGAUUUUCCUCUAAAAUUUUUGAAUGUAAAUAAAAGGUUAAGCACUUAUUUGAGUACAAAUUAAAGUCUAAGAAUUAAUUUGAGUUCAACAAAUUUAUAAGGAUUUAUCUAAAUAAAAUGAUAAAUUUUAAAUUUUUAUUAUUAUUUUAACCAAAAUUUUCUAAAAACAUGUCAAAAGAAUGCCCCAAGCACCCCCACUUGCGUAAUAGAAAAAAAUUAUCAAAUAAACUUUUUUAAUUUUUAGUUUAGUCCUUAAAACUUUAAAUCUUUAGCCAAACACUAAAAAAAUUCAAAUGAUAUAUGCAUGGAAAAUGUAUGAGACAUAUUCUAACCAUAUAAAUUUCAUACAUGGAAUUUGAAACAUGUGAGAAAAAUAUAAAGUCAAAGUUUUGAUUUUUCGAGUUUGAUUAUGAUUUUUCUCUUAAAUCAUAAGUGCUUUAGUACCAAAUUUUUAUAAAAAAUUCAAAUAAUCUUAGGGCACAUAUUUAUGUAAAAAUUUUAGUCUAAAGCAUUUGUUUAAAUUUUUAUUAUUAAAAAUCAUUCUAAGUUAUUAAAAAUAUUCUAGUAUACCAAACAACUAUAGAAGCAAAUCUAAAAGUGAAAACAAGCAUAACAAUGUUUUGAUUCCACUAUAGGAACUUAUUGAAAAACAUAUUUAAGAAUAUUUGUAAAUUUAAGAUUAUUUGCUCCAAUGCUAAUAUGAAUUCCCAAUAUUAAUUUACUUAUAUUUGCUUCAUGAAUCUUAAAAGAUUUAUUUUUUAUAUUAUUUUUUAAACAACUUCUUGGAUCUUGUUAGGCAAUGAAACAAUUUUUAGAACUUAUCAUAAAUUUUAUACUAAGUUUUAGGGUCUGAAGUAGAUAACCAAAGAUUAGGUAACAAGAUCUUUUUACUAUAAUAAUUAAAAUUAUUACUCCUUCUGUUUUAAAUUAUUUGGAUGGUAUUAACUUUUACAGAAUUUUUAAAAAAAAUAACUUUAAUGUAUUUAAUGUUAAAAUUAAAUUUUCAGGAAUUUUAAUAUCAAAAAGUAAAAAUAUUUAAAAUAAAAAAAUAAGAAAAAAGGAGAAGUUCUUUUUGUUAAUUUCUAUAAAUAUGUCUGUCAAUUAAUAUAGCACAUAUUUCAAUUAUUGGGAAUAGAUUUUUAAUAACAUUUAUGCAAAAUUAUAUUAAGAAAAAAAAUUCUCAAUUAACUAAUGUUCUAAAUUAGAUAAUGUCUACUAAUAAAUUUGCAUCCAUUUGACCCACCAAUAUUUGGAAUCAUCAUCGAAUCUUGGACUCUUCCAAGUUCCAACUUUGGUAAAAUAAUAAUAAAAAAAAAGUCCACGUUCCAAUGUUUGAUAUAAAGGUGUGGAAAGUUGGACCUAAAAUGAUCCACACAAUCAAUUCUAUGAUAGUGAGCAGUUUCAUGGUAGGGAAUCCUCUUCCAACUUCUAUACCAUACCAAUUAAAUAAAAUCAUCCAAAACAAAUUUGAGUAAAAUUUAGAGACUAUGUACAAAAAUAGUCUUCAAGUUAAAAUUCACUUAAUCUCGAAAAUAAAUAAUUUUGGAUUCGUGAUUCUUUAUUGAUGUUAUUUAUGAUUGCAUGAUUUUAUAUGAUAAGACACAUCUUAUCCUAAUUAAGUUAUAAUUAUAGUAAAUCUCUUUGUCUUAAACUAUAUAUAAAUUAAAAUUUAAUUUAAUUAAUUUAUAUUUUAAUAAAUUUAGAAUUUAAAUUUUAAUAUUUGUAAUCUCUAAUUAUUUUUUUUAUAUUACAAUUUUCUCUCAACAAAAAGAAAAUUUUAUAUUACAAAGAAAUAACAAAGUUAAACGUUAACAAAUGAUUAGCUCAAUGGUUAAAGUUUGUGUCCAAUAGUAGAAGUUUUAAGCUUCAUUUAGAUAGGUGAUGAAAUUGGUUACAAUGAGAUUAAAAAUUGUAAUAAAAUUUAUUAUAGCUAUGAUUGAAAAAAUUUAUUAUAAUUAUAAUUAAAAAAAAUUUUAAUGAAAAAUUUAUAUCGAUUUGAUUUCAUUAGAAUUAUCGUUUGAAUUCAAUUAAAAAUGCGAUGAACUUAAUUACGUCACAUUGAUCACAUUGAAAGUGCGAUAGGAUUUAAAUGGCUACUUAGCUAAUUCUCUUGGUAUAAAGGAUUGAAAAAAAAUGUAACUAUUUGGAUUACAAUUCAAAUUUUAAAUUAAUUUCUUUAAAGAAAUGUGUAAACAUUUGAAUUAAUCUUCAAAUUUAUCUUUUACUAGCUUAAUCUUAAAAUGUUUGCCAUCUAAUGCCUCAUGAUACAUCAUAUUAUGAAUUAAGAAUCAAACAAUUUAUUUAUUUAAAAAAAUCGAAUAUCUUAUUAAGAAUUUUUUUCUUUGAAAAAAACUACAAAAGGAAAAGUGAUAGCCGCGUGGGACAGCGAGGCCGACCCACAUUCUAUGUGUAUUCUGGCAUGGUGCCAACCUGCAAAAUAAAAAUCAACAAAAACGGAAGACAUCACAAUCAAAAUAAAUCUCACCCGUUAUUAUGUGUGCGACGCGCCGGCGUUGAAAGUCUUCAAUUCUGCAGACUCCUUCAUCCAUUGAACUAAGACGCCUGUAUGAAUGACACUGCUGUCGCUCCAAGAGAGGCCCUUGCCCCCUUCCCCCCAGCAUCCUUGAAUUUUGGGAUCAUCUUUGAAUAGCUUUCAUUACUAUUUAUUUUAAUUUUUUCUCACAUCUUAUCAUAUCUUCUUCAUUUAUUUUGUGGGUGAGAAUGAAAGGUAUGCCUUUUUUUUUUUUUUUAAUGAAUUUGGUUUUAUUUGUUUGCAUAAAUAAAAAAGGGUUUUUGUUUUGGCAAUUAAAAUGUUGCUACUUGUAGUAUUAAAAACAUAUAUUGCUACUUGUAGUUUUUGGGAUUAAGUUGAAUCUUCUAAACUUUAUGUCAGUACUAUAACUUACAUGGAUCCAAAUUAGUGUGUUUUAUAUGUAUUAGAUAUGUAGUUGUAGUUAUAUAUCAAUUUAAUUAUUAUUUUAUUGAGUUAGGGUAAAGUUAGUACUAUAACUUACAUGGAUCCAAAUCAUCUAUUAGAAUUCAAACUCAAUAUAAUUUUAUUUUAUCAAGAAAAAUUAAUUUAAAUAUAAAAUAAUAAUAAGUGAUGGAUAAAUAAUUUUUUAAAUAUUAUAUUAAUUAACAUAUUUAUAAUUUAAGUAUCACAUUAAAUAUUUUAAAAUUUAAGUAUCAUAUUAAAUAUUUCACUAUAAUUUAUAAAUCAUUUAAUAUAUUAACUCAAUUCUUAAUCAAUUGAAUUAUUGUGUUUCUCUAUAAGAAGAAUGCGUGGCUCUUAUCUAGCAAAUGAGUUUGAAAUUACGUUUACUAAAGUUAAGAAAAAAGAAAGACAAAGGUAUCAAGUUUAAGUAAAUAGCAUCUGUAGUCUCUAAAUUUUGAGUUAAAUUUUAUUUUGAUUCUUAAAUUUUAAAAAAUUUUAAUUAGAUCUCAAUUGUCUAAAGGUAUUAUAUUUUGAUUAUUUUGCCUAUGAAAAUUGUCUAAAUUAAUAGUAAAUACCGACUAACAUCAUAUGAAUGAUGUAAUUGACAUCUUGUGUGACAGAUUGAUUGAUAAAGGGACCAAAAUAGAAUUUUGUUUAAAGUUUAAGGACAAAAAAUGUGAGUAUCCCGAAUUUUUUAUAUUUCAAAUUUGCCAAUAAACACCAUACACAUGGCGUUAGUUGGCAUUUAAUAUUAAUUUAGAUGAUUUUAUAAAUAAAAAGGUUAAAUUAAGAUAACUUUAAAUAUUAAAAAUCUAACUUGAACUUUUUAAAAAUUAAAAAUCAAAAUAAAUUUAAUUCAAAAUUUAAGGAUUAUAGAAAUUAUUAACUCUAUAAAAUGAGUCAAAUAUUUGAAAAUUAUUUUUUAACAUGGUGGCUAUGUAUAAAUGUUCAACGUCCCCCUAAAAAAAAGGUUGUUAAAAGUCGUGUUAGAAUGUUUAAUUGACUAGGGAAAUGCAUGGCAGCUAAUAAUUUCCAAACAACUCAACGAUACCAAAUUGUUGGUUUCAAUACUUUGAACAUUGAUUUCUACCUAGUUAAAGCGAAUGAAAGUUUGUCCAAUCCAAUUUGUCAAUAUCUUUAUUGUAACAGUUUUGUGUCCGUCCGAUGAAUUUAGAAAAAAAAAAAAUAAUAACAGAGUCGUCAUCAAUUUUUUUUUACUAUGUGCGAUUGACCAUUUACUAAAACAUAUCAUUUUAAUAAAGUUUUAAAAUUAAUUAAAAUUUAUUAAAAAAGUAAUUUUACUGUCUACGAAAUAGUCUAAGUUUGCGAGUCGAUUAUGUGUGGGGAAUGAUUAGCACCCUCACAAUGCCUGUUAAAAACGGUACCAAUUAACAACGUGUUAUCCUUUGAUUUUGAUAAAAAUAGUCCAAUUUUCGAUGUUCGAAAAAUAAUUUUCUUGAUUUUUUAUUUAUUAGAAAAAAACUUUUAUUCUCAAGAAAAAUAAAUUAAAACUUUUUUAUUGAAAUAAUUUUAAAAUGUUACAGUACGUGGUAACAUUAAAAGAAUUUAAAAUGUUACCAUGUUGAUGCACACAUUUUAUUCUCCUUUGUUAGAAAUUUUAUUAAUUAUUUAUAUUUUAUUUAAAAUUUUGAAGAAAAAUGAAAAUUUUUUUAUAUUGAAGAUUUUCUAUAAAUAUUUCAAUACACUGGUAAUAUUAAGAAAAAAAUCUUUUUAUCUAGGGAUUCCUUAAAGCAUCUCUACUCGGAAUACUAAGAUUGUUGGUUCGAUCCGUCUUUCAGGCUUUUUUGGGGUUUAGACACAUAUUAUUUGCUAUUGAUAAUUCUAGGCGUUUUCUUGGCAUAAAUGCCUUCACCAAUCGCUUUAAAAAAUUUAUCAUAGAAUAUUAAAGGCAUUUUUGAUUGAGAGACACCUUUAAUAAUCGAUAAAAAAAAAAUAGGGUCGAUUAUUGAAGGCAUUUUUGGCCAAACUCGCCUUCUAUAAUUCAGUAAUUUUUUUUUUGAAUUUUUAAAGGCGGUUUUAUAAUAAACACCUUCAAAUAUUUCAUAGACAAAAUUUGGAUGGGAUGGUUGAAAGCGUUUUUGGCUUAAAACGCCUUUAAUAGUUGUAGGGAUAAUUUUUAAUGGUCGGAUUAUUGAAGGUGACUAUAUCCAAAAACGCCUUCAUAACUUUUUAUUGGGAUUAUUCAAGGCAUUACUAGUAGAAAAAUACUAUUCAUAAUUCAUUCGAUUUAUUUUUAGUUGGUAUUAUUGAAUGUAUUUUUUUGCCCAAAAUGCCUUUAAUAUUUAAGACAAUAAUUUCUUAGGGGGUUAUUGAAGGCGAUUUUGGUAAAAAAUACCUUUAAUAUUUUUUGUAGGGGUGAAUGAAAGCGUUUUCUUGCUAAAAAUACCUUCAUUAAUCGCAUUAAAUAAACAUAAUUAAUAUGUGAAGUCAAUUGUACGUUUAUGCCUAGAAAACAUUUGGUUUAUAUAUCUGAUACUAUGAAUUACAUUUUGGAAUUUGCAUAAUGAACAUUAUUGUUUUUCAAAAACUUUAUCACACAUCUGAAAUUAAAAUUGAUAAUGUUGCCAUAUUACUAUACUUUUUUGAAAUAAUCGUACUCAGUAAUUUAAUAAUUACAGAUAGUGUAUUCAUAUUAAGUAUAUCAAUAAUAUUAAACCAAUACCCCCAAUGUACAAACUUAAAGUUUCCAUUCAACAUUGCAUGUUAAAAACAUCAUAACAAUUUGUUCUAUAUAUAUUUACAAUCAACCAACAAUGAUAAUACAUAAUCACACCAUUCUUUACGGACUUCAUCUAGCUCCUUUUCUGUGAAGCUUUCUUUACCCUCUCACUAAAAAAAAUAUCAGAAGUAAAUGUUAAGAAAUGAGAUCAUAAUGUACCAUUUUAUUUUUUUGAAUAUAUAACGAGUUUAUGAAAUUUAUACUAACUUUGAAUGGUGUGUUCAUAAAAUCAUGUAACACAAUCUCCCGCAUAACACAAAUGACAUAAUAUCCACAUUCAGUAUUACCGGAUUGACGACGAACCUGAAAAUUAAAUUAAGUCGGUUUAGAAAAUAGUUAUCUACACAAACUCAGCAUUAAAAGAAUAAAUUUGACAUUUACUGGUAAUGACACCCAUUUUUAUUUCUUUAUCUUCUUAUUGAAUGCAUAUAUUACCCUAAAUUAAAAAGAAAAAAAAUUAGUGAGAACCUAAAUAAAAUUCACAAUAUGAAGAAACAAAACAUAUAUAAUAUAAUAAAAUACUGUAAUACCUCUUUAUAAAAGUUUCGAUGUCGGGGUUAGGCAUCCCCGUUGGAUUAACUGAAUUAAGAAGGUAUGGCGUUAAGGAUUUGGUGUCAAACACAAUAAGUACCCAAUGACGACUGUAAAAUAACAACAAUGAUAUACUCAGAAUAAACAUCAAAUCAUAAAAUGGAGCAAGUUGGAGUAAUUAAGGUUUAAAUAUAGCUUACAACACAUUAUACGAAAGCAAAUAAUAAUCAGCCAGUCUUUUCAUACAUUGGAUCACAUGAUUAGCACGAUACACAAAUAUGCCACUCUGCUCAUUAAUGAAGUUGGAGUCAAUGAAUUGAAAUUUAUUCGUCAACUGUUUCCCUUUCAGCUCUCUAUAUAGGAAGCUACACGAUAACAAUCAAUACUGUCGGUUACUAUUACACCCUAAUACUAACUUAUUACAUAUUGAAUGUGCAUAUUUGUAUUUAUAAGCUUACCUCAUAUAAGUAACGAUUUCAGCAGUUGAUAAUUCAUCCAUUUCACAAAAUUCUUUCACCUCAUCCACACCAAUGAAAGAAAAUGAUUGUUUAUCAAAUAAGUUUUCCUCAGCCUUAAUGGAUAUGAAGUUUCCACCUGUAUAUUUGUCUAGUGAAUAUUUUGUUAACUUAUCCAUGGAAGUCUAGGCAAAGGUUAGACGUUGAGGCUAAACGUCCUCCUACAAUAUUAAACUUAUCUAUAAGUAUUAAAACCAAAUCAAUCAAUAUAAUAAUCAAAUUAUUAUUCAAAUUAUAACAAAAAUUUUACUUCUUGGGUGGUAGCGGAUGAUGGGAUUGCUUCAUUACUUGCAUCGACAGCUUCUUGCACAGGGACGAUACUAUUAGGUUGGGGUACUGACUUUACCUGCUGCAUUGCUACCAAUAUGGACUCCAAAGCAACGAGUCUUUGCUGUUGGUCAUUGAAGCGUUGCUCCUGGUCAUUAAUUUGUUGCUAUUGUUGCAAAAUUAUUGCUUCAUAUUAUGCAUUUCUCAUUCUUGGGGUUUUUGCUUAUUUACCAAAAUACAUGAUGGCAAGACAAAUUUACCAACCCCAUGAACCCGAUCGGGACUUUCUUUAGCGCCUAAUGCUAAAGACAAAGGAUAUUCACCAUACUGGGUUACUAGUUCACCAGAUUUAACUUUGGUAGCAUAAUCAUCCUGAAAGAUAAUAAUAAGUUAGGCUGUUAGAAUAUAUCUACACAAGCUAGUAUACACUUAUGCAUACAACCACAUUGCCAAUCAUACAUUAUAGAGUAGUUAUACAUAUAAUCUUUUUUGUCAGUUCCUCAGUUGCUUCAUUUACGAAGGAUCCAUCCUUUUGUAGAUGUCUUUAUUUUCAGACAUUCCAUCUGAAAACUUUUUUGUUUAAACUCACUAAUUCCUAUUAAAUUAUCCUAAUAAAAGAAUCAGAAUGUAUAAAGUGAAUGUUCAUAAAUAUUCACUAAUGAGUAUAAAACAGGUGUGCGAAGACAUACAAGCUCAUACUUCACAGUUGCAUAUCAUUUUCUUGUUGUCCGAUGAUGAUAUUGCUGUUUGGCCUGAAUGUCUCGAUGUUGUUCUAUGAUUUUUUACAAAAUCAAGAAAUUACGUUAAUCACAUAUAAAAAUCAAAGGCUAUAUUGUAUAAAGACUUAUAAACUUGGUUUAAUUUGGUAAUAAGUUUGCGUAUCGAAAAGUUUUCUGAAAGCCGAUAUUGAACAAAAUUUGUCCAAUCUUUCACACUUAUGACAUCUGCAUAUGCCGUAGGUGGAAUAGCCAAAACAUAACCUUCACCAGCCAUCGAUAAAAUAUAUUGAGUUGUCAAUCUGCUUUUAAAGUCUCUGAAAGCUUUUCCAGCAGAUUGUAACACAAUCUUUUUACACUCAAUUGAGAAGUCGAACCAUUCCUAAAUAAGUUAACACAAAUAGUAUCAACACAUUGAAUUUCAUUUAAAUGAUCAUAUAAUAAAGUUUACGAAAUAGUUGCAUAAACAUACCACAACGGACUGCCAUAUCUCAUCAUUUAGAUAAUCAAAAACUUUUCACCAAUUGGUGUACGUAAUUAAAAUUCUCCUACGGAUGAUGGCCCCAAUAUGAGUAGCCAUCUUGGCAGCUCCUUUCGAUACAGGCUACCCACUUUGAUUGAAGUCAACAUAAACUUUUAUGUCAGCCAGUUUGAUUUAUUUAUUUGGGCCCCUUCCCUUUUUUUUUUUGCUUACACUUCUUUCUUUUGCAUGUUCAUUAAAAGGAGAAUAAUGUUGUUCGAAGUCCAUAUUACCUACAAUAUUGAUCAUAAUUAUAUAAAUUAUACAAUACGACCCUCUAAAUUGAUCAUUGUACUUAAUUUAAUACAACUAAUACCAUACUGAGAACAGAAACAUCAUUUAGCACAUUAUUCAGCAAUGUGCUCAUACACACCCUUUAGCAAACUACUCAAAAACACCAUUCAGCCCCCAUUCAAACCUAUUUAGCAAAACAAUAUCAGACAACAAGUUCAACAAACCAUUCAGCAUGAAAUAUUAUUCAAACCCCUAAUAUCAUACAAUAUCAUUCGGUAAUACAAUAUCAGUCAACAAGGUUCAACAAACCACAACCUAGAGGAAUGCAUACUACAUAGAAAUAGCAUACUUGCCAAUAUUAAUGAAAAUAUAUAAACGCAUAUGCCAAUAUUAAGGAACUGAAAAAACAAAAAUUCUCUAUUGAAGGCGUAAAUAAUACAGUAAACUAAAAAAAAAAAGAAUUACCAACUUAAAACAGAGGUUCGCAAUGGUGAUUUGUUGAAGGUCAGAGGUGAAGAAUUGGAGAAAGAAAGCAAUGGUCUAGUAAAAAUGUGUUUAGGGGUUUGAUUUGUUUGGUAGAAUAACGCAGCUUCUAAUCGUUCUGUGUACCAGGACUCUGUAACUUCCUAUGUUCAAGGUAGGGAAAUGAAUAUAAAAUUAAUUAAUAAAGGCAUUUCCAUGGAACAACACCUUUGAUAAUCACUUGAAAAUUUUAUUGGAGAUUAUAAAAAAUGUUUCUUCUAAAAAAGAUGCCUUUAAUUAUAAGCCUUUAAAAUUGUCCAACCAACUUAUUAAAGGCAUUUUUUUAUAAAAAAAAUGCCUUUUCUAGAUUUUAAAAAUUAUAAAAAGUGUUUUCAGAAAAAAAUCACCUUCAAUAAGUAUGGAUUUUCAGAGUUUAUAACAAAUUAUUAAAUGCAGCUUAUAAUAAAAUAUUCCUUUAAUAAUCCGAGAAAAUUUUUUUAAAAAAAUAUUAAAGGCGUUGUUAUCUGAAACCACCUUCAAUAAUUAUAUACAAACUGUGAUAGGAAUUAUUAAAGGCAUCUAUCUUAAAUAUAUGCCUUUAAUAACAAUGUUACAAUUUGUGUGGUGUUAUAUAAAAGGUAUUUUACAGUAGAAGACGCCUUUACUAAUUCCCAAAAUAUUUAGUGAAAAAAUUUUGAAAGCUUCAGUUAUUAACAAAUGCCUUCAGUAAUUGAAGGAGCCAUUUCUAAUAAACGCCUUCGAUUACCAUCGUGGUAUAUUGAAGGUGUUUUAUAACAAAAGAUGCAAUUAAUAAUCCUAGAAACUUUAUUAGAAAAAUUAUUGAAGGCAUUGUUUUCUACAAUCGCCUUCAAUAAUUAUAUACAACUGUGAUAGGAAUUAUUAAAAGCGUUUAUCUUAAAUAUACACCUUCAAUAAUAGUGUUACAAUUUGUGUGGUGGUAUAUAGAAGGUAUUUUACAGUAGAAGACGCCUUUAUUAAUUCUCAAAAUAUUUAGUGAGAAAAUUUUGAUGGCGUCUGUUAUUAACAAUCAUAUUUAGUAAUUGAAGGCGUCUUUUCUAAUAAAUGCUUUCAAUUACCAUCGUGGUAUAUUGAAGGUAUUUUAUAAUAAAAGACGCUUUUAAUAAUCCUGAAAACUUUUAUUAGAAAAAUUAUUAAAGGUGUUGUUUUCUAAAAUCGCCUUCAGUAAUUAUAUACAACCUGUGAUAGAAAUUAUUAAAGGCGUCUAUCUUAAAUAUACGCUUUCAAUAACAAUGUUACAAUUUGUGUUAUGGUAUAUAGAAGGUAUUUUACAGUAGAAGAUGCCUUUACUAAUUCUCAAAAUAUUUAGUGAGAAAAUGUUGAUGGCAUUUGUUAUUAACAAACACCUUCAGUAAUUAAAGGUGCCUUUUCUAAUAAACGUCUUCGAUUACCAUCGUGGUAUAUUAAAGGCAUUUUAUAAUAAAAGACGCUUUUAAUCAUCCAGAAAACUUUUAUUAGGAAAAUUAUUAAAGGCGUUGUUUUCUAAAACUGCCUUCAGUAAUUAUAUACAAACUGUGAUAAAAAUUAUUAAAGGCGUCAAUCUUAAAUAUACACCUUCAAUAAUAGUGUUACAAUUUGUGUGAUGGUAUAUAGAAGGUAUUUUAUAGUAAAAGAUGCAUUUACUAAUUCCCAAAAUAUUUAGUAAGAAAAUUUUGAUGGCAUAUAUUAUUAACAAAUGCCUUCAGUAAUUAAAGGUACCUUUUCUAAUAAAUGCCUUCCAUCACCAUCGUAGUAUAUUGAAGGCAUUUUAUAAUGAAAGAUGCCUUUAAUAAUCUGAAAAAAUUUUAUUAGAAAAAUUAUUGAAGGUGUUAUUUUCUGAAAUCGCCUUCAGUAAUUAUAUACAAACUGUGAGAGAAAUUAUUAAAAGCAUUUAUCUUAAAUAUACGUCUUUAAUAACAGUGUUACAAUAUGUGUAACAGUAUAUAAAAGGUAUUUUAUAGUAGAAGACGCCUUUAAUAAUUUCUAAAAUAUUUAGUGAAAAAAUUUUGAAGGCGUCUGUUUCUAACAGAUGCCUUCUAUAAUGGAUUACUAAGUUUAAAGGUAUAUUAAAGGCACUUGUUCAAAUAAACACCUUCUAUUACCAUCGUCGUAUAUUGAAUAUGUGUCAUAAUAAAAGACGCCUUCAAUAAUCAACGAAAUUUUUUUUAGUGAAAUUAUUAAAGGCGUUAUUUUCUGCAAUAGCCUUCAGUAAUUAACUACAAACUGUUAUAUGAAUUAUUAAAGGUGUCUUUAUUAGAUAUACACCUUUAAUAACAAUGUUAGAAUUUCUAUGGCGAUAUGUUCAAGGCGCUUAUAAUAUAUUCAAAAAAUAUUUGGGAGGUAAUUAUUGUUGGUGUUUUUUGUUAGUAAAUGCCUUUCAUAAUCCUGUCCAAUAAAAAUCUUCCCAAACUUAACGCAUCCAAUCACUAACUUCAAGCUUCAUCUUCAUUAUUAUAUCUUUCCAAAUCAAGUACAAUUUACUUUCCCUUUUCUUCCGCUUUUAGUAUUUGAGCAUUGUCUUUUAGAACCCUAUUUCGACUAUUAAUAACUUAUUGACUUUAGCUUUUACUUCAUUCAACUAUUCCUUUAUCUCUUGCAAAUCAUGAUUUUUUUUCGUGAAAAUUUUUUUUUACAAAACCUACCUUAUUCCACCUUAUGUCAACCCCAAUACCAUAUACCCUUUGGUACUGUCUGCGUUAGCAGUAGAGUUUUAACAAUCAUAAUCUCUGAUAGCUGAUAAAUUACUUCACACCAAAGAGUUAUCGUUUUGUGUAAGUACUGUUCUUCUUAUUAUCUUUUGUUUAAAACAUAGUAAACUAUGCAAUUGUACAUGUUUAUUUUCAUAUUAAUUAUUUUUAUACAUUUGGUCUAAUUAUGUAGCAACUAAUAAAUGGAUAAAAGUUGGAUGCAAAAGUCUAGAUUAAGUCAAGAGUAUAGAGAUGGAGUGAAAAAUUUUCUUAAUUUUGCAUUUGAGAAUACAAGUGAAGAUAAUAUGAUAUUAUGCCCAUAUGUAAAAUGUGCUAAUAUCGAGUAGCAAAUGCGUCAAGUUGUUUAUGAGCAUUUAAUUUGUAUUAGAUUUCUAUCCGGAUAUGUUAAUUGAUAUUUUCAUGGAGACUCUAUACCGUCAAGGUCUUCCACUAUAGUUCUUUCAACAUCAAAGGCUCCCCAUCACCAACAUGAUCCUUUUAUAACAGAUGACAUUGAAGGCAUGUUGCGAGAUGCUUUUAACAGUCAUAACCAAAAUUUUCAUAAUCUUUCUCACAAAAAUGAAAGAUUUAAUCAGUUCAAUAUUGAAAUGCAUGAAUUUGGUAAACUUGGGAUAAGUGUACGUGACCAAUAACCUAGAAGAGAAGUAUCAAAGUUCUAUAGGUUACUUAAGGAAAUGAAUGAAAAACUCUUUGAGGGAUCGAAGCAUUCAAGGUUGUCUUUCUGUGUUCAUCUUUUUCACUUGAAAUGCUUAUGUGGAUGGAUGAAAAACUCUCUGACUUUAUUAUUACAGUUUAUGAAAAAAAAAAAUUUUUUGUAAAAAUCCUUAAAUCUUAUAAGGAAUCAAAGAAGAUGAACAAGGAUUUAGGUCUCGGAUAUGAAAAAAUUUAUAGUUGUCCCAAUGAUUGCAUGUUGUAUUGGGGGGAUAGAAAAAAUCAAGAAUCUUAUCAUUUAUGUGGUAUUUCUCAUUGAGUCGACAAAUAUCUCGAUGAAAGGCUAAAUGAUAAUGGUGAUGAGGUAUGUGUCAAAAAGAAGCCUGUUAAGGUUUUACGUUAUUUUCAUUAAUACCAAGACUGUAACGACUCUACAUGUCUUUCAAAACUUUUUCGUGUAACACAUAUAAAAAAAGAUAGAUCUUACAUGAAUGUCGAGACACAAGAAAUUACAAUAAUUUGUAUAAUCUAUUUUAACAUAAAGUAAAUAUUAACUCUUUUUAACAUAUAAUCAAUUAAUCAUUAAACUUGAUUAUUGUAUAUGAUAAAUUCAUAGGAGAAAACGAAAGAGAAAAUGGCUGCUGAGAUUGAAGUAGCAUCUAAAGGUUCUCUCAACAUGUAAGAAAUAAAAAAUCAGAUAUUCAUAAAAGUUGCUAGAAAAGAAAGGUAUGGAUGGGUCUAAGGCCUUGGAUUGGAUCCAACACCAUCUGCCUACUAUGAACAUAACUCUUCGUAAUUUACAUUCUCAGCAAGUCAGUCUUCGUGACAUAUUUCAAUAUUGAGAGAGGAGUUGCAAACUAUGCAACAAUAUUUUCAGCAAAUUAAAGCAGAAAGAGAACAUGAGCGUGCCAAAAUUGAAGAAGAACAUGCUAAAAUGGAGCUAGAGCGUGCAAAUUUUUAGUAGUUGCAUGAUCGAUUCGAUCAUCUUAUAAAUUUUAUGCAAUAAUAAUUUUCAAGAAAUGAUCUUGGUGCUCCAUCAAUUUAGGUAUUAUAUUUAUUAAAUAUUAAAAUUUUUAAAUAAAAAAUAAGCAUACAAUGAAGUGUUAAAAAUUGUAUGGUAUUAUUCAGUAGGUUGUUGAGCAUACUAGUGACCAAGGUAAAAAAUUUUCUUCAUCAAUUAGCAGCCAGCAAAAUAUAUGUAGUCAUCCAUUUCAUACAUUUUAAUUUUUUAUUUGGUUAAUGUAUUUACAAUAUUUGAAUGUUAUUAUACUAAUUAUUAAACUUUGUAUUAAUUAGAUGUAUAUUUAAACGUGAAUGAAAUUUAUAUUAAUUUCAGUUUCUGAAUUUAAGUUUUUUAUUGAAAAUAAAAUUUAUUAUAAAAAUUAUAAAAAAAAUAUUUUUACAUAAUGACGGUGUUUGCGUUGGGCAAUGCCACUAAAUAAAUAAUUUAGUGGCAUUUGUAGCAUAAAAUGUCAUUAGUGGUAGCGUCGCUCUUUCCAGCAAACGCCGCUAAUUCGGUGAUAUUUUUAUAGAAAUGCCACUAAAGCAAUGGCAUUUUUCUCAUAACAAUGCCACUGAAUUAGCAACGCUUAAAAUAUAUAAACGCCAUAAAUGUUGAGGCAUUUUCUGUUACAAACGCCGUCAAUACAGUGACGUUUUUCUCAUAAAAAUGCCACUGAAAUAACGACGUCUCUAAGAUAUAAAUGCUGCUAAAAUGACGGUGCUUCACAUACAAACGCCACUAAUAUUAAGGUAUUUUUUCAAAAAUGCCGCUAUUUACAAUGACGCAUGUAUAACUGCACUCUGUAUGGCAUUUUUUAAUAAAUGCCGUAACCUUAUAGUAGCGUUAAUAAACACCACUAAAUGGUUAAAGAAACGCCGCUAAAAACCAAAAUUCCUGUAGUGUUUGUUACCUUCUUAAGGACUUGGGAUUAGUUAUUAAGUAUCAAAUGAAAUAAUGUAAUUGAUCUAAUGUAAAACAUAACAUUACAAGAAAACACUCUUAAUAAUUAAAAUUUGAGAGGCUUCAUAUUCAAAUUUAUAGGACGAAUAUUAGGAUUUAUCAAAUGAAAGAGGUCCAAAAUCUUUAUGUAUACACUAUACCAAAAAAAUCAUAAUGUAUAAAAAAAUUUAUAUGCUUAAUUUAUAGUAUAAAUUAAGGUCUUAAAACAUACUUAAUUGAUUGAUUUCAUCCACAGAAGAAUUCAUAUUAAGAAUUUAGACUAAAAAAAGACUAAAUAGGGAAUGUGACAAUUUUUUUAUUUUAAAAAAAUGGAGUGAUUACUUAUUUUAAUUAGUUUUAGGACUUUUAUGUGAUAUAGUGAGAUGAACUCUUAUUACAAGGUAAUUAUGUUUUAUAAUUGAACUUUUAAAGAUUCAAUGAAUAAAACGAUAUACAUGGCACGAUGAGAGUUCUCCCACUUCGUUGGAUGAAUUUUUAAGGGUUAAUGUUAUAAAUCAUCUUUAAACUAUAGUAAGAUAUUCAAUGUAAUAUUUGAAUUUUAAAAAUUUUUAAUAUGUUACUUAAAUUAUGAAUCUAUUAAUAAAUAUGAUACUUACUCUUAAUGUGGCUAACUUCAAAUGAUGAUAUGUGAUUGAUUAACAAUCUUUUAAGUGCCAUACUAAUUUACAUAUUCAUAAGUUAGAUAUUAUAUUAGAAAAUUUUAAAUUUAGGUAUUGUAUUGACUAUUUUAUUUCAAUUUAAGGACAUGACAUUAACUGAAUUUUUAAUCAAUUAAAUUUUUGUAUAUCUCUAGAAGAAGAAUGCGUGGAUCCUAUGUGUCAAAUGAGUUUACAAAUUACGUUUACUAAAGUUAGGAAAAAUAAAAAGACUAAAGUAUAAAAUUAGGGCAAAUAAUACUUGUAGUUCCUAAACUUUAAGUCAAAGUUUAAAUUUUGUCUUUAAUUUUUAAAAAGAUCUAAUUAGAAACUCAAUUGCUUAAAAUUAUCUUAUUUUGAUUUUCUUACCUAUAAAAUUGUUUAAAUUAAUAGUAAAUGCCAACUGACACCACGUGUAUAGUACAAUUGGCAUCUCAUGUGAUAGAUGAACUAAUAAAGAGAUCAAAUAAAAUUUGCUCAAAGAUUAGAGACCAAAGAUGCUACUAUCUCGAAAGUUUUUAUAUUUCAUAUAUAUUUUAUAAAAUAUUAAAUUUAAAUAGUAUUUUUAAAUUUUUAAUAUUUUAUUCAUUAAAUAUAUUUUGUUUUUAAUAGAUUUUCAAAAAUUAAAAUCAAGUUAAAAAUUUCAAAAUUCUUUUGAAAAAAAUUACAUAUCAUUUUAAAAAACUAAGUAAAAAAAUUUUAUACUGGUUUAAAACAUCAGAUAAAAAACUUCAUAUCUUUUUAAAAUAUUAAGUAAAAUUUUUUAAAUUAUUUUAUUUUCAUUGUUAAAAUUUUAUAUUUAUAGAAAAUUUUUAAAAAAAGGUAAUCAAAAUGGUCCUUAUUGCCUCGAUCUGGUAAGGAAAGAAAUCAAAGUAUUGAAAAUAAUAUAUUUUUUAUUUUUUUUAUAAAUAUAACUAAAAUUUAAUUUUUAAAAUAUUUUUUAUUAAAAAUAAUAUUUUACUAAUAAUUAAUAUCAUAAUAAUAAUAAUAAUAAAAUUUAUUUUAAAUGAUAAUAUUAUGUAAAAAAUCAAUUUUUUCUUUAAUUAUUUUUAUUUUUCUUUAAUUUUUCUUUUUUUUAUAAAUUAUAUUUUAUAAAAUAUAAUAGAAAAAGGAAAAAAUAUAUAGUUCAUAUUUCUAAUAGAAAAUAAUUUUUUUAUUAUGAUGUAUUAGUAAAAUAAUAUUUUUAAUAUAAAAUGGUCUUUUAUUUUUUAAUUGAUAUGGAAUUUUUUUCACUAAGAUUUUAAAAUCUUUAACUUAAUUUUAAUUUUUGAAUAUCUAUUUUUUUAUGAAAAACAAAAUAAAUUUAAUUAAUAAAUUAUGUUGCAAGAAAAAAUAAAAAAAUUAUUAUUUUAAAUUUAAUAUUUUAUAAAAUUAUAUUUGAAAUAAAAAAUUGAGAUAAUAACUUCCUUAUUCUCUAAAUUUUAAGUAAAAUUCUAUUUUUGUCCCCUUGUCUACCACAUAAAAUGCUAGUUGACAUUACCCAUGUGGUACCAGUUGAUAUUUAAUGUUAAUUUUAAUGAUUUCAUAAAUGAAAAAAUCAAAUUAGAAUAAUUUUGAGUAAUUCAGAAUCCAAUUAAAUUUUUUAAAAAAUUAAAAAUCAAAAUAUAAUUUAACUCAAAAUUUAAGGACCACGGGAGUUAUUAACUCUAUAGAAUUAAUCAAAUAGUUGAAAAUUUUUUACAUAGAGGUUAGGUUUUAAUGUUCAAAGUCUCCAUAAACAAAAAGAAAAUUAAAAGUCGUGUUGGAAUGUUUAAUUGACUAGGUAAAUGCAUGGCAGCUAUUAUUUCCAUCACCUCAACAAUACCAAAUUGUUGGUUUAAAUACUUUGAACAUGGAUUUCUACCUAGUUAAAGUGAAUGAACCAAGUUUGUCCAAUUCAAUUUGUCAAUAUCUUUAUUUCAUAUCGAUAGUGAAAUUUUUAAAAUUUAUAAAUUAGAUUAAUAAAUUGACACGUAUCUUUUUAUGCAUUAAAAAUAUAAAAAAUUAAUUAAAAAAAUAUGUAUCAAUUUCUUAAUUUUGUUUGUUAAGUUAAAAAAUUUUAUUAAAAAUAUAUCAGAAUCGAACUUUUAUCUUUAAUGUGUAAGAAAAAGAAAUUUGGGCUAAAAAUAUUGGGAAUUUCCACAACUUCAUUGUGUUAUGGCCUUCUUGGCAAUUGUCAUGAAGUUUCGUCCUUCGCUUUGCAAAGUAAAUAAUGGACGGAAAUCAAUUGUCAUUUUUUUUUUCUUGUCAUAAACGUGAGAAAUAAAAAUUGUUUAUAUUUGUGCUAUUACUUUUGCUAUUUAGGCCCAUCACAUUUCCUAGUUCAACUAAAUUUUAGUCCAAUCUUUCUAUUUGGUGUCAUUUACAAAAUAAAGCUUAUAUCCAAAUGCACUUAACAAACUUUAUUUCAAUCGAGAUUGGGAAUUUUAACAAUAUAAGAGAUAUAUGAUUUAGACUUGGUGUUUAAAGUAGAUGAAAACGACAAGUUUUUUGUAAAAUUUAAUUUAAUUAUAUAUGAUUUUCAUAACUUUGAAUUGAUUCUAAAAGAAACUAGGUAAGUGUUGAUCUCCGAUCAAUGAUUUUAAUUUAUAAUUUCAUCGUCGUCGUCAUCAUCAAUAUUAUUAUUAUUAUUAUUUAGUUCUCAUCAAAAUUAAGAAAAUUUAGAUGAACCUUAUAAAAUCAAAAUUCUAAUUAUUUGUUAAAAUUUAUAUUAAAUGAAUUUAUUAGUGUAAUUUAUUAUUAAAACAUUAAAUGUUAUCAUUAUAAGAAAAAAUUUUCCCCUAUAUUUACAGGUGAAAGGAUCAUGCAUAGUUAUAGAUAAUAUUUCAAUAAAACAAUUUUCCAACUUAUAGUAGAAAAAUAGAAACCUUAAAUUGAAAAAAUAAAUAAAUGACGCUCACAAAUAUACUAUUAAUUACAAAUAAGCAAUUUUUAAUUAAAAAUAGUGAUUAAAAGUAAAUUAAUGGCAACUUAAUUUAGCAUAAUUGGUAAUUGUAAAACCUUGCUUUAGUGACAAUAACUCAAUGUUUGUUGGUUGUACUUAUUUGUUUGUGUUUAUGAAUUUUUUCUGAUAAAAAAAAAAUGUUCCCACGUAAGUCAUAAAACAGACAUAUCAGAAUACUUUACAACCAAUCAUCUAACUUUCGGACAAAAAGAAUAAAUUAAUUUGCGUAACAGUUAUAUUAUUAUAAUAAUAAAAUAAUUUCUCAAAUAAUAAAAAAACUUAUUAUUAUUAUUUUCUCUACUUUUUCAUCUAAAAAAAAAUCAUAAUCAAAGGACAAAAAGCAAAACUAGUAAGGAUUAUUAAUUAUUAUAUUUAAAAUUUUUUAUAUUUAUGUUUUAUUUUCACCAAUACAAAAAAAUUAAUGCAUUAAUUAUAUAUAUUUUAAAUAUUAUCUUAACUAGUGUCACUAACCGUUCAUUAACUUUUUUCAACAAAAAAACAAAUUUAAUCAUUUUUUAAUUUUUUUUUGAUAAAUUAUUUAGUCUAUAUGUCAAAAUAAGAUAUAUCGUACAUAACAGUUUAAGACAAAUGAUUACAGAUCGUACAUUCGAAAUGAUUUCAAUAAGUUAUUAACGAUAAAAUUUGAAUUUAAAAUUUUUUUAUCUAUAAUGAUAAAUCUAAUCGAUUGAACUAAUUAAUUAUUAUUAAUUUUUAAUUUCAAUAAAAUUUAUAAAAAAUAUUAAUAACAGUUAAUUAAUAAUUAUUUAAUAAUUAAAAAAUAUUAUGUCUCAAAUUAAUUUAUAAAAUAUUUAAAAAUGUACCCAAAAAGAUUCAGCUAAAUAUGUUGAGAUCUGUCGCCUUGAUUCUGUCUGAUACGGAACAAGACUCGAUACGGAUUUCUUGAUUAAAAAAAAAAAAAAACCAAACGACUCCUUCACAUUAAACCCCUAAAUCAACGGCUGAGAUUAUCCGCAGCCAUCAUUCAACUAUAUAUAUAAACUAAUAUGUCCACCAUUUCCACCUAAAAAAUUUCUCGAAAUCUCUAACUGGUUUCAUUCUUUCAUUAUUCUCUCUCAAAACCCCAAUCCCAAAUCCUUUCAUCUUCUUUCAAGAAAAUUUGAUUACUUUUGUUUUGUUAUUUGAACAUUUAAUCUGAAUAAUUGGUUCAGUUUGUAGAAGAGCUUGGAUACUCGAUUUUUAUUAAAAGAAUAUUUGAUUUAUCGCCUUUUGGCGAGAAAUGAUAAGGGUUUUGACGAUAACAAGAUUGGAGGAGAGCACCUGGACGAUGGCAAAGUCUUUUGGGUCAUUUGGACUAGGGGGAUUACUACUGCUGGCGGCGUUGGCUGCGUCUAUGAUGAUUCUUCCGCUGGUGUUGCCGCCGCUACCGCCUCCGCCAUUGAUGCUUCUGCUGUUUCCAGUUGGGAUCAUGGCUGCUCUCAUGUUCUUGGCGUUUUCCCCCCCGGAGGCUGCUGGAAAUGUCGUUGUUCAUACAGUAUAAGAACACAUGUUAAACGUGUCUUUCAUAGGAAGAUGGUCGGCCAUUGGGUCGGCGGCUCUUCUGCGGUCGUAGAUGUUGUUGAUUUCUUAUGACUAUAUAUUUGUACAACAUUUACAUUACUUUAUUGUUAGUUGUUUCUUACAAAUGAAUUAUACAUUAAAUUUUGAGAAAAAAAAAGAAGAAAUUUGAAAGUAUAAACAUCAUAGAAAAAAUUUGUGAAUAAUUCCCUUUUCUUCUUUGUUUUCUACAUUUAUGGUUUAUUAAUACAAAAAUAAUGCAUUUUAUGGUUUAACGAUAUUAUCAAUGUGUUUAUCAAAAUAAUUAUUUAGUAGAAUAUUUUAUUUUUUG